AUGUGAGGCUACAGAAAAGUUUUGAAAACGAAACUGGAUAUUUUAUCUCUAACAGCUUUCAUACUUCGUUCACCCUGUGUUUCCAAGUUGUGCUAGCUAUUUGCAAACCUUGGAAUAUUACUUCAUCCAAAUCCCUUGCAGAGAAGAGAAAGAUAUGGCUUUGAUCGGAGAGGCCCUCAUCUCUGCUACCAUCCAGACGUUGUGUGACAAAAUUGCUUCGCCUGAGUUCACCGACUUAUUUCGGCAGAAAAAGCUCGAUGAACAACUCCUCAACAAGCUGAAGACGACGCUGUUGACCUUGUCCGUAGUGCUUAAUGAUGCAGAGGAGAAGCAAAUUGAGGAACCUUUAGUGAGAGACUGGCUUGACAAUCUCAGACAUAAUGUCUUGGCUGCGGAGGACUUACUGGAUGAAAUCGACACUGAAGCUUUGCGAUGCAAACUGGAAGAAGGUGAAGGUCAAACCCACAAUUUAACCAAGAAGGUACGUGAUUUUUAUCAACGCAUGAAUGUUGAGAUGAAAGAUUUAUUAGAAAGAUUAGAACAAUUUGUACAAGAGAAAAGUGCUCUUGGUUUGAGAGAAGGUGCUGGGAGGAAGGUUUCACAAAGAACAACAACUUCCUUGGUUCAUGAACCUUGUGUCUAUGGUAGAGAUGAAGUCAAGGAAAAUCUGUUGCAAAUUUUGUUAUCUGAUGAUGCAAGCAAGGAUGAUGUGUCUGUCCUCACCAUUGUUGGAAUGGGCGGGGUAGGCAAGACAACCCUUGCCCGACUGCUUUACAAUGACGAUAAGGUGAAAGAACAUUUUCCACUUCAAGCUUGGGUUUGUGUUUCGGAAGACUAUGAUUCUAAUAGGAUAACUAAAACUCUUCUAGAGUCAGUCACUUCAAAGUCUUCUGAUAAGACAGAUCUAAAUUUGCUUCAAGUUGAAUUAAGAGAAAAACUCCAGGGAAAGAAAUUCUUAUUUGUGUUGGAUGACCUAUGGAAUGAGAAAUAUGGUGAUUGGAAACGCCUCCAAACUCCUUUUACUUCUGGGGCAAGGGGAAGUAAAGUCAUUGUAACAACACGGAGCCAACAUGUAGUAUCUGUCCUGCAAAGUGUUCAUGUUCAUCACUUGGAACCCUUGUCGCACGAAGAUUGCUGGUUCUUACUUGCAAAACAUGCAUUUGGAAAUGAAAAUUGCAGUGAUCCAAACUUGGAAGAAAUUGGCAAGAAAAUUGCACACAAGUUCAAUGGGUUGCCUUUAGCUGCAGAAACACUUGGGGGUUUGUUACGUUGCAAUAUAGAUUCAGAGGAAUGGAAUACAAUACUAAAUAGCAGUAUUUGGGAGCUACCCUAUGAUAAAUGUGACAUUCUUCCGGCUCUUGGGUUGAGUUACCAUUAUCUCUCCUCCCAGUUAAAACGAUGCUUUGUUUAUUGUUCAAUUUUUCCAAAGGAUUAUGAGUUUAAAAAGGAAGAUAUAGUUCAAUUUUGGAUCGCAGAAGGUUUAAUUCCAAAAGCUGAGAAUGGAAAGAGCAUAGAAGCGGUAGCUAGAAAAUACUUUGAUGAGCUGUUGGCACGAUCGCUAUUUCAAAAGUCAAGCAAAUCCGGUUUCACAAUGCAUGAUCUCAUUAAUGACUUGGCCAUGUUCAUGUGUAAGGCAUUUUGCCUUAGGCUAGAAGGGGGGGAAUCACAUGACGUAGAAAAAGUUCGGCAUUUUUCAUAUGCUAUAGAAAGAUUUGAUGCAGCUCCAAAAUUUAAGCCAUUACAUGGGGCUAAGUUUAUGCGGACCUUUCUACAAGAUUUGUUGCCAUCACUAAGAUGUUUACGGGUGUUAUCAUUGUCACGUUAUCAAAAUGUUACUGUGUUACCUGAUUCUAUUGCAAACCUCAUUCACUUGCGCUACUUGGAUCUUUCCCAUACCGCUAUUGUUUCUCUCUCCUUGAAUUGCCUACAGACAUUAGAAAAUUGAUUAAUUUACAGAAACUGACGUUGAGAGGUUGUACGUCUCUUAAUAAAUUGCCUGCAGGCAUGAAGGAGUUGACUAAUUUGCAUCAUCUUGAUGUCAGUGGAACUAAAAUUGAAGAGAUGCCGGUGCAAAUGGGUAGAUUGAAAAGUUUGAGAACAUUGACUGCAUUUGUUGUGGGCAAAUCUACUGGGUCAGGCAUAAGAGAACUGAGGGAGUUCCCGCAACUUCAAGGAAAACUAUCAAUUUUGAAGCUACAAAAUGUAGUUGAUGCGAGGGAUGCACUGCACGCCAAUAUGAAGCACAAGAAAGAUCUCAAGGAGUUAGAGUUUUCAUGGGGUACGGAGGAUGCUGAUGAUUCCCAAAAGGAGAAAGAUGUACUCGACAAGCUCCAGCCUUGCAUGAAUUUGGAGAAAUUAACCAUCGGAUUUUAUGGUGGAACCAAUUUUCCGAAUUGGUUAGGAGACUCGUCUUUUUCUAACAUACGAGUCAUGCAUCUCAGUGACUGUAGUUAUUGUUGGUUGCUCCCACCAGUUGGACGGCUACCGGCACUCAAAGAGCUCUGUAUAGAAAGAAUGAAGUCUUUGAGGACGAUUGGCGUUGAAUUCUAUGACAGAGAUGGAGCUUAUCUGACUCAGCCAUUUCGAUCUCUGGAGAAGCUAGAGUUUAGGGAGAUGCCGGAGUGGGAGGAAUGGGUACCAAGUGGAAGUGCAAGUGGAGGUGAAUAUGGUCCAGACUUUCCUCGUCUCCAGGAGCUGAUUCUAAACGAGUGUCCGAAGCUAAGAGGAAGUUUGCCUUGUGAGUUGCCUUGCUUGAAGAAGCUUACGGUGUAUGGGUGUGAGGUUUUACAUGAUGGAAGGGCGGCUACCGCAACUACCAAUAGUCUUAACUAUAAAUCUCUGGAAGAAUUGGAUAUACAUGGUGGAUGCCAAACUCUGUUAUCAUUAUUAGAGACAAAGCUCCUGUCCCGACUUGACAGACAGUGCUUGCCCAACUGCAAUCGUCUUCAAAGUUUGACUCUUUCGAAUUGUCCAACGCUGUCGUCGUUUCCUAAAGAUGGCCUACCCAGUACGUUGACAUCACUUGAUAUAAACAAUUGUAGGAAAUUAGAAUUCCUACCUCAUGAGAUGUUGGCCAAAUUAACAUCGCUUGACUAUUUGUGCGUACAAAAUAGCUGUGAUUCAAUGAGGUCCUUCCCGUUGGGCAUUUUUCCCAAAUUGACGACGCUUCAAAUUCGUGGUUGUGAGAAUCUGGAAUCUUUUUCCUUGAUUGAAGAAGAAGGAGCUGUUGAGAAUCUUAGCCAUCUCAAUGACUUGCAAGUCUCUAAAUGUCCAAAAAUGGUGUGUUUUCACGAGGGAGAAUUGCCCACUCCCAACCUGAGUCACUUUGUAGUCAGUGAUUGCGAGAAUUUGAAGUCAUUGCCCGAACGCCUUCACACCCUCACAGCCCUUCGAUAUUUGUCGAUAUGGAAUCUUCCGAAUCUGGAGUCAUUUGCAGAAGAUGGGGGUUUGCCUCCCAACCUCCGAUCUUUUAGCAUUUGGAAUUGUAAGAGACUGAGGGCUUCAUCAGUGGGAGAGUACUGGGGUUUGCAAGCACUUGACUCCCUUGAGAUCGAUGGAAGUGACCAUGUCUUGGAGACGUUGCUGUUCCCUGCCACUCUUCACACUCUCCGCAUCUCUGAUCUAUCAACUCUGAAAUCUUUGGACGGAAAGGGUCUUGGACACCUCACUUCUCUUCAAAAGCUAGAAAUUGACAGCUGUCCAAGUCUGGAAUUACUGCCAGGAGAGGAACUUCAACACCUCACUUCUCUUCAAACUCUAAUUAUUAGUUCGUGUGGCAGUCUCCAAUGCCUGCCAGAAGAGGAUUUGCCGUCAUCUCUUUCUCAUCUGAGUAUCUGGCGGUGUCCUCCCCUGGAGAAAAGGUAUAAGAAUAAGACGGGACAAGAUUGGGCAAAGAUAUCUCACAUUCCUUGCAUCAAGAUAGGAUACGAACUGAUCAUAUAAUAUGAGCUAUUCCAUAUUUCAUGCUCAACCCUCAACUCUCAAAUCAAAGUCAGGUGAGGUGUGUGCCUUCUCUUACUUUAAAAAACUGCUUCUCUUCUUCUAAUUGAAUACAAAAACCAAAACACAUAUUCUCUUUCUCUUCCAAAAACCCAAAUACAUGUUGGACAUUGCCCAAAUUUGAUCUCCAAAUUCCUAAUUAUUUCACGCUUUUUGUUAUUUUAUGGUUGCUGGUCACAAAUUAUAUCCUACUUGGAGUAUCAAAUGCUGAAUAAUUAGCAGUCUUUUUGCAGGACGACAUACCUUCUCUUGGCCCUUGGGGAGCUUUUCAAAAUUUGCAAGGUUUCUUUAUGUGGCAUUUCCAGAGGAGGGUCACAGGGCGGAGAAACAGAAAAGGUUUACCUGGAAUAUCUCAUACAUUCCUGCAUGUAGGCAUCAAAUGUACACCAUUUUUAGGUACUUUUAUAUGAAAAAAAUUGUAUUUGAGUCUCAUUUGCACUAGUUUAAAUCAAAUUUAAUGCCUAUGGAUAGUCUAUUAAUAGGUUCAUGCCAUGAAUUAAUCUUUGGACUUUCCCAGGUACUGCAGGUUUGUUAUUAAUGUUGUGGCUAGGUUGUCUUACGUUGAGGAGAGAGAUCGAUCAGCAAUUACAAAAUUGUUAGCGAAUUUAGUUUGUUUAUCAUCUCUCUCCUUUUGUUUGUUAAGUUUUGUUGUUCUAGGUUAAACCCUUGUCCCCGCAUUUCACAGCAACUCUGUGUUAUUCCACUCUGUUUAGAUUUCAUUUAUGUUGUGAUUCGACUGCUGCUGUAUUUUAGAUUUCGUUCAUGUAAUGUUAGGAUGUUUAAUCUCUGAUCUGUGGUGGUAGUUGAGUAGUUGAGUAGUCUAGUUAAUCCAGUAGAUAACUUGUCCCCUGUUUUGUAUUGUUUUUAUUUCUCUGGUAAUGAAAGCACGUUUCUUAUAAAUAAAUAAAAAAUAUUUCAUUGAUAUUCAUUGCUUAUUUUGAACUGCAGAAGCCUACUUUUGUCAGAGUCAGUAGAUGCCAGAAUGAAGUCAUUGCCUAAACACAUUGGCACCCUCACAGCCUUCGACAUUUUGGGAUAUAUGAUCUUCAAAAUCUUGUGUCAUUUGCCUCCCAACCUGCAAUAUUUUCAUAUUUUAAAUUGUGACAGACUGAGCCCUUUGGUGGGAGAUUACUGGGGUUUGCAAGGACUUGGUGGCAAUAUCUUGUAGACGUUUCUCAAGGAACAGCUGCUCAAUGCCACUCUUCGCACUCUAUAUAUUAUGGCCUGUCAGUCUAAAAUUCCUGCCAGGAGAGGAACUUGAACGCCUCUCUUCACUGCAAAGGCUACAUAUUUGUGGGUGUGACAAUACCCAAUUCCUGCCAGAAGAGCGUUUGCUGCCAUCUCUUUCUUAUCUGUGCAUCGACCAUUGUUUUGCCAUGUAGAAAAGGUAUCUCACAUUCCUUGCGUCAAGAUAGGUGAAGAAGUGAUCAUAAGGUAUGAGCUCUCUCUCCCUCUCGCUCACAUACAAAGUACUUAAACACUCAAUCUGAUUUCUAUUAUUAUUUUGCUCAGUAAAUUUUGUUUAAAUUUGCUUUAUUUCUCAUUGCGCUUGUUCUGCUUAUCACAACUUAUAUCCUAUUUAAAUCUCAAAUGCUGAAUAAUUAGCAGGCUUUUCGCAGGACAACAUAUCUUCUCUUGGAGAGAUAUUCAUUUGCAAGGUUUCUUUAUGUGUCAUUUCCAGAGGAGGGUUUACUAUUUAAUAGAAAGGUUCACCUGGAAUAUCUCAACUGACACAUUCCCAAAUACAAGCAUUGAAUGCACAACAUUUUGAGGUACUAUUUUUGUAAUAAAAAUGUACUUGAGUCUCAUUUGAGCUAGUUUAAAUUGUAUUCAAUGUCUAUGGAUAACCUGUGAGCUUAAGUAGUAAGAUAAAACUCACAGUAUAUUAUUAGGGUUUAGGGUUCAACAGGUGAGCUUUAGUUGUACUUUCCUAGGUACUGCAUGUAUAUUAUCUUCGUAUCAACAGGUGGUCUUAUGUGGACGAGCGAGAACAUUGAGGAAUUACAAAAUCUUCUUAGCUUGUUUCAGCUCUGUUUGUCAUCCCUCACAUUUUCUUUGUUAAGCCUUGAUUUUUUAUUAGACAUAAGAAAAAAUGCUUUUAUAAGACAGGAGAUGAAUGCUUUUAUAUGUUGAUGUCAUAGUCAGUCUUCAACCACACUCUGUUUUUAGAAUUCAUUUAUGUUACAAGUGGAGUGCUGCUGUAUUUUAUAUUUCGUUCCUGUAAUGUUUGGAUGUUUAGCUUGAGUAGUCUAGCUUAUCCAGUAGAUAACUUGUCCCCUGUUUUGUAAUGUUUUUGUUUCCUCUAAUGAAAGCAGGUUUUACUUAUCUUGAAUUGCAGAAGCCUACUUUUUGACAUAGGUGGCAUGGCACAAACUCGCAUCCGCAUUUCCUUCCCCAUUGGCAUGCUGUCUCAUCUUUUCUAUUCUGUUACCAGCUUGAAGCUUGUGUAGACAUGUUAUGCUCUUGUAAUUCUGAUCACAAACAUCACUUGACAAAUGGAAAGUCACAAUCAGAUCUUUCAGGUGAUCUGGAGGUUUACUUUCUAACAUUUGUUUUCGUGGGGGGGGGGGGGGAGGACAACAAUACAGAAUUUAAAAUUUCUGAUAAUCAAUAGUAGUUUGCAUAUAUCAGCUGGGACCUGUAUGACUGUAUUAUGUAAUUAAUUAUUCUCUUAUUGUUUUGGUACUGUUAAAAGGAGUUAGCCACACAAAAUAAAAAAGGAGGCCUCUUAUUUCAUACUAAUCGUCUGGUCCAUCUGCUGCUUCACUCCCUAGUAGCUUCAUCUCCUGUCCUUUGCUUUAUUUCUGUUAUUUAUUUUGAUUUCAUGUCCAUUGCUUCAUUUCUGUUUGGAUUCUUAAUUAAAUCUGUCCUGGACUUGAACAAGGGUUAGGUUAGCUGUAUAAUUUGCGGUUUUAUAUACACAACUGUCUACAUUGAUUAAAACCAGCAUUAUUCUAAGGUUCAUUUAGAAUGUAUUAUCACCAAAAUUAUAAAGUAUACUUCUAUUACAAUUAAUUUGUUGAUUCUAAUUUGGACUUGUAGGAACAGACCAAACAUGUUCAUAUGUGGCAUUGCUCAAGUCAUCAUCAUUCGGGACAGAGAAUAAGCCUUCAAAUGUCUGCUGAGUCAAUGAACCUUUCUAGAUAUCUCAAGUGUAAUGGAAAUUGAUGAGUUACAAAGGAUUUGUAAACAUUUUCUACUGGAGGCUAGAAAUGCUUCAAAUAAAUGACUGUGUUGCAAUUAUUUUGUAGGAUCAAAGACUCUGCAAAGAGGUAAGAAAGUCAUCAUCAAAUAACUUUGCUCUUCAAACUUUUUAUUUUUAUUUUUAAAUAUCAGUAAUAACUGGGAAAGCUUGCAUCUCCUUAAAUUGCUCAUUCUUACAUCUUUUAUAGUUUGUUGAUCUUGGGCAAGUGGAGAGAGAGGCGUCAAGUGAUACACAACAACCAUUUUCUGUGAGCUGAUUUGAUAAAGAGAAAUGGUAUGCUUUCUUGUCUUAAGCGGUGUGUUCUGCAAUUAUUUGAAACAAAGGAUGCCGCACUUCAAGUUCGAGAAAAUCAGGUAUUUUAGUAUUUUAUUCUUGAGAAAUUUGAUUUAUGUAGAAACUUGAACAUGUAAAUGAGAGAAAUAUAUAUAUAUAUAUAUUAUAUAUUGUAUAUGCUGUUAAUGAGUUAAUAUGGUGCUUGCUCCUAGUUGGAAAUUUAUGUAGUCAUCUACCUAUGAUCAAAUAAAGAUGAAAAAUAAAAUAAAAUUGAGAGCAUCUUCCUCUCCCCUGCUUUGCUCAUCCCUUGUUCUUCCACUUCAGCCCCACUAUUACACCAUUUUUUCAGCCACAAUUAUAAUAGCUCCAUGAGCAUAUUAACAUCAGUGGCCACAGUUCCAUGAUUUGAGUGCACAGAAAGGUUUCAAAAAUUGUCCCAAAAGUACAGUCGUUCAAAGUGAAAGAGAGUUUUCAAAGCUUAAUUACAAGUUCAUGUUAUUUACAAUAGCAAAAAGCUUUCAUUCUUGCUUACAAACUUGUAUUUCCAAGUUCUGUAAACCUUGGAAUUUCACUUCAUCCAAAUCCCCUUCCAAAGCAGGAAAAAAUGGCAGCAGCUUUGAUUGGAGAGGCUCUCAUCUCUGCUUCUAUCGAGGUGUUGUGUGACAGAGUUACUUCAGCCGAGUUCAUAGACUUAUUUCAGCAGAAGAACUUGAUGAAACACUCCUCAUGAACCUGAAGACAACACUGUUGAUUUUGUUUGCGGUGCUCAAUGAUGCAGAGGAGAAGCAAAUUGUGAACCCUGCUGUGAGAGAGUGGCUUAACAGCUCAAGCAUGCUGUCUUUGAUGCAGAGGACUUAUUUGAUGAGAUUGACACUGAAGCUUUGCGAUGCAAGCUGGAAGGUGAGGAUCAAACCCACAAUAGUUAACCAACAAGGAUCUUUUUGAUUGUUUGAAAGAAGAGUCUUUGAUGAUUUGAAAGGAGAGGGUUGCUUUAUUUCUGUUGGAUGCGUAAUUAAAUCUUAUUUGGAGUUGAACAAGGAUUAGAUUAGCUGUAUAAUUAGUGGUAAACGCCUUUUUCUAAGGGUCAUUUAGACUCCUAUUACGAUUAAUUUGUUGUUUCUAAUUUGGACUUAUAGGAACAGACCAAAUAUGUUCACACGUGGCAUCGCUCAAGUCAUCAUCAUUUCAGACUGAAAAUCAGCCUUCAAGUGUCUGUUGAGCCAAUAAACCUUUCUAGAUAUAUCAAGUGCAAUGGAAAUUCAUGAGUUACAUAGAGAUUUGUAAACAUUUUGAAGAUUGCAACACCUGCAAGUGAGAUAGGCGGUGACGAAAUCAGAGCUGAUUUUGAAGCCUCUGAUGCCCCUGUUGUUGCAAGUUGCACCUGAGAACAUGUUUUUUUUUUCUUUGGGGUAAAAAAACUGGCAACAUGUUCGGAGCUGACAAUUCAAUCCCUGAUGAACUAGAGAAGCGAAGCUCCGGUAAGGAAUUGGUCAAGGUUGUGACAGGGAUGAUUGAUGGUGAAAUGGAUGCUAUUUCUUAUUGCAGCCUGUUCUCAAAGUUCUUGUUGGCAAAUGCAAGAGAUGGAGUAUUUUGAUUGGGAGGAGAUAUAAUGACAUGGCUUGACAAUUCUAGAACAGCCCAUCAUUAAUCCCAGAAAAAAUCCAGUUUCUGCUAAACAAUCACUUAUGGCAAGGCCAACUCUGUAAAUGGAAUUUGUGAUCCCUUGAAAUUGUACACAUUUUUUCUUUUUGAGGAAUUUAAUCAAACAGUAUUCUAAUGUAUUAUGAUAGCACUACACGCUUUUGUUGUAACAAAUUACAAGGAGGAAUUUGGAUUGAGUUUCUUGUAUAAGCACACCUUACACAAAUUUGGUAUAUUUUCUUCCAGCAAGUCUGUUUAUUAACCCCCUUAUCUGAAAUUAAUUGUUAAAAGUUUUGAUUCAUCUUUAAUCAGUGUCUAACCCUUGUUGAAUAACACUCCUCUUUCUAAUUUAUAUUUGAAGUUUGAGGUUUCAAUUUCAAUUGUGGGCUUUGAUUUUACAGAUUUUGUUUGUCAAUUUCAGUUUGGACAAAGCAUAUGCAAACAAAAUAAGCAUUUUAUGUUAUACUUUUGAAAUAGGUGUUGAUUUGAUUUAAUCAUAAGUUUUGCUGGUGCAUUUACUAGGCUAUCAUUCAAUACUUUUGAUCAUAGAACUUCUUUGGUCGAUAUUAUCUUUGUUAAGUUUAACCAUAAAUUUAGAGAGGGGACUUCAACAGAUUUAUAAUCUCAUCAUUAUAGUAUUAAAAAUUAGAGAUUAAGGCAUUGUCUAUUAUCUGAAUUCUGCUUACUUUUAGUUCAUAUGUUUACAUCUUAGCAUAUUCAUGCGAUUAGUGCGGCUCAUACCACAAAGGCAACUUUAGGCUCAUCAAGUGCUAAGCAAUGUCAAGCUUCCAAGUGACAAGUUCUCUACAUAGUUUGAGACCUACACUUACUAGAUAUUAGAUCAUUUCGAUCAUUUCCAUAUGUUUAUAUGUAAUUGACAUGUUAUAACAAUUUUUGUAGCGUUAUAUAAUUAUUUAGCAAUUUAAUUAUUUCUUUGCAUCAAGAAAUAGUUCUUAAGUUAUUAAAAAAAAAAAAAAAGAUUUAAAAAAAAAGAUUUGUUGAUGCUUAAAAAGCAUCAAGAACAGGUAGUUUCUUGACGGUUUAGUGACGUUUCAUAACUGUAGGAGGCUUUUUCUUCCGACAGCUGUAAAUGGGCUGGGUUGCCGUAAAGGGCAGACUGAUGAAAUUGUCCCCUUUUGUCUGAGCUAGAAAAUUAAGCCCCAAAAUACUUCGAAAGGGCAGCAGAGCCUUAGGAAGUAUUUUGGUUACCCUCACCAACUAAAACAACAACAACUUACAGGUAAUUUCUUAAUGCUUACAGAUGAACUCUUGAGCUUGGCAUGAGAGACAUGUGGCAUGGAAGCAAAAUCAACAUGAGUUUAGCACUGAGGGGAAAUUUAGGCUCUCUUGGGGGAAAAAGGGAAGUGUUAAGGUGAGAGAGGAGAAGUUUGUAGGAGAUUUAGCUAAGAAAGGAGAAAUAUAGAACAAUGCUCUUCUGGCAGCUUGACAGAUGCUCUGUCUGCCAGAAAAGGAAGAUGGAGAAGAAAUGUGAAUAGUGCACGAGUUUGCUAGAUUUUUGCAGGUAAGAGAGGAAGCUUGCUCUCUGGGUCUGAGUUGAGUUUUGUUAGGUGGAAGAGACCUCAUUUUAUAGCUCCUGGAAACCAUCACUUCCCAAGAAACCCUAAUGGCUUCUACCCAUUUUGGCCAAGCUUUUCCAUUCCUUUCUCAUUUCCUUCCUUGACUUUACCCCUCUUGAUGAAAUCCUCUCUACCUAUUUGCACCAGAUCAGAGUUUUUUGAAGCUUAAGGCCCCCUUUUCCCGCAGUUGUCUCAAUGGGAGACUUUCAUUCCUAGUCAUUUCCUUUAUUGCUUUCCUUUCUUUUUUUCAUGGCCAAGUCUGGUGGGGAAAGGAGUUGGGAUAAAUAUGCUAGUUUGAAGGGUGCUUCUCUUCUUGGCAUCUUACACACUAAUACCCCUUGGUUCCUUGAAUGUUUUGGCUUUGAAACUUGCUCCCCUCCAUGUAUUGGAACCUCCCAGCAGCCCUGGUCAAUGAAUCUUCAGACCUUCUCUUCGUGGCUUUUAUUUUUUUAUCAACUGGCUAGGGCUUUUGUGGCUCAUUGGGGCAAUUGUAUGGGCUAAGGUGGUUCAUUAAGUAAGUGGGCUAUUUUUAUUAAACAUUGAGCUUUUUGGUUGAGUCACUAGGCUAUUUUGAUUGGGCUAUUGGGCUAUUGUUUCCUCUCUUGUGCUCACCCACAUGUUUGGACCAAAGAAAUGAGCUUGAGUCCUGAGGCUCCCAAGCGACCCGAGACUUUCCAUUUAUCGGUCCAUCAAUGGGCCUCAUGUUGAUUUAUUACCAUCCAUACCACACCCCACUCAAGCAAGCCCCGGGCAUUUGAGUGGCUUGGGCCCACUUAGGCUUGUAGUGUGGUUGGGUGCAAAAUAACGAUUUCGUGCUUGGCAUGUUUUAAUUUUAUCAUCCAUGGGAAAGGCUGCGAUGUUUGAUUUCGGCAUGGGCUUGUAGAGCUGGUAUGCUUUAUUUCAACUCCUAGCAUGACGAAUUAUUUAUUUAGCAUGGCACGUGAAUUACAACUCGCAUGUGGUGGGUUUUUGUGUACUACACCUUACGCCUCUUCUUAAUAGAACAUCGUUUCUGAUAAUUUAUUUGGGCCCAACCGUGAAUUUUUUGGAUCUCAAUAAUAACCAUCAUGAAACAUUACAUUUUGACUGACAUCAAGAAAUGGGGUAUCCCUUUCUUGAUAGUGGCAUCCAUGAUGCCUUCCAAGCCGUCAAUUAAGGGCUAUCGCGAUGCAUUUUAGUUGUCAGCAAAAGGUGUUUUUCUUGUACUAUAUUCACUCAAAAUCGUGUUUCAUUUAAGAUUAGUAGUAUGGUUGAAUACCAUUUGUUUUGUUAAAGAAUAUUAUACAUUAGGGAUUUUUGUAGAAAUGUCAUUUGAACUUAUACCUUAGUUUCAAUUUGUCACCUUGAAGAAAAAUUUAAGAGAAAUAUCACCUUAAUUUUUUAAAAUCCAUGAUUUGUCAUAUGACUUUAAGAUCAUCCAAUUUUCCAUCCAUUUUAAGGGUAUUUUAGACUUUUCAUUUUCAAGGAAAAAAAAGAGAUGAAAAAAGAGACCUCUCUCUUACUUUGUCCCCCAACCCAACCCCACCCGCCCCCAAAAACACAUCACAUAGGAUUGCCUCCCCCUUCCCCACUUUUCUUUUUUCUUUUUGUCAUACUUUUCCACUGUGUUUAUGUUGAAGGAUCUAAAGUUUGCUUGGUCACCAUCUUUUACGUAGGCUUCCUAAUUGUUGGUUUGGGUGGGUUGUGGGAAUUUGUGUGUGGAGGGCAAGGCUCUAUCUGACAGGACCCACCUCGAAUUCCUCGAAACCCGAGACGAAUCUUGUAGAAUUUCCGACAUCACACCGAUGCCGGGUCCACUUCUGAACUAAAUCCUCUUUUCCAAAAUUAAGGAAAAAUAGUACGAGGCUUUCUGCCAAAAUUUCGGCAGUCUUCCCUAUAAAUUUAACGUUUCAGCUUUGGAGGCCGUUCUUUCAUUUCUGCUUUGGUGGCCGGAUGAGAGAACGGCCGGCUAAAACGUGGCCAGCUGGCACUGCCGUCACGAGAGAGAGAGAGAGAGAGAGAGAGAGAGAGAGAGAGAGAGAGAGAGAGAGAGAGAGAGAGAGAGAGAGAGAGAUGUUUAUCAAACCAUUUUUGCCAAAAUUACGAUUAUGCAACUGAGGGUAUUUUGAUCGUAUCUUUUUCGUUAUAACUCCGAUUCAAGCCCACUACAUAUCUACGGACUCAUCUCGCCGUGCUCUAUGCAAUUGUAUAGUUGAAAUUCCCAAAUUCCAUCCCAGUCAAAAAGUCAACUUUAAACCUUAUAAAAUAUUCUAAGGGCAAAAUGGUCUUUUAUCUAAUUAAAUUAAUAAUUGAAAAUUUAUUUAGGACCGGGUCGUUACACUGUCGUUGAUGGACUGUGCGAUGGCACUCACACAAAGUCCUUAAGAAUAAAACACACACACACCAUGAAGAGAGUAAAACAAAUGCACAAAGAUUUAUAAAGGUUUGGCCUCCUGCCUACAUCCUCUUGGUGAUCCACCCGAGAAAUUCACUUGUACGUAAGAACAACUUUGGUUACAACUAAACCCCCUUAGCUUUCAUAAGAACCCUAGAUCUCUUUUCUCCCACCCUUGCUCCAACCCUUUGAUGCCCUUGUAAACACUCAAGAAUUCAUCCUUGAAUUCUAUCAUGUGUUACAUCUUCUCUUCUCCCCUUUGCCAACCUAACCCUACAAGUUAUAUUUAAAAUUCAUUGGACUUUAAGUACAAGUUAACUAGGAAUAGGAAACAUAAAAGACCCCAAAAAUUGGAGAAAAUAUGUCUAGAUCUCAUUAGGAAAUUGCACAACACGUGCGAUCCUCUCGAGCGCCUGCAAAAUCAUCCCUUUGCCGCUCGAGCUGCCGAUAGCUCAUGGGAUGGGGGAAUUAGAAAUUUUUUUUUUUCAAUUUUAAUUGUUUAAAAGAUAUACAAUUUAUUAAUAAUAAUUUUUCCAUUUUUAAAAUACCCUUGAAAAUAGAAAGAUUAAAAUGCCCUUAAAAAUGGAUGGAAAAUUGGAUGGUGUUAAGGUCAGAUGACAAAUCAUGGAUUUUGAAAAAUUAAGGUAACGUUUCUCUUAAAUUUUUCUUUACAGUGACAAAUUGAAAUUGAGGUAUAAGUUCAAGUUACAUUUCUGCAAAAAUUCUUAUACAUUAUGAUAUUCUAACAAUAAUUGGCUAAAAUUGAUAUGUUCCCUCUUUUAUUUUCUUUUUCUCUUUUCCUUUUCAUUUUAUGAUCCAAUCCUUUUCAUAUAUUUUUGUUCAAGACUUUGUUUUAUAAUGCUCUAUUACUAAUUUGGUACAGGUCCCUAAAAUCUCGGAGCCGCCUUAGUACAUUCAUAACGUACAUGUUCAGAGUUCAAGAAUAAUGUAUAGAAUGUGAAAUUGACGAUGCCGGCCUUUAUGAGGCAACAUCUUUAUUUCUUUGGUUAUUCCAGUUUAGAAUAUUUGCACAAAUGAGAUGACUCCAAGCAUAAAGUCACAUUCGACCAAAAAGCAUAAAGUCACACACAAAAAGAACACGGACAAUUGCUAAGUUUAUCCUUGUACCCUUAUUUUAUUGAUCCGACCCAAUUGAAAAAUAAAAAAAGAUGAUAAAAAAUAUUGUUCACUGCUUUAAAAUCUAUGAGUAGAGUCCUCCAUUUGAAAUUUGGUCAUUAUACAAAAUUGGAAUGAAAAAAGAAAAUCCUAAAGCUAUAUUUGAUAUAUUUCAUUUUCAUUUUUUGCUGGGUGUUAGGGCUCGUCAAUGGGCCGGGCCUGGCUAGCCCGGCCCGAAUUUAAUGGGCUUGGGCCAGGCCGGCCCAGGCUUUAAAGAGGAGAGAGAAAAUAUCAGGUCGAGUUUUUUAAGAAAAUUCAAAGCCCAAGCCUGACCCAUGAGCCGGGCUUGAGAAAGCCCAUCGGGCCGGGCCGGGCCUAAACGGGCCCUACUUCAUUCAAAAAAAAUCAUUAACUUAAUCAUAAGGUCAUUUUAGUCCAAAUUUGAGAUUAAACUCACUUAAUUCUAAUAUUUUUACUUCAAACCAAAUUCAUAAAACACCCAAUAAAGUCACACAACUUGUAAGAUUUUCCACAAAAAUAAUAAAACCAAGUAUUAUUUUUGAGGUUAUUACAUAAUUAGAUCGUAAUACGUUUUAAAAAAUAAUUUUUAAAAAUAAUAUUAAUAAGUAUCAAAAAAAUAUUUUUUUAAAGGAUGGUAUGAAUAAAUAUGCAAAUAUUUGGUGAUGUGUUCAAGAAAAGGAUGAUUAUAUUUGGUGGUACGAUUAUGUUUCGUGAUACGAUUAUAUUUAGUGAUGUGAUAUGUUGUUCAUCUUAUAUAUAUAUAUAUAUAUAAUUGUUGAACUAAUAAUUGACACAAAUUAAUGUGUUAAUCAUCCAAUUAUAAACUAGGAGUGAAUAAAGAAAAGUAAAUGAAAUGAAACAAAUUAUAUGUGUGAUUUAAGUGAUAUAAUCCUAAACCUAAACUCUUAUUUAUACAUAAUUAUAUAUGUAUGCGGGCCUAACGGGCCGGACUUUUGUGGGCGUGUCGGGCCGGGCUUUCUUGGGCUUAAUCAGGCUGGACCUAUGGGUCAGGCCGGGCUUCAAACACCCCAACACGAGCCUAGCCUAGCCCGCCUUGGGCCGGGCCAUCUCAAAGCCCAUAACGAGCCGGAUCGGGCUUUUUUCGAUUGGCCGGGCGGGCCCCCUCGACCCAUGAGCCCGCGGGCCAAAUGAUGAGGCCUACUGGGUGUUCAAUUUUUCUUGUUUCUUGUUGAAAAGAAAAAUGAUAAUUAAUAAAAUCUGAUUUGGUGGUUGUGCUCGUCACAAAUCAAUGAAAUGACAGCAGUGAUUUUGCAAGACAGCAUACCUUCUCUUGGGGUGCUUUUCAUUUUGCAACAUUUCUUUACGUGUAAUUUCCAGAGGAGGGUUUAUCAUUGUAUAUAGCUCUUCGGGUGGUUUUUUCUGCAAAACAAAUGUCACAAGGAAGGAGGAGAAACGGAAAAGAUUUACUUGGAAUGUCUCAAGUCUCCUUUGAGAUAAAGGCAUCGAAUGCACAACAUUGUUUUUGUGCUAUUUCAUAAUUAAAGUGUGCUUCCCAAGUCUCCUUUGCGUUUUGUAACUUGUAAUGUUUGUUUUUUUGUUUCCCCUGUUUUGUCUUUUAUAAAAGAAAGAGGAAUGCUAGCAACCUUCUCUCUAAUCUUCUCUUUUGGACCUUCUCCCUUUUCUUUUUGACAAGUGUCAUUUUCCAUACACUUAAAACAAUGACAUUAAUGCAUCACACAAUUUAGUUUUUGUUUUCCAAGUUUACCAUUUUAAAAUGUAUUGGCUUUUAUAUUUCCUUCAAUUAUUCACAUUUUGUUAUAACUUGUUUAGCACAUUAUUUUUUUUAAUUUAAAAAAAGUCAUAUUUUUUAAAAAUAAAAAUAAAGUUUGUUUCAUGACAUUGUUAUCAUUUUUAUUUUGUUUUUAACAAAACACGCAUUCUCUUUGGAAAAAUUAAAAAUUAAAAAACAAUUCAGUUUUUAUUUUCUUAUUUAAUUUUUAACAAGCUAGUAAGAAAGUUAUAAAAAAAAAUUAGCUUGUUAUUAAAAAAAAAUUAAUACAUUUAAUAAGGGUAAAUUUGGAAAACAAAAACUAGUUUGUGUGAUGCAUUAAUGACAUUGUUUUUAGUUUAAGGAAAGUGACACUUGUCAUGAGAAGAAGGGAGAAGGUCCAAAAGAGAAGGUUAGAGAGAAGGUUGUUAGCACUCCCCAUAAAAGAAAUACAGGUCUGAACCACACGGAUCUACUUGCAUAAUAAUGGACCAAAUUUAUGAUUUUUAGAAAGAACCUUCUACUGGUGGAAUCUUGGGCUACUGUUGUGGCUCUCCUCUGUGUGCCUCCUUUUUAGAAUGGUAAAAUAUUCAAAAUACCAGAAAAUGUUCAUGAUUAAUGCAAAUAUUAAGAAUUGAAAUUAUUAAUUAAAUGAAGAUAAUAUGGUAAAUUCACACUUUUUCAUAUUAAAAAAAUUAAAAUUAAAAGAAAUAUCAGAUAAUUACUCUUAUUUUUAUGGAACACAGCUACCCAUUAUCUUUUUUAAUUAUAAAAUAAAUUUAAAUUAUAAAAAAAAAAUCCUCUCACAUGCACGGAAGCGCGUGCUCAGAGGCUAGUUAAAAAUAAUGAACUUUGCUUCUGAUGUCUAUACCAGACCCACUCAACCUGCUUUAUGAUUAUACAAAGAACAAACUCGUCCUUAGACUCAUUUGGUUAAACUUAGAAAAUAAUGAAACAAAAAUAUACACACCCACAAGUAACACAGCCAGGAUUGAAAACAACUGGACAAAGAAAGGCAUGUUAAAACAGAAUUUUCAACAACUCAUCACCAUUAGACAAGAAAAAGAAAAAUCAAUACAGAAACAGAAAGAACAGAGAAUAAAUGUGGUGGAAGAAAAACGUUGAAGCCAUUUGUGAAUCCAACAACACUACCACUCUGUUUCUCUCCUUUUGUUCAGGCGGAUCUGCAUAUAUCCUAAGGCGUAUUACGGAAACAACUUCUUGCCGUUAUACUUGAAUGUUGUGGAUGCUUCAACGUUGCCAUCUGGGUGGAGUGGAUUUGUCCAAUUCACCUUCACUAUGGUUAAUCAACUAGACAGACAUAAGUCAGAAACAAUAGGUAUAUAGGUCCAAAUUGUUGUUAUUUGAAAGGCUUCUAAAUUUUAACAUUUUGAUUUCUAAAUUUUGUUUUAAUAUUUCGGCCCACUUAGUUCUUCUCAAAAUAUGUCAUCAAUAUCGUUGAAAGGUUGAACUUAGUGAAUUAUUAUAGUGCAGUACGGUAAAAUAGGCACAUGAUAUAAUUUGUCCACAUGUUCUAAUAUAAGUGAAUAUUUAUUGAUAUUAUUUUCAAAAAUAAAAAAUAUCAACCAUUACAUCCUCCCAUAUUAUAAUACAUAUACAAAUUAUACCACAUUAUCAUACUCUAAUACCAUUUUAUAAUUUCUCGUACUUAGGAGGUAUAGAGCGAGUCAAUGACAUUACAUAAUAUAUAAUUGUUCAUAUAAUGGGGCAACUAACGUGAUCAACAAGUUGUGGUGAUUAAUUUAACAUAAUAAAAAACAUACCAUUUACUAUGUAACAAUUUGUUCUUUUAAAUUGGAUUGUCAUCACUUUAAUAUGUUAUGUUUCUUAUUCUAGUCUCCCAUGUUAAGUGCUUCAGCAUUGUUUGUGGUGUGUACACAAAUUUUCUUAUAAAAUGUUUUAAUGCUUCUCACAUGUAUAUCAGAUAUAGACAGUUGAUGUGACUUAGAAAUCAAAUUGUCAAUAAAGAAAAAAAAUAUAAUUGGUGAUCGAGGUCCAAUUUAAUAGAAAAUAGUCUUAAUUUGUAUAUUAAAGGUUUCAGAUUCGAAUCCUCACUGCAUUAUUGUUGUAUGCGUACACGAGAAAUUCUAUUUCCCAAUAAUUUAGAUUAUCACUUAUACUAAAAAAAAUAUAUAUAAUAAGUUUUACGAAUGCAAACAUAAAAUUACACCAAACAAUAAUGGAAUAGAAAGAUGGAAGUUUUUUUUUUUUCCUACAUCUAAAGUAUACUUUAUAUAUAUAUUUAUUAUGGGAGUUAUAACCGUUUAAUUUUCAGUUUUUAUUUUCUAUUUAUUGUGUUAAUUUUUAUGGUUUAAUAUGUAUGGAGAUUACAAGUAUUGGAUGUCUAUAAAGGGCCACUCCUCCUUCACAUCUGAAACAAACCACCAUCUCAUUUCUGUAUUUUCAUACUUUCAUAUAUUUUCUACUUUCCAGAUUAUUAUUUUUGGGCAACGGUUUUGUGACUUGGAGAUUUCUAUCCGAUUGUUAACAUGCUCAUAACGGACCUUGAGCUUGCGUAUUGGGGAUCGUAUCUUGGAGCCUUGUAGACCUUUAUUACGUGCAUGUAGGGAGGCUACAAAUGCUUUAGGUCAGCGUCUUUGACGUACUUUUGCUUUCUUUUUUUACUUAUUUCUUCGUUUCUUUAUUUUUACUUUACUUUUAAAUCUUUAUUUUAUGUAUUAUUUAUAUUUAAAAGUUUUGAAUAAGAGUUUUACAGAAAAGGAAAAACACAAUUUCAAAUAACACAAAUUUCUCGUUUUUUGUUCUUAAAAAAGAAGAAGCAUUGAUUGGGGAGUUAUGGUAAACUCAGUUUCAAUGGUUGCGAUGAGAGGCGGUGGCGGCGAGGAGAGGACGAAGGCUUUGCUGCCGACGGGGUGGUGUGGCUGGCUGCUUGGUCCUGGGUUCUCCUUUAAUUCUCUGUUUUCUUUUUUCAUUUUCUUUUUCUCUUAGAGUUAUUGAUGUUAAGUGAAUGGACAGAUGCCAAAAUAGGGACAGAAGAUGUGAACCCAAUUAUAUACAGCUGCUGCUAUAGCUGAUUACAUAAAGUAACAAAUUAAUUAAUGCUUGAGUGGAGGACAGGCUUGAGUGGAAGAAUUGAUUAAGGCUUGAGUGGAAGACAAACUUCAGUGGAGGAAAGUAUAGAUAAGGAAAGCAUGCCUCGUUUAACGGCUUUAUCUAAUAAAGAUUACUUGUUGGCACUUGGAGUUUCUUAGGAAUGCUGGUUUUGUUUCCUUGGUGGACUUGAAAGGUGGUGCCUUGGCUCGGACAUCUCCCAAGACAUACAACUGCUCAUUAGCUGAAUAUCUCGCUCUCUUUAAAGAGAUCGAAGCAAACACAAUUUGCAAUUUGUGUGAUUCAAGCAUGAAUAUCUGAUAUAGUAACUAUACCAUUUGUUGGUUUGAUAAGAAAAGUUUGGUUAGCGAGGAUGAAACCAUAAAGUUCCCAAAACACACAAAGAACACGGACAAUUGCUAAGUUUAUUCUUGAGUUCACACAUAUUUGCACAAAUGAGAUUAUUCCAAGCAUGAUUAUACCAUUUGUUGGUUUGAUGUGAAAAGUAUGGGCAACGAGGGGUAAAACCAUACAAACACACACGAAGAACGUGGACAAUACUAAAUUUAUCUUUACGUUAUUGAUCCGACCUAACUGUAAAAUAAAAAAGAUGAAAAUAUAUAAUGUUCAGUACUUAGAUCUAUGAGCACUUGCACAAAACAUCACUUUUGGUCUUUGGUAAAUUUUUAAAAUAAAUGAAUUUUUUACUUAUUUGUGAACUGAAAUGCCUCUAAAAAAAUAAUGAUAGUUCGAAGAAUUUGAUAGAAAUUAAAAAAUAUCCUCAAAUUACUUGGAAUUGAAGACCACAUAGGCAAAAACACGAAAUUGAAACCUCACUUUAAUGAUAAAAAUGGUAAACUACAAAGACAAAAAUGACGUCUUGCCUUAUAAAUAAUUGGAAUUUGCUGGUGAUAAUAGUCGAUAUCAUCUUUUGUCGGUCCGACCUAAAAAGAAGAAAAAGUUAAAAGCAUCUUGUACCAAUUUUUGCCAAUGUGGGCCCAAACAAUUUGAAGAAGUCCACCGGCAAUUUCUCAAAAGCUAUUGUGUGAGUGUGAAGCUAAACCAAUAUUAUUUUGCAUAUCCGACCCCACAUCCCCAUGUGAUGUGAGGCUACAGAGGUGUUUCCAAAACGAAAUAUGAUAUUUCAAAACGUAGCUAUGUAUAGAGUCAUUUGUAUUUGCUUUCACAAUAACAUUUGAUUUUAUAUUUAUACAUUCUGAUAUUUUAACAAAUAAAUUGACUAAAUUUGGCCAACAGGAUUUAGCCGAAUAGAAAAGUUCUUAUUUAUGGACUAGUAAUUUUAAAUUUAAAAUUUAGACUAUCGCAUGUAUUUAAAAAAAACUAAACAAUUGGCUUAAUUUGAUAUAUUUCCUUUUUUUCCUUUUUGCAUUUUAUGCUGGUUGCCGUUAUUAAGUUUUAUCCUUAUUUUUUGUUGAAAAGAAAAUUGAAAAAAAUAAUAAUAAUUCCUACAGCUAGCAACUUCUCCACCUACAAAAAAUAAUAUUUUUUGUUUUAUCCUCAUGUGAGGCUACAGAAAAUUUUUGAAAACGAAACUGGAUAUUUUAUCUCUAACGACAGCUUUCAUACUUCGUUUACCCUGUGUUUCCAAGUUGUGCUAGCUAUUUGCAAACCUUGGAAUAUUACUUCAUCCAAAUCCCUUGCAGAGAAAAGAAAGAUAUGGCUUUGAUCGGAGAGGCCCUCAUCUCUGCUACCAUCCAGACGUUGUGUGACAAAAUUGCUUCGCCUGAGUUCACCGACUUAUUUCGGCAGAAAAAGCUCGAUGAACAACUCCUCAACAAGCUGAAGACGACGCUGUUGACCUUGUCCGUAGUGCUUAAUGAUGCAGAGGAGAAGCAAAUUGAGGAACCUUUAGUGAGAGACUGGCUUGACAAUCUCAGACAUAAUGUCUUGGCUGCGGAGGACUUACUGGAUGAAAUCGACACUGAAGCUUUGCGAUGCAAACUGGAAGAAGGUGAAGGUCAAACCCACAAUUUAACCAAGAAGGUACGUGAUUUUUAUCAACGCAUGAAUGUUGAGAUGAAAGAUUUAUUAGAAAGAUUAGAACAAUUUGUACAAGAGAAAAGUGCUCUUGGUUUGAGAGAAGGUGCUGGGAGGAAGGUUUCACGAAGAACAACAACUUCCUUGGUUCAUGAACCUUGUGUCUAUGGUAGAGAUGAAGUCAAAGAAAAUCUGUUGCCAAUUUUGUUAUCUGAUGAUGCAAGUAAGGAUGAUGUGUCUGUCCUCACCAUUGUUGGAAUGGGUGGGAUUGGCAAGACAACCCUUGCCCGACUGCUUUAUAAUGACGAUGAGGUGAAAGAACAUUUUCCACUUCACGCUUGGGUUUGUGUUACGGAAGACUAUGAUUCUAAUAGGAUAACUAAAACUCUUCUAGAGUCAGUCACCUCAAAGUCUUCUAAUAUGACAGAUCUAAAUUUACUUCAAGUUGAACUAAAAGAACAACUCAAGGGAAAGAAAUUCUUAUUUGUUUUGGAUGACCUAUGGAAUGAGAAAUAUGGUGAUUGGAAACGCCUCCAAACUCCUUUUACUUCUGGGGCAAGGGGAAGUAAAGUCAUUGUAACAACACGGAGCCAACAUGUAGUAUCUGUCCUGCAAAGUGUUCAUGUUCAUCACUUGGAACCCUUGUCGCACGAAGAUUGCUGGUUCUUACUUGCAAAACAUGCAUUUGGAAAUGAAAAUUGCAGUGAUCCAAACUUGGAAGAAAUUGGCAAGAAAAUUGCACACAAGUUCAAUGGGUUGCCUUUAGCUGCAGAAACACUUGGGGGUUUGUUACGUUGCAAUAUAGAUUCAGAGGAAUGGAAUACAAUACUAAAUAGCAGUAUUUGGGAGCUACCCUAUGAUAAAUGUGACAUUCUUCCGGCUCUUGGGUUGAGUUACCAUUAUCUCUCCUCCCAGUUAAAACGAUGCUUUGUUUAUUGUUCAAUUUUUCCAAAGGAUUAUGAGUUUAAAAAGGAAGAUAUAGUUCAAUUUUGGAUGGCAGAAGGUUUAAUUCCAAAAGCUGAGAAUGGAAAGAGCAUAGAAGCGGUAGCUAGAAAAUACUUUGAUGAGCUGUUGGCACGAUCGCUAUUUCAAAAGUCAAGCAAAUCCGGUUUCACAAUGCAUGAUCUCAUUAAUGACUUGGCCAUGUUCAUGUGUAAGGCAUUUUGCCUUAGGUUGGAAGGGGGGGAAUCACAUGUCGUAGAAAAAGUUCGGCAUUUUUCAUAUGCUAUGGAAAGAUUUGAUGCAGCUCCAAAAUUUGAGCCAUUACAUAGGGCUAAGUUUAUGCGGACCUUUCUACCCAUAUCAUUAAAUUUUGUUUCCACUUCUUAUGUAACUAAAAAGGUUCUACAAGAUUUGUUGCCGUCACUAAGAUGUUUACGGGUGUUAUCAUUGUCACAUUAUCAAAAUGUUACUGUGUUACCUGAUUCUAUUGCAAACCUCAUUCACUUGCGCUACUUGGAUCUUUCCGGUACCGCAAUUGAAAGGUUACCUGGGGUACUUUGCAAUCUCUACAACUUGCAGACAUUACUAUUGUCAAAAUGUUUCUCACUCCUUGAAUUGCCUGCAGACAUUAGAAAAUUGACUAAUUUACAGAAAUUGACAUUGCUCGGUUGUAGUUCUCUUAAUAAAUUGCCUGCAGGCAUGAAGGAGUUGACUAAUUUGCAUCAUCUUGAUGUCAGUGGAACUAAAAUUGAAGAGAUGCCGGUGCAAAUGGGUAGAUUGAAAAGUUUGAGAACAUUGACUGCAUUUGUUGUGGGCAAAUCUACUGGGUUAGGCAUAAGAGAACUGAGGCAGUUCCCGCAACUUCGAGGAAAACUAUCAAUUUUGAAGCUACAAAAUGUAGUUGAUGCGAGGGAUGCACUGCACGCCAAUAUGAAGCACAAGAAAGAUCUCAAGGAGUUAAAGUUUUCAUGGGGUGCGGAGGAUGCUGAUGAUUCCCAAAAGGAGAAAGAUGUACUCGACAAGCUCCAGCCUUGCGUGAAUUUGGAGAAAUUAUCCAUCAAAUUCUAUGGUGGAACCAAUUUUCCGAAUUGGUUAGGAGACUCGUCUUUUUCUAACAUACAAGUCAUGCAUCUCAGUGACUGUAGUUAUUGUUGGUUGCUCCCACCAGUUGGACGGCUACCGGCACUCAAAGAGCUCUGUAUAAAAAGAAUGAAGUCUUUGAGGACGAUUGGCGUUGAAUUCUAUGGCAGAAAUGGAGCUUAUCUGACUCAGCCAUUUCGAUCUCUGGAGAAGCUAGAGUUUAGGGGGAUGCCGGAGUGGGAGGAAUGGGUACCAAGUGGAAGUGCAAGUGGAGGUGAAUAUGGUCCAGACUUUCCUCGUCUCCAAAAGCUGAUUCUAAACGAGUGUCCGAAGCUAAGAGGAAGUUUGCCUUGUGAGUUGCCUUGCUUGAAGAAGCUUACGGUGUAUGGGUGUAAGGUUUUACAUGAUGGAAGGACCGCUACCGCAACUACCAAUAGUGUUAACUAUAAAUCUCUGGAAGAAUUGGAUAUAAGUGGUGGAUGCCAAACUCUGUUAUCAUUAUUAGAGACAAAGCUCCUGUCCCGACUUCGGAUUCGAAAUGUUGUUGACAUACAGUGCUUGCCCAACUGCAAUCGUCUUCAACGUUUGACUCUUUGCCUAACGCUGUCAUCGUUUCCCAAAGAUGGCCUACCCACUACAUUGACAUCACUUUAUAUAAACAAUUGUAGGAAAUUAGAAUUCCUACCUCAUGAGAUGUUGGCCAAAUUAACAUCGCUUGACUAUUUGUGCGUACAAAAUAGCUGUGAUUCAAUGAGGUCCUUCCCGUUGGGCAUUUUUCCCAAAUUGACGACGCUUCAAAUUCGUGGUUGUGAGAAUCUGGAAUCUUUUUCCUUGAUUGAAGAAGAAGGAGCUGUUGACAAUCUCAGCCAUCUCAAUUCCUUGCGUGUCUAUAACUGUCCAAAAAUGGUGUGUUUUCACGAGGGAGAAUUGCCCACUCCCAACCUGAGUCACUUUGUAGUCAUUGGUUGCGAGAAUUUGAAGUCAUUGCCCGAACGCCUUCACACCCUCACUGCCCUUCGAUCUUUGAAUAUAUGGAAUCUUCCGAAUCUGGAGUCAUUUGCAGAAGAUGGGGGUUUGCCUCCCAACCUCCGAUCUUUUAUCAUUAGGAAUUGUAAGAGACUGAGGGCACUUGACUCAGUGGGUUUGCAAGCACUUGUCUACCUUCAGAUCGAUGGAAGUGACCAUGUCUUGGAGACGUUGCUGCUCCCUACCACUCUUCACACUCUCUGCAUCUCUGAUCUAUCAACUCUGAAAUCUUUGGACGGAAAGGGUCUUGGACACCUCACUUCUCUUCAAACUCUAAAAAUUUACAGCUGUCCAAGUCUUCAAUGCCUGCCAGAAGAGGGUUUGCCGCCAUCUCUUUCUCAUCUGAGUAUCCGCUGUUGUCCUACCCUGGAGGAAAGGUAUAAGAAUAAAACGGGACAAGAUUGGGCAAAGAUAUCUCACAUUCCUUGCAUCGAGAUAGGGGAAGAAGUGAUCAUAUAAUAUGAGCUAUUCCAUAUUUCACGCUCAACCCUCAACUCUCAAAUCAAAGUCAGGUGAGGUAUGUGCCUUCUCUUACUUUAAAAAACUGCUUCUCUUCUUCUAAUUGAAUACAAAAACCAAAACACAUAUUCUCUUUCUCUUCCAAAAACCCAAAUACAUGUUGGACAUUGCCCAAAUUUGUCUCCAAAUUCCUAGUUUAAAUCAAAUUUAAUGCCUAUGGAUAGUUUGUUAAUAGGUUCAUGCCAUGAAUUAAUCUUUGGACUUUCCCAGGUACUGCAGGUUUGUUAUUAAUGUUGUGGCCUGAUAUUCGUCGUAUCAAUACGUUGAGGAGAGAGAUCGAUCAGCAAUUACAAAAUUGUUAGUGAAUUUAGCUUGUUUAUCAUCUCUCUCCUUUUGUUUGUUAAGUUUUGUUGUUCUAGGUUAAACCCUUGUCCCCGCAUUUCACAGCAACUCUGUGUUUUUCCACUCUGUUUAGAUUUCACUAGCAGGAGAGCCCGCGCGAUGCUGCGGGUUUUGAAAUUGUGUAGACAAAAUUAGAUUGUUUAUAUAUACAAUGAGAUUUAAUUUAUAACAUUAUGUUUAACUACAGGAGUGUAAGUUGCAAAAAAGUAUAUAAUAACAUAUUUUACAGGCUACUUGUUAUGGUAAAAUACUAUACUUGUUUGUAUAUACAUUGAGAUGUUUAUAGUAGGAAGUAGGCAUCAAAAUAGCAAAAGUUGGAUAGUUUUGUACAGAAUGUUAUUUAAUUGGGCAAGCUUUGUUUUGCACUUGCUUCAUGAUUUUUCUUCUCUUUCAUGGAAGUCUUGAUCCUGUUAUAAAAAAAAGUGAGAAAAUAGUAAAUGUUAAUAUUGAUGAAUGGGGGAAAUUGAGUUAGGACAAUAAUCAUAAACAUUUAAUUAUGUAUAAACAGGAAUAAUAUAAUUUAUUGAUUUAAUAAGAAAGUUAUAAAUAGUUUUUCAAUCUAGGAAAUACAAAGUUACAAAAUUAAGAGAACUAAUGAGCAAGUUGUAGAUGGUUUUCUAAUUGAAGUAAUACAAAGUAAACAUAUUUUAAAUUUUGUGUUUGUCUAAAAGAAAAGUUGAAGAGAGGCAAAAUAAUUAUGGUUGAAUAUAUGGAGAAAAGGAUGUCAAUAUAAUGUUUAGGUUUUUAUGUAUUAGGAAUAUAUGACUUUUUUGCUGUUAUUUAGAGCAAAAAUUAUUUAAGGGCUUGACAUUUCUGUUAAAAAACGGGUAGAAUCUACCCUGAAAAAUGGACAUUUUGCCAAAAAAUUCACCUGUAAACUAAUUAGUACUGAAUACCGAUUGGCGAAGGCAAGACAAUCAUAGUUGUGGAGUACAUAGUUAGAAAGAUGAAUGUGCAAACGUACAUCUAACCCCAUGAUAUACAUCUAACCCCAUGUGAACAUGAUUUAUUCUACAACAAUGAUUAUCAAUUUUCUAAUUGCUCAUUUUCCUAACCCUAAUCAUCACAAACCCAAAAUUAACUCUAAAAAUUUCAAAUAAGCAUGGUUCUAAACCAAUUUCUAACUUACUUAGCGAAGUCUUUUCUAUAAAUGAUAGUUGUUGAAGAAAAAGGGAAACGAAAAUAAGCUUUUAGUGUAUAAGUACAUUGAAGCAAAACAUGAAGAGAAUCCAAUAUAUAACUUCAAUAUAUAACUUUAAUUUUCUAUAAGUGUUGAUCUAAAUUUACAUCCCUUACCACUCUUCAAUUUAAAAAUAGUUUUAGCUACAACAAACAACUUCAGAGAGAAGAUUUGGCCCUGUUUUAUAAGGCAAAACCUCUCUAACCACAUGACAUACAUCUAACUCCAUGUGAACGUGAUUUAUUCUACAACAAUGAUUAUCAAUUUCCUAAUUGCUCAUUUCCCUAACCCUAAUCAUCACAAACCCAAAAUUAAUUCUAAAAAUUUCAAAUAAGCAUGGUACUAAACCAAUUUCCAACUUACUUAGUGAAGUCUUUUAUAUAAAUGAUAGUUGUUAAGGAAAAACGGAAACAAAAAUAAGCUUUUAGUGUAUAUGCACAGCACAGAAAUUGCAUGUAGCUUUCCGAUUUUUAUCCCAACUUCGUUUCUGUGGAAUCACAAAACUACAUACGCACAGCACAGGGAAGGGAAAAAAAAAAAAAGGCACAUUUAAGAGACACCUAUCUUCUCAUUCUACAUCACAUCCUCUUUUCCUAGCUUUCCAACCUUGCAACCAAAGCAAACAUCUUUCCUGAUAAAGGGUAGGAAAGAAAGUGGUUGUGUGAAUUGGGAUGAGAGAGACAGAGACAGAGACAGAGACAGAGAGACAAAGAGAGAGAGAGAAAAGAGAAAUCAAAGUAUAUAUAUAAAUAGUAAGUAUAGUUUAUAUCAUGCAAAGUUUUGAUGGUUUCGUUCAAAAAAAAAACAGGGAAAAAGUUUUGAUGGGUAAUUCUAGUAAUAAUGUUCUUAUAAUUCUAUAUAUAUAUAGAUAUCAAACUGUACUACCAUAUUCUUCCUAUAUAUACACUUGGUCGUCAACUACCUCUCUCUCUCUCUCUCUCUCUCUCUCUCUCUCUCUCUCUCUCUCUCUCUCUCUGUGACCUGCAUUUAUACAGAACCAAUUAUUCCAUCUUCACUAUACAUUUUCCUCAUCUUCCCAUUCAUAUUUUAUGGCUCUCUUGUUCUUCCUCCUAAUUCUUUUGGUCCCUGCAAGCAAUACUAAUUGGCCACCAUCACCUGGCUACUGGCCAAGUUCUAAAUUCAGGUCUAUGAGCUUUUAUAAAGGAUUUAAAACUCUCUGGGGUCCUCAGCAUCAAAGCUUAGACCAACAUGCAUUAACAAUCUGGGUUUAAUGAGGCCAGAAAAUUUUAAGAACUUAUCUACCAAGCAUACCAAACUGACAAAGCAAACCAUAUCUGUAUUUUAUCAUCAAUUUCAUCAAUUUUAUCACCAACAACAGAUAAAAAAAGGGAAUUUUUUCAAAAAAAAAAAAAAGGAAAAAACAUAAAUAAAAAAAGGGGCACAUUUAAGAGAGACCUAUCUUCUCAUUCUACAUCACAUCCUCUUUUCAUUUUGAAGCGGUCAUGUGUUGUGAGUUUCUUGUUUUAUAAAUUUUCAAAACUGUUGUUUAGAACUGCAAAAUUCUUCAUCAUAUAUCUUGCCUUCUAAUAUACAUUCUGUAUCAGGAAACUGGAAUGAGGCUUGCUCUUUGAGGAAGAGAAAUAAAAGAAAAAGUUGUGGCAAAGGUUCACGGAUGUAGUUGGAUUGUAGUGGGACAGAGAACAAAUUUAUUUGUUGCAGGGGAAAAGUCUCAUCCAAAUGCUAUGAAAUCAUGGCAACUUUAAAGUAUUGGACAGCAAUAAUGAAAGAAGAGGGCUAUGUUGGUGACACAGAUUCUUGCUUGCAUGAAUAAGAGGGAGAAAAGCCCCUAUGGUAUUGACUGUUGCCGCCAAGUGCAUAUUGUUAUUACUAUGCGUACUACAUCCCAAGGCCUCUCUCAGCAGGAUUACAAAGUAAACCAGAAUUACUAUCCCAGCAGUAUUCUGCAACUUUGCUCUGCACUUCCUUAUGUAAUCUCUCUCUCUCUCUCUCUCUCUCUCUCUCUCUAUAAAUAUAUAUAUACACACACACACACACACACACAUAUAUCUAGGCAUGCAUAUUUAUGAGUUCCCCAUUGAGGAGGGAUUCCCUUUUGAGGAUUUUAUAAUUAGAAUUAGACUGCCUUCUUAACCAAUAGUUGGGUUUGUGUGGUAAGGUAUGCUGGGUUUGUUGAUGUGGAUAUUUAUGCCUGGAGGUGCUUUGUUUUACUACUUCGUUGAAGUAGAAACAGACACUGACAAAGAAGCCCUUCAUUCUUUGUCUCAAUAGUGAUUGGUUUCUUUGAUCCUAUUCAUCAUAUCUGGUGGUGAGGUUGCCUAAUCAGCCAAAUGUUGGGUUCAACUACCUCUCUCUCUCUCUCUCUCUCUCUCUCUCUCUCUGUCUCUCUCUCUCUUUCUCUCUCUCUCUGUGACCUGCAUUUAUACAGAGCCAAUUAUUCCAUCUUCACUUUACAUUUUCCUCAUCUUCCCAUUCAUAUUUUAUGGCUUUCUUGCUCUUCCUCCUAAUUCUUUUGGUCCCUGCAAGCAAUACUAAUUGGCCACCAUCACCUGGCUACUGGCCAAGUUCUAAAUUGGCCAGAAAAUUUUAAGAACUUAUCUACCAAGCAUACCAAACUGACAAAGCAAACCAUAUCUGUAUUUUAUCAUCAAUUUUAUCGCCAACAACAGAUAAAAAAAGGGAAUUUUUUCAAAAAAAAAAAAAAAAAAGGAAAAAACAUGUUUAGUCUUUGCUUUCCAAUGUUUUAUCCAAAAACCUGAAAAUCAAAGUAACUAAAUAAAUGAACCCAAUCAUUCCUAAUUUCUAUUUUGUCAAAACCUAAUUAAGCUUCACUUCUUUUUUGCUUGUAUUUUAUCAUCAAUUUCAUCUAUUUUAUCACCAAUAGCAGAUAAAAAAAGGAAAUUUUUUCAAUUAAAAAAAAAAAAAACAUACUCAGUCUUUGCUUUCCAAUGUUUUAUCUAAAAACCUAAAAUCAAAGGAAUCAAAUAAAUAGGGUUUAGGGCUCAAGAACCUGAAAUCAAAAGAACCAAAAAAAUGAACACAACUCUACAUAGCACGAAAAAUCUCCCAGCCAACAAUCAAAUUCAUGAAAUAAAUACCAAAAGAUCUGUUAAAAAAUUGAUGAGAUGCAUACCUGAAAACAAAGGAUGCAACAAAGAUGGAAGCCUGAGUCGAAGCAAGAACGAUGGAAGCCUGAGUCGAAGCAAGAAAGAUGGAAGCCUGAGUCGAAGGUUGUAGAAAAGACGAAAUCUCCCGAUCCCAAAUCUGUGACACGAAGACUGAAAGCACGGCUGGAUUUGCAGCUCACCUCCCAAACAAAAAUCGACGGCCUUCAACGCAUCUCCAGCAACGAACACAACUCUUCCAUGGCUGCCCCCCAACCAGCUGGUUGGAAACGAACGGGAGAAAAUGGUUUCUCUCAGCGGACGAAACCAUCUCAACGAAGGGGGAGGGGCAAAAACGGGAACAAAAGAAACUGUUUAGUCAAGGGCAGUUUCGUCAUUUAACUGUGCUGCAGGAAAAAAAACGAAAACAGCAGAAAAAUGAGGGGCAUUUCCGUCAUUACACUGUGCUUAGCUACAGUGUUUAGUUGCAUUGGGUUUUAGUAUAUAUAUAAUUUAUGUUGUGAUUCGACUGCUGCUGUAUUUUAGAUUUAUAGGAACAGACCAAACAUGUUGAUUCUAUCACCAAAAUUAUAAAGUAUACUUCCAUUACAAUUAAUUUGUUGAUUCUAAUUUGGACUUGUAGGAACAGACCAAACAUGUUCAUACGUGGCAUUGCUCAAGUCAUCAUCAUUCGGGACAGAGAAUAAGCCUUCAAAUGUCUGCUGAGUCAAUGAACCUUUCUAGAUAUCUCAAGUGUAAUGGAAAUUGAUGAGUUACAAAGGAUUUGUAAACAUUUUCUACUGGAGGCUAGAAAUGCUUCAAAUAAAUGACUCUGUUGCAAUUAUUUUGUAGGAUCAAAGACUCUGCAAAGAGGUAAGAAAGUCAUCAUCAAGUAACUUCGCUCUUCAUACUUUUUAUUAGGGGUGGGCAUUGGAACCGCAAAACCGCAAAACCGAACCAACCCAAUCCGAAAAAAACCGAAAAAAACCGUGUUGACCGAAAAAGUCAAAAACCGAGACAAAUCCAAACCGAACCGGUUCAGACCGGUUCCGGUUCCGAUUUUCCACCUUAAGGAACCGGUCCAAUCCGAACCGGUCCAAUAUAAUUAAUUUUUAUAUUAUAUUUAUAUUUAUAUUUAAAAUAUCAAAUUUUGUAGGCCCAAACCCAACUAUUUCAUUAUACCAACAAAAAGCCCAAAUCUCCCAAGUCCAUUGCCCAAGUCCAACAAGCCAUAUUUUAAUAUCCUAAUCACAUCAAAUCUCACUUCACUCUCUCUCUCUGACGCACUCUCUCUUUUCCUCUCAGAUUUUUUUUACUCUCUUUUUCUUUCUUUCUUCUCUCUUCCGCCUCUUUUCCUCUAGGUUCUUUAACUUCUUUUUACUUCUUUCUUUCUUCACUCUUCUGCCUCUUUUCCUCAGUUUUUUCUUCUUCUUUCUCUCUUAUUCUUUCUCCUCUCAAUUCGUCUCCAUUUUUUUUCCCUCUCUUUCUCUGAUUUUCUGUUACUCUGAUUUUUUUCUUCUUGGUUUUAUGUUUCUCUCUCUCCCUCUAUAUCUCUUUCUUUGCAACUCUGUUUUUCAAUUUCUCCUUUUUUUUCUCUCUUCAUUUUUUGUUUCUCUGUACAUAUAUGUGUUCAUCUUGUAGAUCUGGGUGAAAUUCUUGUAGAUCUAGGUGAAGUUCUUGGAGAUCUGCGUUAAGUUCUUGUAGAUCUAGGUAAAGAGCCAAUUCAAAGCAGGUCAGCGUCUCUUAUCUCCCCAAUCCCUUGUGAAGAUAUGUAUUUUUUUUGUUGUCAACAAUCCAUUUUGGUGUUUUUAUAUGGUAUUGAUAUUUUCUAUGAUUUUGGGCUGAUUUGAGGUCUGAUUCUUUUUUUUUCUUUCAAUUUUUUCCUGUUGUGUUUUGAUAGACAUGUUCUCUAUUCCUGAUAUCAUUCCUCAGUGGCAAAAUCUUUGAGCGUUGUUGUAAAUUUUAGACGGGAAAGAAGCUCAUUCAUAAUUCAAAAAAAGAAAAUAAAGUUACAACAACUGACAAUUUGUUGCUCUUUGAAAUAGGUACUGAAGUAGCAUGGAUAAAAAGAAAGACUGAAGAUGUUGCAGAAGAUUGAAUAUGUUCUAUUUCUGUAAUUUGUUUGUAAUUAAAUUUGUUUAUUUUGUUUUGUUUUUAGGUUGUAAGUUUUAUUUUAAUGUUUGAUAUUUGUUGUUUUGUCAAAAAAUUGUAUUAAUGCUUGAUGGAUUCAUUCAAUUUGCAGUGCGUGGAUGUGAAUUGGGCCAAUCGGUAAUAAUUAGGCCCAAAAGGUUUUAAAUAUCAAUUGGGCUGAAACUUACAAAAAAAUUUAAGAACAAAAAAAAAAUCAAUUAAGCUGUGUGUCGGCCCAAACCGUAAAAACCGGAACCGAACCGGAUUCAAAUGGGUUCGGGUUGGUCCGGUUUUCUCAAGCAUUUUAGUAAAAAUCCGAACCGGACCGGACCGGUGAACAGUACCGGUUCCGGUUUUAAAUUGAUGCAAAAACCGGUCCAAACCGGACCGUGCCCACCCCUAUUUUUUAUUUUUAUUUUUAAAUAUCAGUAAUAACUGGGAAAGCUUGCAUCUCCUUAAAUUGCUCAUUCUUACAUCUUUUAUAGUUUGUUGAUCUUGGGCAAGUGGAGAGAGAGGCGUCAAGUGAUACGCAACAACCAUUUUCUGUGAGCUGAUUUGAUAAAGAGAAAUGGUAUGCUUUCUUGUCUUAAGCGGUGUGUUCUGCAAUUAUUUGAAACAAAGGAUGCCGCACUUCAAGUUCGAGAAAAUCAGGUAUUUUAGUAUUUUAUUCUUGAGAAAUUUGAUUUAUGUAGAAACUUGAACAUGUAAAUGAGAGAAAAAAAAAUAAAUAUAUAUAUAUAUUAUAUAUUGUAUAUGCUGUUAAUGAGUUAAUAUGGUGCUUGCUCCUAGUUGGAAAUUUAUGUAGUCAUCUACCUAUGAUCAAAUAAAGAUGAAAAAUAAAAUAAAAUUGAGAGCAUCUUCCUCUCCCCUGCUUUGCUCAUCCCUUGUUCUUCCACUUCAGCCCCACUAUUACACCAUUUUUUUCAGCCACAAUUAUAAUAGCUCCAUGAGCAUUAAGUCCCUUUCAAAUUCUGCUGACAUUCAAAAUUGGAAUCUGCUGGUGAUAUAUGAUAGCGUUAACAUAUUGUACCAUUUUGGCCAGUGUACGCAAUAUUAUUGCAUCCAACUUUGCAUAUUAACAUCAGUGGCCACAGUUACACGAUUUGAGUGCACAGAAAGGUUUCAAAAGUUGUCCCACAGAGAACAGUCGUUCAAAGUGAGAGAGUUUUGAAAGCUUAAUUACAAGUUCAUGUUGUUUACAACCUCAAAAAGCUUUCAUACUUGCUUACAAACCUGUAUUUCCAAGUUCUGCAAACCUUGGAAUAUCACUUCAUCCAAAUCCCCUUCCAAAGCAGGAAAAAAUGGCAGCAGCUUUGAUUGGAGAGGCUCUCAUCUCUGCUUCUAUCGAGGUGUUGUGUGACAGAGUUACUUCAGCCGAGUUCAUAGACUUAUUUCAGCAGAAGAAACUUGAUGAAACACUCCUCAUGAACCUGAAGACGACACUGUUGAUUUUGUUUGCGGCGCUCAAUGAUGCAGAGGAGAAGCAAAUUGUGAACCCUGCUGUGAUAGAGUGGCUUAACAGCUCAAGCAUGCUGUCUUUGAUGCAGAGGACUUACUUGAUGAGAUUGACACUGAAGCUUUGCGAUGCAAGCUGGAAGGUGAGGAUCAAACCCACAAUAAUUAACCAACAAGGAUCUUUUUGAUUGUUUGAAAGGAGGGUCUUUGAUGAUUUGAAAGGAGAGGGUUGCUUCAUUUCUGUUGGAUGCUUAAUUAAAUCUUAUCUGGACUUGAACAAGGAUUAGGUUAGCUGUAUAAUUCGUGGUAAACACCUUUUUCUAAGGUUCAUUUAGACUCCUAUUACGAUUAAUUUGUUGUUUCUAAUUUGGACUUGUAGGAACAGACCAAAUAUGUUCACACGUGGCAUCGUUCAAGUCAUCAUCAUUUCAGACAAAAUCAGCCUUCAAGUGUCUGCUGACUCAAUGAACCUUUCUAGAUAUAUCAAGUGCAAUGGAAAUUCAAGAGUUACAUAGAGAUUUGUAAACAUUUUGAAGAUUGCAACACCUGCAAGUGAGAUAGGUGGUGACGAAAUCAGAGCUGAUCUUGAAGCCUCUGAUGCCCCUGUCGUUGCAAGUUGCACCUGAGAACAUGGUUUUUUUUUGGGUAAAAAACCAGCAACAUGUUCGGGGCUGGCAAUUCAAUCCCUGAUGAACUUGAGAAGCAAAGCUCCAGUAAGGAAAUUGGUCGAGGUCACGACAGGGAUAAUUGAUGGUGAAAUGGAUGCUAUUUCUUAUUGCAGCCUGUUCUCAAAGUUCUUGUUGGCAAAAGCAAGAGAUGGAGUAUUUUGAUUGGGAGGAGAGAUAAUGACAUGUGUUGACAAUUCUAGAACAGCCCAUCUGAGUUCUUUUGUCAGGCUGCAUCAUUUAAUCCCAGCAAAAAUCCAGUUUUUGCUAAACAAUCAAAUUGUACACAUUUUUUCUUUUCGAGGAAUUUAACAUUACACAUUUUUUCAUUUUUUCAUCAAACAGUUUUCUAAUGCAUUUGUUGUCCCAAGUUACAAUGAGGAAUUUGGAUUGAGUUUCUUGUGUUAAUAACAUUAUACUUUCAUGGAAUGGUUUAUCUUCUUUUUCUGGACAAAAAUAUUUAGAUUAAUUUCUUGGAAUAAUUUUUUAAUAAUUUUUUAAUUGCAGUAGCGAAAAAAGGAAAAUUGUAUUUUUCAAAACCAAUCUUAAGUCCAGUUUCCUCUUCUUGGUCGUCACACUUGGAAAUUGCUAACCAUAUAUAACUUGGGGUAACAAUCUUAGUCCGAAUGUGUACGAUCUUAGUCCGAUCAAUGGCUACGCGUAUUGGCUCGGCCUUGGGGUCUACCAUUCCAGUGUACAAGCUUCCUGGGUCUUGGGGCAAUUCCUUCAAAUUGUACACAUGUUUUCUUUGAGAAGCAAGGCUCUAGUAAGGAAAUUGGUUAUGUAACAAAUUUUGGUCCCUUUGGAUGGAAUGAUUUACAAUGAGGAAUUUUAUUAUUAUUAUUUUGUUUUUGUUGUUAGUGUAAUGAAAAUGAUCUAGGUUCAUACACUGGGUAUAGCUCUAAUUUGGCCAAUUUCAUUAUUUUAGUUUCUUCAUAUUUUCAAUUAUUAUAAUUUGGUGCGUUGUUUUUUAAAAACAUUCAUGAGAAUCUCCAUUUUUUAGGUGUUUAAGUUAUUCAUCCACAACGGUUUUAUAAUACCGUCAUCUUUUCAAACACAACGAUGAUUUUUUAAUCUAUCGUCGUUGUUUUCUGAUCGUCUUUUUCACUUUUUGUAGUAGUGUCAAUAAGUAAGAUGAAAUAAUACAUUCACAAUCUGUUUAAAUUUUAAAUUAAAAAAAACACAAGAAAAUUUUAAAUAAGUAAGUAAUUUUAAAUAUAUAUUUCCAUUGUUUUGGUUUUCUUUUCAUAUUAGUUUUCUACUAGCUGCUAAUUUCAUUUAAAUUGUUUUUCUUACUUCAUUUAACUUUUAAGCAUGCAGAUGCAAUCAUGACUUCUUCUUUUUUUCAAUAGACUGAUUCUCUUCCCACAUAUAUAAUGCUCUCUAAGUAUUCGUAAUAUGAGUAGGAAUUUAUUUUCAUUUCACAAGAAUUGUCCAUCAAAUUCUGAUAGGUUUGUCGAUAGCACAAGCAUGCACAUAUAGACACUACAAGAACUUUGUUUCUUCAUUUUGUUUCCUAAAGAUUUGUUGGCUUCGUGCAGAUGAAUAACAAGUCUCUCUGUCCUCUAUUUCUUCUUUUUCUUUUUUAACAAUUCAUAUUCUACUUUCUGUUUUCACCCAGUAAAAAUUGAUUUUAGACAUGGGCUUCUAAAUUAUGUGCGGAUAAUGGUUGCAUUUAUAGAAUAUCCAUGGGCUUCUAGUCACCGUGGUUGUUGAUUCAGCAUGUCAUAUUACUCUUGGACUAGCUGUUGACACUACUACAUUUUACACUUUGCGCGACGAAGAACAAAACGUCGCGCAAAGUCGCAUUUAGUCGCCCCAAUUUCAGCGCGACAAAAACGUCGUCGCGCAUAUUCCGUCGCGCGAAGAUCGUGAAGAAAGCCUUUGCACGACGAGGUACAACCCUUCGUCGCGCAAAAGUGUGCGACGGGUAAACCAUCGUUGCACCAACGGUGUGGAGACGAAACAACCCUUCGUCGCAAAAAUAUUUGCGCGACGAUAAAUUAUGCGGCGCACGUAUAUUUGCGAGACGACGGGAAUUGCGCGACAAAACAUUAUUCGUCGCGCAAAAUAUGUAUGGGAGACGUAUAUGUUCGUCGCAGAACAAUUCGCGCGAUGAGAAAGUUUUCGUCGCACAUAUAAUUGCGCGACGAAAAAUUAUGUCGUCGGCCAAAUAUUUUGCGCGACGAAACAUUUCGUCGCGCAAAACGUGUUAUGUGUUCGUCGCGCAUGAAUUAAAAGUGAUAAAAAAAUAUUUGAUUUUUUUUUGUUACAUGUUGGUUUGCGCGACGAAAGAUUUUCCGUCGCGCAAAAAUAAUAUUACAAUUUUUUUUUUAUUUAUAUUUUUUAUUUGAUAUAAAAUUGGUUUCUUUUUAUUGAUUAAACAAUGAAAUUGCAAUAAAAAUAAAUUAGAAUAAAAUUUUGUUAUAAAAUAAAAUAAAAUAAAUGUAUUACAAAUAAAAUAAAUACACUAAUCAAAUAAUGAAUCAAAAUCAACCGAGUCGUCGCCAGUAUGCGGCUCGGAGGGCGGGGCGUUCACCGGGGCAGUGGUCUGGUGGGGAUGCCCGGGAUGGACGGGCUCAGAGGUCGGCGCAUCAAAAUGCGGGACUGGAAUGCCGGACUGUGCGAGGGACUGCAGAAUGACCGACAUCUGGCUCUGAAGAGUGGCCACCUGUGCUGUCAAAGCAGUGACCUGACUGUUUGACUGCGCCGAUGAACGAGGUCGAGGUUCCCUCCGCCGGGCAUUCCCCAUCCCUCGACAAUAUGUCCCCGGCCUCCUCCCGAGAGUCUGAUCCAACGUCUCCGUCAAUAUCUGAAAUCCAGCAUCCUGUGGAGGAGCCACAGACUCGAUCGGAGUCUCGGGAGGAAGCUGGGAGGCGGACUCCUGAAGAACAAGCUGGCUCCUCUCCACCAUCGUCGUCUGUUGAACAUAACAUAAAAUAUAAAUUAAAACAUGCAUAUAAAUUGAAUGCGUAACAUAAGAAUUAAAAUUAAAUAAUACUUACAUGAAGGGACUCGGCCAACUCAUUCCCGGGUCGAACAUAAACGUCACCAAAGACGUCGAUCUCUGGGAACUUGGACCCCUCCUAAAUUGAACAAGAGAAGAAAAAUAUUAGUAUGAAAAAAAUAAAUUAAUAAAAAUGACAUUAAAAAUGAAAUAAAAAUUUUGUGAUUAUUACCCGACGCCGUGCAUCCAUCCUAUAAGAAAAGGGUCUGGAGCCGGAAUGGUGGAGAAGGGUCUUCUUCUUCCUAUUACCCUUAUUCACUUGGGCUUUAUUCUGUUAUACAAAAAAUGAAACGUAUUAGUUAAAAUAUAAAAAAUUAAAUAAUAAUGAAAUAAAAAAAUAAAAUAAACAUUAAUAAGUAAUAAGUAAUAAUUAAACAAAUAUAAUUAAAAAAAUACCGCAAAUUCGGGCGCUUGAAAAUGAGCGCAGAGCCACUCCCAACUAUCCUCCCGCCCCUCAAGCUCCUUCGGGCAACCCUCCUGAAGAGCGACUUGCGGAUCAUCAUAGGCCUGAAAAUGGUGGUGCAAGUCGCUCUUCCACUGCUUGUACCUCUCAGCGAAGAGUCGGUUGACGUACGUCAACGACUCUUCGUCGAGAUCCUCCAAGUUAUAGUUCGUCUGCAAUCAAUUAAUUAGAUACGUUAAGUAAUAGAAAUAUACACAAUUUUAAAGAAAAAUAAUGAAAAUGUAAGGUACAUACCGACAACUGGCCGUGAAUCUCCGCCUGGAUCUCGUCAGGCAUGACCCUCCAAGACUUCCAUUGCAUCGGGCAAUGGGUCCGCACGACGUGGCCAAUGUCGUGGGCCAAGGAGCUAUGCAACUUCGCCGUCGGUGCAGCACGAUGGCGCUCGUCGUAUCCGAUGCUGAUACGACUGUUGGUCACCCGGGUGACCUUCGCCGUCUUCAGCUGACGACACGGUCCUCGGGUGUUCCUCUUCGCUGCAAAGAAAUAAGGUAUUAAUGUUAAAUAAAAAAACAUUGUCAAAUUUCAAUAUAAAAUUAACAAUACAAAAGUGUAGUUAUACCUGGCUGUGAUCCCGAGGCACCAGUACCGUCGGUCGAUGUCGUGUCGAUGGUGUCGGUGGGCCGGUGCCGCCGCCUAGCACUAGCUGGUUGCGCCACGGAUGACGCAGAUGACACAGGCGCCUGGGGCGCCCCGGGACCAACCACCACGUGGUCCAACAAAGCAGGAGCAGUGGCAGCAGAUGCCGACUGAGCCAGGGGAUCCGAACUCGGUGCAGUCGUCAUCGACCUACCACGUCUAAUCAAGUCUGACAUCUGCACAUAUAAUUUCAUUCAGAAUGUAAACUAAUUAAUUAAAAGCAUAGCCUGACCUAGGGUUUGGAAUUUCGGAGUAUCCGGGACUCCGAUCAACGAUCGGUCGAAUCCUAAACGAUCCUAGAAACACAAAGGUACAACUACGCGAGUUUCAGUUCGAUCCAACGGUCCGAACAUAUCAAACCUGGAAAUCGCACAAUAGGCGAAAUUCGAUCAAGACUCAAACGGUAACCAAAUUCAAAUCCGAGCAAACCUACGCGCUCGUGACAAACAGGGGAUCGCUCUGGGACACAAUGCCCCACUGCCACAGCAUCCCACGCGCCGGCAGCGCGUGGGUGUCCAAAGCGAUAACAUUCGCCGGAAAAUUCUAAAAACUAACGGCCAAGGUUCCUACCCUAGGUUGAAAACAAUAUUUGGCGCCACUUUUGUUCUCGGACCUACCCCGAAAAAUGGCCGGAAGUGGCCGGAUUUGAAAUUGCCAAACCGGCCAAAACCUAGGGUUUUAAUUCCUAUUUCCUAUACCCAUCAGCUAGAGCACAAAAAAUAGUCGAGAAAUCAUACCUCAGGCGUCGGAAAUGGUGGCCGGAGGAGAGAGAAAACGGCCGGCGAGGAAUCGGUGAAAAACCGACGAUGUGCGACGGCAGGCUCGACGGCGAAGGCAGGGGAGGCUAUGGCAGGAGCGGCGGUGGCUGAGGUGACGGCGGAGAGAGAGGGCUGAGGUGACGGCGGAGAGAGAGGCAAACGGAGGAAAAAACCAGAAAUGGGGAAGAAGGAGGCAUCGCGACGUUUCUGCAAAUUUUUACGACUUUGCGCGACGAAUCACAUCAUUCGUCGCGCAAAAUGCUAUUAAUGAAUCUUGCGCGACGCUAUAUCCGUCGCGCAAGAUCUGUCAGAACGCCAAAUUCUGAAAGUGGAUUAGGGUCUGUAAGUUUUGCGCGACGAAAUAGACAUACUUCGUCGCGCAAAAGGCUGUCUUUCCGCCAAAAUUUUGGGAUUUAGGGUUUAGCGGGAGGCUGAAACUGAAGGGUUUGCGCUUUUGCGCGACGAAGACGGUAAACGUCGCGCAAUGGUAACCUUGCGCGACGGAACGUAUUAUAUUCGUCGCGCAAAAGGCUAUCUUUCCGCCCAAAUUUUGGGAUUCAGGGUUUAGCGGGAGGCUGAAGGGUUUGCGCUUUUGCGCGACGAAGACACUAAACGUCGCACAAAAGGCUGUCUGCUGAAAUGAAUGGUUUCUGCUUUUGCGCGACGAAGACAAUAAACGUCGCGCAAAACGUUGUCGUUCCGCCAACAAUUUGGGGUUUAGGGUUUAGUGUGAAAACUGGCGCCCAGAUUGCGCGACGAAGAGUACAUAUUUCCUUCGCGCAAUCUAUUUCACUUUCACUUUGCGCGACGGAUAUGUUGGUUCGUCGCGCAAUCUUCAAGAUUUUCAUUGAAAUUUUCACUAAGUGUUCAAAGGGGAUGGAGGUGUGAAAACUGGCGCCCAGAUUGCGCGACGAAGAGUACAUAUUUCCGUCGCACAAUCUAAUUCACUUUCACUUUGCGCGACGGUUAAAUUGUUCGUCGCGCAAAAUGUAGACCCUAAACCCCCUUGUAAACCCUAAACCCUGAACCCUAAGCCAUAAACCCUAAACCCUAAAAUAGUUUCAAUGAUCCAACCGGCAAACUUAUUGUUUGAAACUUGGAGAUCAUAUACGCCAAAAAUCAAGAAGACCAAACAUUCAGAUAUCAGGGAACGGGACUAAAUAUUUCGACGGUUAUAAAUGAAAAGUCAUGAUUUAACGGUUAUUGUAACUCCGAUUUUGAUCAAUUUUGACAGCAGCAUUUGUUGACCCUAUAUGAAUACAAUGACUGAAUUUGAUCUUCAAUUUCAGAUUUUUACACUAGGGGAUACCACAUAAACGUGAAGUUACAUUUGCACAAAUGUAUAAACAAAUUUUAGGGUUUUUGGUGAAUAUAUGAUUUUGAUAGCACAUGCAGUCUACGAAACAAGUUUCAGUCAUCCAGCCGUCAAACUUGUUUUUUUAGACUUCGAGAUCAUAGACAGCAAAAAUCGGACAAAAAAAACAUUCAGAGAUUAAGCAACGGGGUAAAACUUUUCGACGGUUCUAAAUAAAAAGUGAUGAUUGAACGGUUAAUUUAACUCCGAUGUUGAUGAUUUUUUGCAGCUACAGUCCUACACUCCAUAUGAAUACAAUGAACUACUUCGAUCGCCAAUUUUAAAUAUAUAUGUGUGUAUAUAUUAUACUAUAACGUUACCUAAUAUAUAUUUGCGCGACGAAAGUUUGCUUAUCGUCGCGCAAAAAUGCCAUACGCGACGCAUGUAUAUAUGCGUCGCGGAAACUAUGCGCGACCAGUUGUAUUCGUUGCGCAAACAUUACGCGACGCUUAUGUAUGCGUCGCGUAUGGUAUGUUUGCGCGACGAUAUGGAGCCCUUCGUCGCGCAUGGAUUUGGCGCCAUAAAUCCUCAUUGAUUUCAAAUUGUGUAUGCUUUGUAUUUUUUAGAAAGGUUUUGUAUUCAUCAUUUUUUAUGCUUUGUAUUUUGUGGAAAGGCUUUGAAAUAUUCAUUUCUUUUGUUAUUUUUAUUGAAGCUUUAACUUGUUCUGUUCCGCAGAAAAUUCCAAUGAAGUUUGUGAUGAAAUAUGGAGAAUGAAUACACAACUACAUAUGGACAACUACACAUAUUCAAAGAUUUGUAUUACACAAAAUUAAUACACUAACAUAAUAAAUUUACAAAUAAAUUCAUUAUUCAUCAUCUGAACUAUAAUAACUUUCGUUAUCGUCGCUAGCUUUAACUUGUUCUGUUCCGCAGAAAAUUCCAAUGAAGUUUGUGAUGAAAUCUGGAGAAUGAAUACACAACUACAUAUAGACAACUACACAUAUUCAAAGAUUUGUAUUACACAAAAUUAAUACACUACAUAAUAAAUUACAAAUAAAUUCAUUAUUCAUCAUCUGAACUAUAAUAACUUUCGUAUCGUCGCUAUCAUCACUCUCGGUCUCCCAAUCUUCUUCCUCCUCCUCCUCUAUAACUGCAUCAUCGGCGUUGCUAGGGCCCACUGCAACAUCGUAUCGGGGAAGAUCACCGAGGUCAAUUGUAAUUGACUGAAUCGGUAUUUCGACUGAAGACACUCCUUCUAUUUGAAACGGUUCUUGUAUAACAUUUGUAUCUCGAAGUGUUUCCGCAUCAUUUUCCAUUGAAGAUUCUAAACGAUGGUCAGCCACAUUGUCGACGUCGUUGUCACUUGGGUCUAGUUCUGGUAUAUUAUACACGUUCCUAUGAUCCAUCUUCUGCACAACUUUCCACCCGUUCCCGGCUUUAGGGUCAUCUAGAUACACAAUUUGGGACGCCAUGUUUGCCAAAAUGUACGGGUCGUCAUCAUACCAAGUUCUGUUAAUAUUCACAGACAGUACUCCAUGGUCGAUUUUAACACUUCCCGCCCUAUUUGGGUUGGUAUCGAACCAUCGACACUUAAACAUGAUGACUUGGUAUCGAUCUUUGUAAAGCAAUUGCACGACAGUUGUCAGUUUGCCAUAGAAAUCAAUGUCUGUACUUUCGCCUCCACCUGGGACAUGAACACCGCUAUUUUGCGUACACAACUUGUCAUCUCGUGCGGCCCCUAAAAAUUUGACGCCGUUAACAUUACAACCCGAGAACAAUUCAGCGCGAAUUGGGCCGAACGCCAAGUUAUAUAACUCAUCACUGUAAGUGGGGGAAUUCGAUGAUUUCAAUUUAUUCACCUAAUAGUAUACAAAACCAUUUACAUGUUAGUCUGACAAAAUUAAAUACUAAAAUUUAUAUUUGUCAAUUACAAAACACUUAUAACUUACAGAAUCCAAAAACCAUUGUGGAAAUAAUUCACGGUGUUUCCGGGCAACCAAAUGUGAUGGAUGUUCUCGCUUCAUCAUCUGUUCAUGCUCAUCUAAGUAGGCCAUUAUCUCAUCACAAUUGUUCAGUACGAACCAAUGCGCUACCUCCAUGUCAUUUCUAGAAAACGACUCUCCUCGUCCAGGAUCUCCAAAUGGUCGUGCGCUUUGGGCAAAAACAGAAAGUUUUUCAUUUCUCAUACCUCCGUCAUUAUUGCGGUGAGGACGAUUGAAAACCGUCUCCACAUCUUUUAAAUACAUUCCACAGAAAGUAAGCGACUCAUAUUGAACCCAAGCCUCUAUAAUUGAUCCUUCGGGCUUUGCCCUGUUGCGUACACUUUUUUUCAGCUCUCCGAGAAGCCUGCCAAAAUAAAACGAUAUGAUACAAAUUAGCAAAGUGUCGAUAAUGAUGCAUACACAAAUGAUAAAGAUUAUAUACCUUUCUAUUGGAUACAUCCAGCGAUAGUUGACAGGACCAGCAAGCAAUGCCUCUUCUGGCAAGUGAACCAUCACGUGCAUCAUACUUAUAAAGAAAGCUGGAGGAAAUAUCAUCUCAAACUUGCAUAGGACUUGGACAAUGUCAUGGCGCAACUGAAACAUGUCUGUCCUUCGCAAUGUUUUUGCCGUCAGUUGGGAAAAAAAUCUGGAUAACAACAUGAUUGGCUUCACCACAUCUUCCGGCAGUAAGUGUCGAAUACCCACAGGAAGUAGGCGUUGCAUGAACACAUGGCAGUCAUGGCUCUUAAGUCCAGUAAAUUUACCCCCAUCGACAUUCACGCAACGUGCGAUAUUAGAAGCAUACCCAUCGGGAAAUUUGACAGACGAUACAAACUUUAGAAACUCCUUUUUGUCAUUCGGUUUCAUAGAAAAGAAUGCAAGAUCCCUUCUAGCUUUAUCACUGUCCCUAUUCAUCCAUAAACCCCUUCGUAUGCCCAUUCUUUCCAAAUCAAGACGAGCUUUGAUCGUGUCCUUCGUCUUCCCCUCGAUAUCUAGAAUCGUGCCCACCAAUGUGUCGAAAACAUUUUUCUCAACAUGCAUCACAUCUAGAUUGUGCCUCAAUUUCAGUUUCGACCAAUAUGGGCGCUCAAAAAACAUAGACUUGUGCGUCCAGUUCAAAUGUGUAGAAGGUCGGGUCCGACUAACUGUUUUCCCGAACGGAGCAAAAUCCAAACGGUUCAGCUGUUCCAAGAUCUCAUCACCGGACCAUUCUCUAGGUCUGAGGCGACGCUCUGUGUUCCCGUCGAACUCUUUAUCUUUUUCUCGCCACUCGUGGUCCCAUGGCAACCAUCUCCGAUGACCAAGGUAACAAACUUUUCCCGCGUGCCAACCAGAAGUUACAUCUUCCUUGCAUACAGGACAUGCCAUAUAACCCUUUGUGCUCCACCCAGAAACCAUUGCAUAUGCUGGAAAAUCAUUCACAGUCCACAUAACUGCUGCUCGCAAAGUGAACAUCCUCCCAGUUGAUUUAUCGUACGUGCGAACACCGUUUGUCCAUAAAUCCUUCAGCUCAUCAACCAGAGGCCUUAAGUACACAUCAAUUGACCUGCCAGGAUCCUCAGUUAUCAAAACAGUCAUCAUCAUGUAUUCUUUUUUCAUGCAUUUCCAAGGCGGCAAAUUAUAUGGGAAUGCGAAAAUCGGCCAAGUGCUGUGGUGUUGGUUUAGAACCCCAUACGGAUUGAAUCCGUCAGUGGCAAGUCCCAAUCUAACAUUUCGGGGAUCAGCAGCAAAUUCGGGGAACGUUCGAUCGAACUCUUUCCAUGCCUCCCCAUCUGCAGGAUGCCGCAUCACAUCAUCGUCUACCCGUUUUUCCUUAUGCCAUCUCAUGUCUGUGGCAGUAUGCGUUGACAUAUACAAUCGCUGCAACCUAGGUUUAAGGGGCAGAUAACGCAUGACUUUUUGUGGUAUCUUAGUCGUUCUAUUCUGGGAUGUCAGUUUGAACCUCGACUCAUUGCAUAUAGGGCAUGUAUCCAACGUUUCAUGCUCUUUGUAGAAUAACAUGCAAUUGUUUUUGCAAGCGUGGAUUUUUUCAUAACCCAAUCCAAGACCGUGCAACACCUUCUGUGCAUGUUUAUGGUCUUUCGGCAAACAAUUGUCCGUCGGAAGCAUUCUCUUGAAAACCCCCAAAAAGUAAUCAAAACACAAGUUCGACAUACGAUACUUUAUUUUUCCGUGCAUUAGCUCCACAAUGGCAGUGAGAACGGAAAACCUCUCGCACCCCGGGUAUAACUCUUGGUUGGCAUUUUUUAACAGUUUUUCAUACUGUUCAAACUCCGCACUGUCUAUUGGUGUAGGCACGUCAUCUUCCCCUUCCUGAUUGAUGUUGGUCGAUGCGAAUGGAAAAGCAUCCUGUAUAAUACCCAUGACUUGAUCAUUAGGAUCCACAAUAGGUUCAACAUUGUCCACUCUCGGGGCAUUUGAAGACGAAGCAUGGUCUACUUGUUCGCCGUGAAGGUUCCAAAUGCUAUAUGUUUCAAUCAUUCCAUUCCUUACUAAAUGAAAUCCAACAUUUUCAAUUGUCUCCCACAACGUGUUGUUACACCUCCUACAAGGACAACGGAUUCUAGUUGCACCCGGGUUGUGUCUACGUGCAAACUCAAUAAAAUCCUCGAUUCCAUCCAAGUAUUCGUCUGCGCAUCUAUUCGGGUUCUGUAUCCACCUUCUGCUCAUAAUUCCUGAAACCACAAUCACGACACAACAAUCACAACAACUUCAUACGAAGUUAUAAUGUCACCUUAUGCCUCCGGUAAGGGCCCUAUCCCAUUCGGGAAUGCAUAGUCCUGUCACGUAACCUACGGCUACAUGAGAUUAGAUUUCGACGUGGAUUAAUUUCAGCAGCAUCUCGACACAGUUCUUGAAGUGGGCAUAGGUAUAAAUACCUACGUACCACCCGAAGAACGUACCGAGAUGACACCGAAAUCUCCACAAUCGAAACCUAAUCCUGUAGCCGAAGAUUAUGUGACAACACUAUGCAUUACCAAACUGUCCAAAUAAUGGGACAAUUCAAGAAUUAAUUGGACCGCAGUCAUGCAUUACGCAUCCAUGCACGAAAUUCAACUAAUCUCGAACGGGAAACUACGUGUUACUAAACAUAAAAAUAAAAGUACGAAGUUAAUUUCAAUUAACUUCGUACAUCACAACACAUUGUGCUAUGUCACGCACAAUUUCACAACAUUAUACACAUAUAACUUCACAAAAAAAUUACAAACAUAACAAACAAACUUUUACAAUAACAUACCUUCUCAAUCGUUCUCCACCAAUCACAAAUAUCCCUAACGAUAACAAAAUUAAUAGCGUUACUACGAAUUUACAUUAAUACAUUUAAACUAACGACAAAAAAUACAUACCCAAUGAACGUACUGAAUUCACAGUAGAGCAACGGCAGAGAGAGUGAGAGAGAGGUAGAAUGCAGUGGGAGAGUGAGAGAGAGGCAGAAUGCAGAAACUGCAUUCUGCCUCUGCAAUGGAACUGGCUAAAAUGAAGAAGAAGGACUUUGCGCGACUAACAAUCCAAUCCGUCGCGCAAAAUGCCGUCGCGAAAACCCACUUUUCCGUCGCACAAAAAAACAUUUCCGUCGCGCAAUUACCUGCCGACAUCAGGUUUUUUGCGCGACGAAUACAAUUAUCCGUCGCACAAACAUCCGUCGCGCAAAUAACAUUAUUCGUCGCGCAAGGUUUAUAUUACGUCGCGCAAAUAACACUUAUUUCGUCGCGCAAGAAAUUACACUUUACGCGACGAAGGUAAUUCCGUCGCGCAAAAAAGUUUUUUCCACCCUGCAUUUUGCCGCCAAAAUUAAGUAACCCUCGUUUUCUUACGCGACGGUACAUAUUUCCGUCGCGCUAAGGCGUCUUUUGCGACGAAAAUGUUCGUCGCGCAAGAUUCUGGCGCCAAAAACAUAAACUGGGGAUUUUUCCCCGACCUUUGCUCGACGAAAUUAGUUUUGGUCGCGCAUAGAUUGUUUGCGCAACGAAGAUUGUUCGUCGCGCUAGUGUUCUGCUGUUUGCGCUACGGUAUUUUUUUUUCGUCGCAAUAGUGAUUUUUGCGCGACGAAAAUAUAUUCGUCGCGCAAACGUCCGUCGCGCAAAUAGUAAAUCGUAGUAGUGUGAUUUGGUUUAGACUUGGUUUAAUUAUCAUUGUUGUGGUUGGUUCACCAAAAAGAUUUGGCUUAGAAUUACCAGUUUUGUUGUUGGUUUAGUUAUGCUUGGCAUUUGAGGAUCCUAUGCUUACUUGUAUGGGUAAUACAUUUUAUUGAUCGUUUCAUAUACUAAUUAUGAACUUUUAGUUCCAUUGUGCAUUUAAGAGUACACAUAUUUCAUAUGUAAUUCGAAAGUUUGUCGCUGAAAUUUCUGAGAAUUUGAAACUAGAUAAGCACACCUUGCACAAAGUUCAUAUAUUUUCUUCCAGCAAGUCUGUCUAUUAACCCCCCUUAUCUGAAAUUAAUUGUUAAAAGUUCUGAUUCAUCUUUAAUCAUUGUCUUACCCUUGUUGAAUAACACUCCUCAUUCUAAUUUAUAUUCGAAGUUUGAGGUUUCAAUUUCAAUUGUGGGCUUUGAUUUUACAGAUUUUGUUUGUCAAUUUCAAUUUGGACAAAGCAUAUGCAAACAAAGUAAGGCAUUAUCUAUUAUUUGGAUCAUUUCCAUAUGUUUAUAUGUUUUUAAUAUCAUUUGCCUAUGUAGUUGACAUGUUAUAACAUUUUCGUAGUGUUGAAUAUAUAUAUAUAAUAAUUUUAUUUUAGUGGAUGUGAGAUCUCAGUUUGUUGCUUUAUAUAAUUAUUUCUUUGCAAUUUAAUUUUUUUUAUCAGUCAUACUAUUGUUGACGGCUAAAAACCAUCAAGAAACAACUCUUAAGUUUUUUAAAAAAUAAAUAAAUAAAUAAAGAUUUGUUGAUGCUUAAAAAGCAUCAAGAAAAGAUAGUUUCUUGACGGUUUUGUGACGUUUCAUAACCGUCAUGAAACAUUACAUUUUGACGAACGUCUUUCUGAUAGUGGCAUCCGUGACGCUUUCCGAGCCAUCAAUUAAGGGCUAUCGUGAUGCUUUUUAGUUGUCAGCAAAAGGUGUUUUUCUUGUACUGUAUUCACUCAAAAUCGUUUUUCAUUUAGGGUUGCUAGUGUGGUUGAAUGCCAUUUGUUUUGUUAAUGAAUAUUAUACAUUAUGGAUUUUUGUAGAAAUGUCGCUUGAAAUUAUACCUCAGUUUCAAUUUGUCACCUUAAAGAAAAAUUUAAGAGAAAUGUCACCUUAAUUUUUCAAAAUCCACGAUUUGUCAUCUCACUUUAACAUCAUCCAAUUUUCCAUCUAUUUUAAGGGUAUUUUAGUCUUUUCAUUUUCAAGGGAAAAAAAGAGAGGAAGAAAAAGACCUCUCUCUUACUUUCUCCCCCAACCCAACCCCACCCGCCCCCCAAAACACAUCGCAUAGGACCGCCUCCCCCUUCCCCACAUUUCUUUUUUCUUUUUGGCCUACUUUUCCACUAUGUUUAUGUUGAAGGAUCUAAAGUUUUCUUGGUCACCAUCUAUUACGUAGGCUACCGACUUGUUGGUUUGGGUGGGUUGAGGGAAUUUGUGUGUGGAGGGCAGGUGUUCAUGUUGUGUGCACCAAGACCUUAUCGUUGAUGAACUAUGUGACGGCACACACACAAACUCGUUGAGAAUAAAACAAACAUACCACCAAGAGAGUAAAACAAACACACAAGGACACAAAGAUUUAUAGAGGUUCGGCCUCCUGCCUACGUCUUUUUGGUGAUUCACUCGAGAAAUUCACUAGUAUGUAAAAAUAACUUUGGUUACAACUGAACCCCCUUAGCCCUCACAAGAACCUUAGAUCUCUUUUCUCUCACCCUUGCUCAAACCCUUUGAUGCCCUUGUAGACACUCAAGAAUUCACCCUUGAAUUCUAUCUUGUGUUACAUCUUCUCUUCUCCCUUUUGUUAACCUAACCCUAAAAGUCCUAUUUAUAAUGCAUAGGACUUAAGUUACAAGUUAACUUGGAAUAGGAAACAUAAAAUACCCCAAAAAUUGGAGAAAAUCUGUCCAAAUCUAGCCUGCAAAAUCAUCCUUCUGCCGCUCGAGCUGCCGGUGGCGCUCAUGGGAUGGGGGAAUUGGAGAUUUUCUUUUCAAUUUUAAUUGUUUAAAAGAUAUACAAUUUUUUAUUAUAAUAAUUUUUCCAUUUUUAAAAUACACUUGAAAAUAGAAAGCUUAAAAUGCCCUUAAAAAUAGAUGGAAAAUUGGAUGGUGUUAAAGUCAGAUGACAAAUCAUGGAUUUUGAAAAAUUAAGGUGACAUUUCUCUGAAAUUUUUCUUUUAAAAGUGACAAAUUGAAACUGAGGUAUAAGUUCAGGCGACAUUUCUACAAAAAUCCCUAUACAUUACAAUAUUAUAACAAUAAAAUUGGCUAAAAUUGAUAUGUUCCCUCUUUUCUUUUCUUUUUCUCUUUUCCUUUUCAUUUUAUGCUUUGUUGCUAUUGCUAUGUUUAUCCUACAAAUAUAGCAACUUCUCCACCAUUCAUUUGUUAGUGACUACGAUGCUUAGUAACUUCUUCAGCUCCCCUUAUUUCCAUGUACUAACCAGGGACACCAGGUCAGCAUCUUCGGUAAGAAUCCUAACUCAAUCAAACAAUGACAUCUGUAAAUAUUCAAAAUUGGAAUUUGCAUUGUGAUAGUUGAAAGCAUCCUUGUCCCAAAAAAAGCCAAAAAAUAAAAUAAAAUUGAGAGCAUUAAGUCCUUUUCAAAUUAUGCUAAUAUGCAAAAUUGGAAUUUUGAUGGAGUUGCUUCCUUGACUUUUCCACCUUUGUAUCCAGUCCACUUUGCACAAGGAGCCAAGUUUGAGAGAUAGUUUUCUGUAUUUACACCAUCCAGGAGAAAAUUAAAAAACUAUUUCAUGCCAAACUAACUACGGAUUCUUGCAAAGGACCCAUUAGUGUAGUGGUUUGGAGUAUUUACUCCCUCAGGCAAGGUCUUGGGUUCGAGUCCUAGCAUUCAUGUUGUGUGUGUGAGUUUAAUAUGCUAUCACCCCUUCCAAUAGGAAAGGACCUCAAAAAAAAAAAAAAAACUACAGAUUCUUUAAUUGAAAGAAACCCCAUAUUAAUCAUCCUUUGGCACAUAAAUGUUUGGUAAUUGGCAUUAAAGUAUCUAAAGGUUACGAAAUUAAAGAUUUUAAUGCAAACCUAAAAUUGGAAAAGAGGGCACCAAUUCAUGUAAAAUAUGGUGUACUUAGUAGAUCCAACAUAUUUUUUUAGCAACCAAGGACAAUCAUCAUUUUUUUUUUUAAGAACCAAGGAUAGCUUACAUUCUAGUUUGUCCAUCAUGUCAACACAUUUAUAAUUAAAACUUCUUUUUUGGUGAGGUUUCAAUUUUUGUCACUGUAACAAGACCACAAUUGCCAUUCAGUAUGCUAACAUUGUCACUAUGUUUGCCAAUUGCAUAUUAUCUAGAACAUAAAGGCUUUGGUGUUUUGUAUAUCCUCGGGGUGCCAAACCUGUCUUUAUAAAAAUGGUCCUUAUGAUACUACUUUAACAACAAAAAAAUAUAAUAAACUAGGCCUUUGUAGUCACUGAACGAAUGUUUUCUCAUAGAUAUGACUAUUUAAAUGUAAUUACGGGAUUAAAACAUUAUAAUAAAUUGGAGUGAACCAUAACAUUAUAUAUGAUCCAAUCCUUUUCAUAUAUUUUUGUUCAAGACUUUGUUUUAGAAUGCUCUUUUACUAAUUUGGUACAGGUCCCUAAAAUCUACGCCUUUAUGAGGCAACGUCUUUAUUUCUUUGGUUAUUCCAGUUUAGAAUAUAUUUGUACAAAUGAGAUGACUCCCAACAUAAAGUCACAUUCAACCAAAAAGCAUGAAGUCACACACAAAAAGAACACGGACAAUUGCUAAGUUUAUCUUGUAUCCUUAUUUUAUUGAUCCAACCCAAUUGAAAAAUAAAAAAGAUGAUAUAAUAUAUUGUUCACUGCUUACAUCCAUGAGUAAAGUCCUCCAUUUGAAAUUGCGUGAUUAUACAAAAUUGGAAUGAAAAAAGAAAAUCCUACAACUAAAUUUGAUAUAUUCCUUUUCAUUUUAUGUUGGAUGUUAAGUUUUCUUGUUUCUUGUUGAAAAGAAAAAUGAAAAGAAAUAAAUAAAUUACACAGCUAGCAACUUCUCCACCUUCCCUUCUUCCCAUGUACUGACAACAAGGGAGGCCUUCAAUCCAAAAUAAAGACAAGGGAUGCCAGGUCAGCAUCUCAGAUAAGUAUCCCAACCAAAACCAAUCAAAUAAUGACAUAUGUAUCUCUUUUUGUGUUUUGUUCUAUUUCUCUUUGAAUUAACUGCGAAGUUUCAUAAGCGUGUCCUCCUUUUGAAAUUGUGUAUUAUUCAAAAUUGGAAUUUGCUGGUCAUACUUGAUAUAAGCUAAAACAGUUUCCAACAUCUUGUACCAUUUUUUUCCAGUGUGGGUCAUAACUUGAAGAAGCCCACCGACAAUUUCUCAAAAGCUAUUACCAUCCAACUUUGAAAAAUAAAAGUUUCAAAAGUUACCCCAAACAACAGCCCUUGAAAGAGAGUUUUCCAAGGCUAAAGAUUACAAGGAUGUUAUUGGCACAUGCAUUAACGUGUGACAAGAAGUUAGUUAUAUUUAUAAAGUAAAAGAACGAAGUACAUAACAUGUAAGUUGAUGCCAAAUAUUUGAUCAACAGAGCUAAACAUAAAACCACGACAAUAUAACGUUGUUCACCAAAAAUUGUGUUUCGUUGAGGGUCAGUAGUGUAGGUUUCAAGAUACGAUUUAUUUUGUUAAAGAAUAUUCUGAUAUUCUAACAAUAAAAUUGGCUCAAUUUGAUAUGUUUCUUUUUUUUUUUGUUUUUGUUUUCCCUUUCAUUUUAUGCUUUGUUGUGCUAUUGCUAAGUUUAUCCUAGAGACCAGGGAUGCUUAGCAAGUUUCUUCACCUGCCCUUCUUCCCAUGUACUAACUAGGGAUACCAUGUCAGAAUCUUAGAUAAGAAUCCCAACCCAAUCAAACUAUGACAUCUGUAAGUAUUCAAAAUUGGAAUUUGCAUUGUGAUAGUUGAGUGGAAGAAUCGAUUAAGGCUUGAGUGGAAGACAAACUUCAGUGGAGGAAAGUAAUUAAUCUCACAAGACAUAGCCCAUCAGUUGGCUCAUUUUUCUUGAGUGUGUAGUCCUGGCCUUGAGGCGAGGCCACAUUGCUUUGGAGAUUUCUUUCUACUUGGUGAAAUUAUAAUUUAGAAGAAGCAAACUGCGUUUUGCAAUUUGUGCGAUUCAAGCAUAUCUGACACUAGUAAUUAGACCAUAAUCUUUGUCCGACCAGAAAAUAAGAAAAGUUGUCUUGUACCAUUUCUGCCAGUGUGGGUCCCACCCACCCCAUACGAGUAAUUUGAAGAAGUCCACCGACAAUUUCCCAAAAGCUUUGGCGUCCAACUUUGCCGACCCCAUCCCCAUGUGAGGCCAUAGAAAAGUUUUCAGCCACAAUCAAAGAAGGGAACAGUCCUUGAAAAGAGAGGGUUUUCCAAGGCCAAGAUUACAAGUUCAUGUUAUUUACAGUCUCAAAAAGCUUCCAUACUUGUUUACAAACCUGUAUUUUCAAGUUGUGCUAGCCUAGCUAUUUGCAAAUCUUGGAAUAUUUUACUUCAUCCAAAUCCCUUGCAGUCUGCAGAGAAGAUAAAAGACAUGGCUUUGAUUGGAGAGGCUCUUAUCUCUGCUUCCGUCCAGGUGUUGUGCGACAGAAUUACUUCACCCGAGUUCGUUGACUUAUUUUGGCACAAGAAACUCGAUGAGCCACUCCUCAGGAAGCUGAGGACGACACUGUUGGCCUUGAACUUGGUGCUCAAUGAUGCAGAGGGGAAGCAACUUGUGAACCGAGAUGUGAAAAAGUGGCUUGACGAGCUCAGACAUGCUGUCUUUGAUGCGGAGGACUUACUGGAUGAGAUUGACACUGAAGCUUUGCGAUGCAAGCUGGAAGAAGGUGAAGAUCAAACUCACAAAUUUACCAAUAAGGUGCGGAACUUGCUCUUUUCUCCUCGUAGUCAUUUUUAUCAGAGCAUGAAUGAUAAGAUAAAAGAGUUACUAGCAAGGUUAGAAAACUUUGUACAACUGAAAAGUGCUCUUGGUCUGGGAGAAGUUGCUGGGAGGAAGGUUUCGCAAAGAACUCAAACAACCUCCUUGGUUCUUGAACCUUAUGUAUAUGGUAGAGAUGAAGUCAAAGAAAAGUUAUCAAAAGUGUUGCUAUCUGAUGAAGCAGGCAAGGAUCCUGUGUCUUUCCUCACCAUUGUUGGAAUGGGUGGGGUUGGCAAGACAACCCUUGCUCGAAUGCUUUACAAUGACGAUAAGGUGAAAGGGCAUUUUAAACUUAAAGCUUGGGCUUGUGUUUCAGACUACGAUGAUUAUAUUAAAAUUACUAAAACUCUCCUUGAGGCAGUCACUUCAAAGCCUUGUAACACGGCAAAUCUGAAUUUGCUUCAAAAAGAUCUAAGAGAGCAAUUGAGGGGAAGGAAAUUUUUAUUUGUGUUGACCUAUGGAAUGAGAAUAAUGAGGAUUUGAACUACCUUAGAGCUCUUUUUAUUACUUUAGGAACAAUGGGAAGUAAAGUCAUUGUAACAACACGGAACAAAAAUGCAGCAUCUGUCAUGCAAAAUGUUCAUAUUCAAUACUUAGAACCAUUGUCGUAGGAGGACUGCUGGUUAUUACUUGCAAAACAUGCAUUUGGAAAUGAAAAGUGUAGUGCACAUUCAAACUUGGAAGACAUUGGAAAGCAAAUUGCACUCAAGUGCAAAGGGUUGCCUUUAGCUGCACAAACACUUGGGAGUUUGUUACGUUGCAAUAUGGAUUUCGAGUACUGGAAUAGAAUACUAAAUGAUAGUUUUUGGGACCAACCCUAUGAUAAAACUAACAUUCUUCCGGCUCUAGGGUUGAGUUACCAUUAUCUUCCUACUCAGUUGAAACGAUGCUUUGCUUAUUGUUCAAUUUUUCCAAAGGAUUAUGAGUUUGAAAAGGAAGAUAUAGUUCAAUUAUGGAUUGCAGAAGGUAUAAUUCCACAAGCUGAGAAUGGAAAAAGGAUGGAAGCAUUGGCUAGAAUAUACUUUGAUGAGCUGUUAUCACGAUCGUUGUUUCAAAAGUCAAGUAAAUUCAGCUUCAUUAUGCAUGAUCUCAUUAAUGACUUGGCUAUGUUCAUGUCUCAGGGGUUUUGCCUUAGGCUCGAAGAUGGGGUAUCCCGUGAAGUUAAAAGAGCUCGUCAUUUGUCAUAUGCUAGGGGAGAAUUUGAUGCUGCUCCAAGAUUUGAACCAUUAUAUGAGGCUAAAUGUUUGCGGACCUUCCUACCUACCAUUUGUUGUGGGCAAAUCUACUGGAUCAGGCAUAAGAGAACUGAGGCAGUUCCCGCAACUUCGAGGAAAACUAUCAAUUUUGAAGCUACAAAAUGUAGUUGAUGCGAGGGAUGCACUGCACGCCAAUAUGAAGCACAAGAAAGAUCUCAAGGAGUUAGAGCUUUCAUGGGGUGCGGAGGAUGCUGAUGAUUCCCAAAAGGAGAAAGAUGUACUCGACAAGCUCCAGCCUUGCGUGAAUUUGGAGAAAUUAACCAUCAAAUUCUAUGGUGGAACUAAUUUUCCGAAUUGGUUAGGAGACUCGUCUUUUUCUAACAUACAAGUCAUGCAUCUCAGUGACUGUAGUUAUUGUUGGUCGCUCCCACCAGUUGGACCGCUACCGGCACUCAAACAGCUCUGUAUAAGAAGAAUGAAGUUUGUGAAGACGAUUGGCGUUGAAUUCUAUGGCAGAAAUGGAGCUUAUCUGACUCAGCCAUUUCGAUCUCUGGAGAAGCUAGAGUUUAGGGAGAUGCCAGAGUGGGAGGAAUGGGUACCAAGUGGAAGUGCAAGUGGAGGUGAAUAUGGUCCAGACUUUCCUCGUCUCCAGGAGCUGAUUCUAUACGAGUGUCCGAAGCUAAGAGGAAGUUUGCCUUGUGAGUUGCCUUGCUUGAAGAAGCUUACGGUGUAUGGGUGUAAGGUUUUACAUGAUGGAAGGGCCAUUACCGCAACUACCAAUAGUCUUAACUAUAAAUCUCUGGAAGAAUUGAAUAUAAGUGGUGGAUGCCAAACUCUGUUAUCAUUAUUAGAGACAAAGCUCCUGUCCGGACUUGAGAUUCGAAAUGUUGUUGACAUACAGUGCUUGCCCAACUGCAGUCGUCUUCAACAUUUGACUCUUUCGAAUUGUCCAACGCUGUCAUCAUUUCCCAAAGAUGGCCUACCCACUACAUUGACAUCACUUUAUAUAAACAAUUGUAGGAAAUUAGAAUUCCUACCUCAUGAGAUGUUGGCCAAAUUAACAUCGCUUGACUAUUUGUGCAUACAAAAUAGCUGUGAUUCAAUGAGGUCCUUCCCGUUGGGCAUUUUUCCCAAAUUGACGAGGCUUGAAAUUCGUGGUUGUGAGAAUCUGGAAUCCCUUUCCUUGAUUGAAGAAGAAGGAGCUGUUGAGAAUCUCAGCCAUCUCAAUUACUUGCAAGUCUAUAACUGUCCAAAAAUGGUGUGUUUUCACGAGGGAGAAUUGCCCACUCCCAACCUGAGUCACUUUGUAGUCGGUGGUUGCGAGAAUUUGAAGUCAUUGCCCAAAAGCCUUCACACCCUCACUGCCCUUCGAUCUUUGUCGAUAUGUAAUCUUCCGAAUCUGGAGUCAUUUGCAGAAGAUGGGGGUUUGCCUCCCAACCUCCGACAAGUAAGUAUUAGGAAUUGUGAGAGACUGAGGGCUUCAUCAGUGGGUUUGCAAGCACUUGACUCCCUUGAGAUCAGUGGAAGUGACCAUGUAUUCUCUAUCACACUCUUCACAUCUAUUCUCUAUCAACUCUGAAAUCUUUGGACGGAAAGGGUCUUGGACACCUCACUUCUCUUCAAGAGCUAGAUAUUAACAGGUGUCCAAGUCUGGAAUUCCUGCCAGGAGAGGAACUUCAACACCUCACUUCUCUUCAAAAUCUAUACAUUUGGAACUGUCCCAGUCUUCAAUGCUUGCCAGAAGAGGGUUUUCCAUCAUCUCUUUCUCAUCUGAGUAUCCGCCGGUGUCCUACCCUGGAGGAAAGGUAUAAGAAUAAAACGGGACGAGAUUGGGCCAAGAUAUCUCACAUUCCUUGCAUCGAGAUAGGCAACGAAGUGAUCAUAUAAUAUGAGCUAUUCCAUAUUUCACGCUCAACCCUCAACUCUCAAAUCAAAGUCAGGUGAGGUAUGUGCCUUCUCUUACUUUAAAAAACUGCUGCUCAAUAACACUCUUCGCACUCUAUAUAUUAUGGCCUGUCAGUCUAAAAUUCCUGCCAGGAGAGGAACUUGAACGCCUCUCUUCACUGCAAAGGCUACAUAUUUGUGGGUGUGACAAUAUCCAAUUCCUGCCAGAAGAGCGUUUGCUGCAAUCUCUUUCUUAUCUGUGCAUCGACCAUUGUUUUGCCAUGUAGAAAAGGUAUCUCACAUUCCUUGCGUCAAGAUAGGUGAAGAAGUGAUCAUAAGAUAUGAGCUCUCUCUCCCUCUCGCUCACAUACAAAGUACUUAAAACACUCAAUCUGAUUUCUAUUAUUAUUUUGCUCAGUAAAUUUUGUUUAAAUUUGCUUUGUUUCUCAUUGCGCUUGUUCUGCUUAUCACAACUUAUAUCCUAUUUAAAUCUCAAAUGCUGAAUAGUUAGCAGUCUUUUCGCAGGACAGCAUAUCUUCUCUUGGAGAGCUAUUCAUUUGCAAGGUUUCUUUAUGUGUCAUUUCCAGAGGAGGGUUUACUAUUUAAUAGAAAGGUUCACCUGGAAUAUCUCAAAUGACACAUUCCCAAAUACAGGCAUUGAAUGCACAACAUUUUGAGGUACUAUUUUUGUAAUAAAAAUGUACUUGAGUCUCAUUUGAGCUAGUUUAAAUUGUAUUCAAUGUCUAUGGAUAACCUGUGAGCUUAAGUUGUAAGAUAAAACUCACAGUAUAUUAUUAGGGUUUAGGGUUCAACAGGUGAGCUUAAGUUGUACUUUCCUAGGUACUGCAUGUAUAUUAUCUUAGUAUCAACACUUGGUCUUAUGUGGACGAGAGAGAACAUUUGAGGAAUUACAAAAUCUUCUUAGUGAAUUAAGCUUGUUUCAGCUCUGUUUGUCAUCCCUCACAUUUUCUUUGUUAAGCCUUGAUUUUUUAUUAGACAUACGAAAAAAUGCUUUUAUAAGACAGGAGAUGAAUGCUUUUAUAUGUUGAUGUCGUAGUCAGUCUUCAACCACACUCUGUUUUUAGAAUUCAUUUAUGUUACUAGUUGAGAGCUGCUGUAUUUUAUAUUUCGUUCCUGUAAUGUUUGGAUGUUUAGCUUGAGCAGUCUAGCUUAUCCAGUAGAUAACUUGUCCCCUGUUUUGUAAUGUUUUUGUUUCCUCUAAUGAAAGCAGGUUUUACUUAUCUUGAACUGCAGAAGCCUACUUUUUGACAUAGGUGGCAUGGCACAAACUCGCAUCCGCAUUUCCAUCCCCAUUGGCAUGCUGUCUCAUCUUUUCUAUUCUGUUACCAGCUUGAAGCUUGUGUGGACAUGUUAUGCUCUUGUAAUUCUGAUCACAAACAUCACUUGACAAAUGGAAAGUCACAAUCAGAUCUUUCAGGUGAUCUGGAGGUUUACUUUCUAACAUUUGUUUUCGUGGGGGGGAGACAACAAUACAGAAUUUAAAAUUUCUGAUAAUCAAUAGUAGUUUGCAUAUAUCAGCUGGGACCUGUAUGACUGUAUUAUGUAAUUAAUUAUUUCUCUUAUUGUUUGGGUACUGUUAAAAGGAGUUAGCCACACAACAUAAAAAAGGAGGUCUCUUAUUUCAUACAAUUUUUCAAAUGUGAUCAUUAAUCCGUUUCUUUUUCAACAAUAGAGGAAUGUAUACUAAUCGUCUGGUCCAUCUGCUGCUUCACUCCCUAGUAGCUUCAUCUCCUGUCCUUUGCUUUAUUUCUGUUGAUGAAUGUUUUGUCUGGGUUAUUUAUUUUCAUUUCAUGUCCAUUGCUUUAUUUCUGUUUGGAUUCUUAAUUAAAUCUGUCCUGGACUUGAACAAGGGUUAGGUUAGCUGUAUAAUUUGCGGUUUUAUAUACACAACUGUCUACAUUGAUUAAAACCAGCAUUAUUCUAAGGUUCAUUUAGAAUGUAUUAUCACCAAAAUUAUAAAGAAUACUUCUAUUACAAUUAAUUUGUUGAUUCUAAUUUGGACUUGUAGGAACAGACCAAACAUGUUCAUGCGUGGCAUUGCUCAAGUCAUCAUCAUUCGAGACAGAGAAUAAGCCUUCAAGUGUCUGCUGAGUCAAUGAACCUUUCUAGAUAUCUCAAGUGUAAUGGAAAUUGAUGAGUUACAAAGGAUUUGUAAACAUUUUCUACUGGAGGCUAGAAAUGCUUCAAAUAAAUGACCGUGUUGCAAUUAUUUUGUAGGAUCAAAGACUCUGCAAAGAGGUAAGAAAGUCAUCAUCAAGUAACUUUGCUCUUCAAACUUUUUAUUUUUAUUUUUAAAUAUCAGUAAUAACUGGGAAAGCUUGCAUCUCCUUAAAUUGCUCAUUCUUACAUCUUUUAUAGUUUGUUGAUCUUGGGCAAGUGGAGAGAGAGGCGUCAAGUGAUACGCAACAACCAUUUUCUGUGAGCUGAUUUGAUAAAGAGAAAUGGUAUGCUUUCUUGUCUUAAGCGGUGUGUUCUGCAAUUAUUUGAAACAAAGGAUGCCGCACUUCAAGUUCGAGAAAAUCAGGUAUUUUAGUAUUUUAUUCUUGAGAAAUUUGAUUUAUGUAGAAACUUGAACAUGUAAAUAAAAUAAAUAAAAUAUAUUAUAUGCUGUUAAUGAGUUAAUAUGGUGCUUGCUUCUAGUUGGAAAUUUAUGUAGUCAUCUACCUAUGAUCAAAUAAAGAUGAAGAAUAAAAUAUAAUUGAGAGCAUCUUCCUCUCCCCUGCUUUGCUCAUCCCUUGUUCUUCCACUUCAGCCCCACUAUUACACCAUUUUUUCAGCCACAAUUAUAAUAGCUCCAUGAGCAUUAAGUCCUUUUCAAAUUCUGCUGACAUUCAAAAUUGGAAUUUGCUGGUGAUAUAUGAUAGCAUCUUUGUCCGACCAAAAAGAGAAAAAAAAAAAGUUGAUAGCAUAUUGUACCAUUUUGGCCAGUGUACGCAAUAUUAUUGCAUCCAACUUUGCAUAUUAACAUCAGUGGCCACAGUUCCAUGAUUUGAGUGCACAGAAAAGUUUCAAAAGUUGUCCCACAAAGAACAGUCGUUCAAAGUGAAAGAGAGAUUUCAAAGCUUAAUUACAAGUUCAUGUUAUUUACAAUAUCAAAAAGCUUUCAUACUUGCUUACAAACCUGUAUUUCCAAGUUCUGCAAACCUUGGAAUAUCACUUCAUCCAAAUCCCCUUCCAAAGCAGGAAAAAAUGGCAGCAGCUUUGAUUGGAGAGGCUCUCAUCUCUGCUUCUAUCGUGGUGUUGUGUGACAGAGUUACUUCAGCCGAGUUCAUAGACUUAUUUCAGCAGAAGAAACUUGAUGAAACACUCCUCAUGAACCUGAAGACGACACUGUUGAUUUUGUUUGCGGUGCUCAAUGAUUCAGAGGAGAAGCAAAUUGUGAACCCUGAAGCUUUGCGAUGCAAGCUGGAAGGUGAGGAUCAAACCCACAAUAAUUAACCAAAAAGGAUCUUUUUGAUUGUUUGAAAGGAGGGUCUUGAUGAUUUGAAAGGAGAGGGUUGCUUUAUUUCUGUUGGAUGCUUAAUUAAAUCUUAUUUGGAGUUGAACAAGGAUUAGGUUAGCUGUAUAAUUAGUGGUAAACGCCUUUUUCUAAGGGUCAUUUAGACUCCUAUUACGAUUAAUUUGUUGUUUCUAAUUUGGACUUGUAGGAACAGACCAAAUAUGUUCACACGUGGCAUCGCUCAAGUCAUCAUCAUUUCAGACUGAAAAUCAGCCUUCGAGUGUCUGUUGAGUCAAUAAACCUUUCUAGAUAUAUCAAGUGCAAUGGAAAUUCAUGAGUUACAUAGAGAUUUUUAAACAUUUUGAAGAUUGCAACACCUGCAAGUGAGAUAGGCGGUGACGAAAUCAGAGCUGAUUUUGAAGCCUCUGAUGCCCCUGUUGUUGCAAGUUGCACCUGAGAACAAGUUUUUUUUUUCUUUGGGGUAAAAAACUGGCAACAUGUUCGGAGCUGACAAUUCAAUCCCUGAUGAACUAGAGAAGCAAAGCUCCGGUAAGGAAAUUGGUCAAGGUUGUGACAGGGAUGAUUGAUGGUGAAAUGGAUGCUAUUUCUUAUUGCAGCCUGUUCUCAAAGUUCUUGUUGGCAAAUGCAAUUGAUGGAGUAUUUUGAUUGGGAGGAGAGAUAAUGACAUGGCUUGACAAUUCUAGAACAGCCCAUCAUUAAUCCCAGAAAAAAUCCCGUUUCUGCUAAACAAUCACUUAUGGCAAGGCCAACUCUGUAAAUGGAAUUUGUGAUCCCUUCAAAUUGUACACAUUUUUUCUUUUUGAGGAAUUUAAUCAAACAGUAUUCUAAUGCAUUAUGAUAGCACUACACGCUUUUGUUGUAACAAAUUACAAGGAGGAAUUUGGAUUGAGUUUCUUGUAUAAGCACACCUUACACAAAUUUCGUAUAUUUUCUUCCAGCAAGUCUGUUUAUUAACCCCCUUAUCUGAAAUUAAUUGUUAAAAGUUUUGAUUCAUCUUUAAUCAGUGUCUUACCCUUGUUGAAUAACACUCCUCUUUCUAAUUUAUAUUUGAAGUUUGAGCUUUCAAUUUCAAUUGUGGGCUUUGAUUUUUCAGAUUUUGUUUGUCAAUUUCAGUUUGGACAAAGCAUAUAUGCAAACAAAGUAAGCAUUUUAUGUUAUACUUUUGAACUAGGUGUUGAUUUGAUUUAAUCAUAAGUUUUGCUGGUGCAUUUACUAGGCUAAUCAUUCAAUACUUUUGAUCAUAGAACUUCUUUGGUUGAUAUUAUCUUUGUUAAGUUUAACCAUAACUUUAGAGAGGGGACUUCAACAGAUUUAUAAUCUCAUCAUUAUAGUAUUAAAAAUUAGAGAUUAUUUAAGGCAUUGUCUAUUAUCUGAAUUCUGCUUACUUUUAGUUCAUAUGUUUACAUCUUAGCAUAUUCAUGUGAUUAGUGCGGCUCAUACCACAAAGGCAAUUUUAGGCUCAUCAAGUGCUAAGCAAUGUCAAGCUUCCAAAUGACAAGUUCUCUACAUAGUUUGAGACCUACACUUACUAGAUAUUAGAUCAUUUCGAUCAUUUCCAUAUGUUUAUAUGUAAUUGACAUGUUAUAACAUUUUUGUAGCGUUAUAUAAUUAUUUAGCAAUUUAAUUAUUUCUUUGCAACUUAAUUUUUUUUGUCAAUCAUACUAUUGUUGACUGCUAAAAACCAUCAAGAAAUAGUUCUCAAGUUAUAAAAAAAAAAAAAUUUUAAAAAAGAUUUGUUGAUGCUUAAAAAGCAUCAAGAACAGAUAGUUUCUUGACGGUUUUGUGACAUUUCAUAACUGUAGGGGGCUUUUUCUUCCGACAGCUGUAAAUGGGCUGGGCUGCCGUAAAGGGCAGACUGAUGAAAUUGUCCCCUUUUGUAUGAGCUCAAAAAUUAAGCCCCAAAAUACUUUGAAAGGGCAGCAGAGCCUUAGGAAGUAUUUUGGUUACCCUCACCAACUAAAACAACAACAACUUACAGGUAAUUACUUAAUGCUUAUGGAUGAACUCUUGAGCUUGGCAUGAGAGACAUAUGGCAUGGAAGCAAAAUCAACAUGAGUUUAGCACUGAGGGGAAAUUUAGGCUCUCUUGGGGGAAAAAGGGAAGUGUUAAGGUGAGAGAGGAGAAGUUUGUAGGAGAUUUAGCUAAGAAAGGAGAAAUAUAGAACAAUGCUCUUUUGGCAGCUUGACAGAUGCUCUGUUUGCCAGAAAAGGAAGAUGGAGAAGAAAUGUGAAUAGUGCAAGAGUUUGCUAGAUUUUUGCAGGUAAGAGAGGAAGCUUGCUCUCUGGGUCUGAGUUGAGUUUUUUUGUGUGGAAGAGACCUCAUUUUAUAGCCCUUGGAAACCAUCACUUCCCAAGAAACCCUAAUGGCUUCUACCCAUUUUGGCCAAGCUUUUCCCUUCCUUUCUCAUUUCCUUCCUUGACUUUACCCCUCUUGAUGAAAUCCCCUCUGCCUAUUUGCACCAUAUCAGAGUUUUUUGAAGCUCAAGGCCCCUUUUUCCCGCAGUUGUCUCAAUGGGAGACUUCCAUUCCCAGUCAUCUCCUUUAUUGCUUUCCUUUCUUUUUUUCAUGGCCAAGUUUGGUGGGGAAAGGAGUUGGGAUAUAUAUGCUGGUUUGAAGGGUGCUUCUCUUCCUGGCAUCUUACACACUAAUACCCCUUGGUUCCUUGAAUGUUUUGGCUUUGAAACUUGCUCUCCCCCCCCCCCCCCCCCCCCCCAUGUACUGGAACCUACCAGCAGCUCUAUUCAAUGAAUCUUCAGACCUUCUCUUCGUGGCUUUUAUUUUUUAUCAACGGGCUGGGGCUUUUGUGGCUCAUUGUGGCAAUUGUAUGGGCUAAGGUGGUUCAUUAAGUAAGUGGGCUAUUUUUAUUAAACAUUAGGCUUUUUGGUUGAGUCACUAGGCUAUUUUGAUUGGGCUAUUGGGCUAUUUUUUUCCUCUCUUGUGCUCACCCACAUGUUUGGACCAAAGAAAUGAGCUUGAGUCCUGAGGCUCCCAAGCGACCCGAGACUUUCCAUUUCUGGCCCAUCAAUGGGCCUCAUGUUGAUUUAUUACCAUCCAUACCACAACCCACUCAAGCAGGCUCCGGGCAUUUGAAUGACUUGGGCGCACUUAGGCUUGUAGUGUGGUUGGGUGCGAAAUAACGAUUUCGUGCUUGGCAUGUUUUAAUUUUAUCAUCCUUGGGAAAGGCUGCGAUGUUUGAUUUCGGCAUGGGCUUGUAGAGCUGGUAUGCUUUAUUUCAACUCCUAGCAUGACGAAUUAUUUAUUUAGCAUGGCACGUGAAUUACAACUCGCAUGUGGUGGGUUUUUGUGUACUACACCUUACGCCUCUUCUUAAUAGAACAUCGUUUUGGGCUGAUAAUUUAUUCGGGCCAAACCGUGAAUUUUUUGGGUCUCAAUAAUAACCAUCAUGAAACAUUACAUUUUGACUGACGUCAAGAAAUGGGGUAUCCCUUUCCUGAUAGUGGCAUCCAUGAUGCCUUCCAAGCAGUCAAUUAAGGGCUAUCGUGAUGCAUUUUAGUUGUCAGCAAAAGGUGUUUUUCUUGUACUGUAUUCACUCAAAGUCGUGUUUCAUUUAAGAUUAGUAGUAUGGUUGAAUACCAUUUGUUUUGUUAAAGAAUAUUAUACAUUAGGGAUUUUUGUAGAAAUGUCAUUUGAACUUAUACCUUAGUUUCAAUUUGUCACCUUGAAGAAAAAUUUAAGAGAAAUGUCACCUUAAUUUUUAAAAAUCCAUGAUUUGUCAUAUGACUUUAAAAUCAUCCAAUUUUCCAUCCAUUUUAAGGGUAUUUUAGUCUUUUCAUUUUGAAGGAAAAAAAAGAGAUGAAAAAAGAGACCUCUCUCUUACUUUGUCCCUCAACCCAACCCCACCCGCCCCCCAAAACACAUCACAUAGGAUUGCCUCCCCCUUCCCCACUUUUCUUUUUUCUUUUUGUCCUACUUUUCCACUAUGUUUAUGUUGAAGGAUCUAAAGUUUGCUUGGUCACCAUCUGUUACGUAGGCUUCCCAAUUGUUAGUUUGGGUGGGUUGUGGGAAUUUGUGUGCUCGAAACCCGAGACGAAUCUUGUGGAAUUCCCGACAUCACACCGAUGCCGGGCCCACUUCUGAACUAAAUUCUCUUUUCCAAAAUUAAGGAAAAAGAGUACGAGGCUUUCUGCCGAAAUUUCGACAGAGUAUUCCCUAUAAAUUUAACAUUUCAGCUUUGGUGGCCGUUCUCUCAUUUCAGCUUUGGUGGCCGGAUGAGAGAACGGUCGGCUAAAACGUGGCCAGCUGGCACUGCCGUCGCGAGAGAGAGAGAGAGAGAGAGAGAGAGAGAUUUUUAUCAAAUCAUUUUUGCCAAAAUUACGAUUAUGCAACUGAGGGUAUUUUGAUCGUAUCUUUUUCAUUAUAACUCUGAUUCAAGCCCACUACGUGUUUACGGACUCAUCUCGCCGUGCUCUAUGCAAUUGUAUAGUUGAAAUUCCCAAAUUCCACCCCAGUCAAAAAUUCAACUUUAAACCCUACAAAAUAUUAUAGGGGCAAAAUGGUCUUUUAUCUAAUUAAAUUAAUAAUUGAAAAUUUAUUUAGGACCGGGUUGUUACACUGUCGUUGAUGGACUGUGCGAUGACACUCACACAAAGUCCUUGAGAAUAAAACACACACACACCAUGAAGAGAGUAAAACAAAUACACAAGUACACAAAGAUUUAUAAAGGUUUGGCCUUCUGCCUACGUCCUCUUGGUGAUCCACCCGAGAAAUUCACUAGUACGUAAGAACAACUUUGGUUACAACUAAACCCCCUUAGCUUUCAUAAGAACCCUAGAUCUCUUUUCUCCCACCCUUGCUCCAACCCUUUGAUGCCCUUGUAAACACUCAAGAAUUCACCCUUGAAUUCUGUCAUGUGUUACAUCUUCUCUUCUCCCCUUUGUUAACCUAACCCUAAAAGUUAUAUUUAUAAUUCAUAGGACUUUAAGUACAAGUUAACUAGGAAUAGGAAACAUAAUAGACCUCAAAAAUUGGAGAAAAUAUGUUUAGAUCUCGUUAGGAAAUUGCACAACACGUGCGAUCCGCUCGAGCGCCUGCAAAAUGAUCCCUUUGUCGCUCAAGCUGCCGAUAGCUCAUGGGAUGGGGGAAUUAGAGAUUUUUUUUUUUUUCAAUUUUAAUUGUUUAAAAGAUAUACAAUUUUUUAAUAAUAAUUUUUCCAUUUUUAAAAUACCCUUGAAAAUAGAAAGAUUAAAAUGCCCUUAAAAAUGGAUGGAAAAUUGGAUUGCGUUAAGGUCAGUUGACAAAUCAUGGAUUUUGAAAAAUUAAGGUAACAUUUCUCUUAAAUUUUUCUUUAAAGUGACAAAUUAAAAUUGAGGUAUAAGUUCAAGUUACAUUUAUGCAAAAAUCCUUAUACAUUAUGAUAUUCUAACAAUAAAAUUGGCUAAAAUUGAUAUGUUCCCUCUUUAUUUUCUUUUUCUCUUUUCCUUUUCAUUUUAUGAUCCAAUCCUUUUCAUAUAUUUUUGUUCAAGACUUUGUUUUAGAAUGCUCUAUUACUAAUUUGGUACAGGUCCCUAAAAUCUCGGAGCCGCCUUAGUACAUUCAUAAUGUACAUGUUCAGAGUUCAAGAAUAAUGUAUAGAAUGUGAAAUUGACGAUGCCGGCCUUUAUGAGGCAACGUCUUUAUUUCUUUGGUUAUUACAGUUUAGAAUAUUUGCACAAAUGAGAUGAUUCCAAGCAUAAAGUCACAUUCGACCAAAAAGCAUGAAGUCACACACAAAAAGAACACGGACAAUUGCUAAGUUUAUCCUUGUACCCUUAUUUUAUUGAUCCGACCCAAUUGAAAAUUAAAAAAAGAUGAUAAAAAAUAUUGUUCACUACUUUAAAAUCUAUGAGUAGAGUCCUCCAUUUGAAAUUUCGUCAUUAUACAAAAUUGGAAUGAAAAAAGAAAAUCCUACAGCUAAAUUUGAUAUAUUUCCUUUUCAUUUUAUGCUGGGUGUUAGGGCUUGUCAAUGGGCCGGGCUAGGCUAGCCCGGCUCAAAUUUAAUGGGCUUGGGCUAGGCCGGGCCAAGCUUUAAAGAGGAGAGAGAAAAUAUCCGGCCGAGUUUUUUAAGAAAAUUCAAAGCCCAAGCCCGAAUCACUGCUGUCUAGCCCGGCCCAAAUUUAAUGAGCUUGGGCCAGGCCGAGCCAAGCUUUAAAGAGGAGAGAGAAAAUAUCCGGCCGAGUUUUUUAAGAAAAUUCAAAGCCCAAGCCCGAAUCACUGCUGUCAUUUCAUUGAUUUGUGACGAGCACAACCACCAAAUCAGAAUUUACUCACGAAAAUAUCAAGUAUGUCUAGCAAAUUUCAAUUUUGAAUAAUACACAAUUUCAAAAGGAGGACAUGUUGCAAGACAGCAUACCUUCUCUUGGGGUGCUUUUCAUUUUGCAACAUUUCUUUACGUGUAAUUUCCAGAGGAGGGUUUAUCAUUGUAUAUAGCUUUUCGGGUGGUUUGUCUACAAAACAAAUGUCACAAAGAAGGAGGAGAAACGGAAAAGAUUUACUUGGAAUGUCUCAAGUCUCCUUUGAGAUAAAGGCAUCGAAUGCACAACAUUGCUUUUGUGCUAUUUCAUAAUUAAAGUGUGCUUCCCAAGUCUCCUUUGUGUUUUGUAACUUGUAAUGUUUGUUUUUUUGUUUCCCCUGUUUUCCCUCUUAUAAAAGAAAUACAGGUCCAAACCACACGGAUCUACUUGCAUAAUAAUGGACCAAAUUUAUGAUUUUUAGAAAGAACCUUCUGCCGGUGGAAUCUUGGGCUACUGUUGUGGCUCUCCUCUGUGUGCCUCCUUUUUAGAACGGUAAAAUAUUCAAAAUACUAGAAAAUGUUCGUGAUUAAUAUAAAUAUUAAGAAUUGAAAUUAUUAAUUAAAUGAGGAUAAUAUGGUAAAUUCACACUUUUUUAUAUUAAAAAAAUUAAAAUUAAAAGAAAAAUCAGAUAAUUGAUAUUAUUUUUAUGGAACACAGCUACUCAUUAUCUUUUUUAAUUCUAAAAUAAAUUUAAAUUAAAGAAAAAAACCCCUCUCACAGGCACGGAAGCGCGUGCUCAGAGGCUAGUUAAAAAUAAUGAACUUUGCUUCUGAAGACGUCUAUACCAGACCCACUCAACCUGCUUUAUGAUUAUACAAAGAACAAACUCGUCCUUAGACUCAUUUGGUUAAACUUAGAAAAUAAUGAAACAAAAAUAUGCACUCCCACAAGUAACACAGCCAGGAUUGAAAACAACUGGACAAAGAAAGGCAUGUUAAAACAGAAUUUUCAACAACUCAUCACCAUUAGACAAGAAAAAGAAAAAUCAAUACAAAAACAGAAAGAACAGAGAAUAAAUGUGGUGGAAGAAAAACGUUGAAGCCAUUUGUGAAUCCAACAACACUACCACUCUGUUUCUCUCCUUUUGUUCAGGCGGAUCUGCAUAUAUCCUAAGGCGUAUUACGGAAACAACUUCUUGCCGUUAUACUUGAAUGUUGUGGAUGCUUCAACGUUGCCAUCUGGGUGGAGUGGAUUUGUCCAAUUCACCUUCACUAUGGUAUAUACGUCCAAAUUGUUGUUAUUUGAAAGGCUUCUAAAUUUUAACAUUUUGAUUUUUAAAUUUUGUUUAAAUAUUUCGGCCCACUUAGUUCUUCUCAAAAUAUGUCAUCAAUAUCGUUGAAAGGUUGAACUUAGUGAAUUAUUAUAGUGCAGUACUGUAGAAUAGACACAUGAUAUAAUUUGUCCACAUGUUAUAAUAUAAGUAAAUAUUUAUUGAUAUUAUUUCUAAAAAUAAGAAAUAUCAACCAUUAUAUCCUCCCAUAUUAUAAUACAUAUACAAAUUAUACCACAUUAUCAUACUCUAAUACCAUUUUAUAAUUUCUCGUACUUAGAGCGAGUCAAUGACAUUACAUAAUAUAUAAUUGUUCAUAUAAUGGGGCAACUAACGUGAUCAACAAGUUGUGGUGAUUAAUUUAACAUAAUAAAAAAUAUACCAUUUACUUGAGUGAUGUAACAAUUUGUUCUUUUAAAUUGGAUUGCCAUCACUUUAAUAUGAUAUGUUUCUUAUUAUAGUGUCCCAUGUUAAGUGCUUCAGCAUUGUUUGUGGUGUGUACACAAAUUUUCUUAUAAAAUGUUUUAAUGCUUCUCACAUGUAUAUCAGAUAUAGACAGUUGAUGUGACUUAGAAAUCAAAUUGUCAAUAAAGCAAAAAAAUAUAAUUGGUGAUUGAGGUCCAAUUUAAUAGAAAAUAGUCUUAACUUGUAUAUUAGAGGUUUCAGAUUCGAAUCCUCACUGCAUUAUUGUUGUAUACGUACACGAGAAAUCCUCUUCUCCAAUAAUUUAGACUAUCACUUAUACUAAAAAAAUAUAUAUAUAUAAUGACUUUUACGGAUGCAAACAUAAAAUUACACCAAACAAUAAUGGAAUAGAAAGAUGCAAGUUAUUUUUUUUUUUUUUACAUCUAAAGUAUACUUUAUAUAUAUAUUUAUUAUGGGUGUUAUAACCGUUUAAUUUUCAGUUUUUAUUUUCUAUUUAUUGUUUUAAUUUUUAUGGUUUAAUGUGUAUGAAGAUUACAAGUAUUGGAUGUCUACCACUCCUCCUUCACAUCUGAAACAAACCACCAUCUCAUUUCUGUAUUUUCAUACUUUCAUAUAUUUUCUACUUUCCAGAUUAUUAUUUUUGGGCAACGGUUCUGUGACUUGCAGAUUUCUAUCCGAUUGUUAACAUGCUCAUAGCGGACCUUGAGCUUGCGUAUUGGGGAUCGUAUCUUGGAGCCUUAUAGACCUUUAUUACCUGCAUGUAGGGAGGUUAUAAAUGCUUUAGGUCAGCAUCUUUGACGUGCUUUUGCUUUCUUUUUUUUUUUACUUAUUUCUUCGUUUCUUUAUUUUUACUUUACUUUUAAAUUUUUAUUUUAUGUAUUAUUUAUAUUUAAAAGUUUUGAAUAAGAGUUUUACAGAAAAGGAAAAACACAAUUUCAAAUAACACAAAUUUCUCGUUUUUGGUUCUUAAAAUAAAUGAAUUUUUUACUUAUUUGUGAACUGAAAUGCCUCUAAAAAAAUAAUGAUAGUUUGAAGAAUUUGAUAGAAAUUAAAAAAUAUCCUCAAAUUACUUGGAAUUGAAGACCACAUAGGCAAAAACACCAUUUUGGACAAAGGCUGGUGAUAAUAGUCGAUAUCAUCUUUAAGUACUUUAAUAUGAUAUGUUUCUUAUUAUAGUGUCCCAUGUUAAGUGUUUCAGCAUUGUUUGUGGUGUGUACACAAAUUUUCUUAUAAAAUGUUUUAAUGCUUCUCACAUGUAUAUCAGAUAUAGACAGUUGAUGUGACUUAGAAAUCAAAUUGUCAAUAAAGCAAAAAAAUAUAAUUGGUGAUCGAGGUCCAAUUUAAUAGAAAAUAGUCUUAACUUGUAUAUUAGAGGUCUCAUAUUCGAAUCCUCACUGCAUUAUUAUUGUAUGCGUACAUGAGAAAUCCUCUUUCCUAAUAAUUUAGACUAUCACUUAUACUAAAAUAUAUAUAUAAUGACUUUUACGAAUGCAAACAUAAAAUUACACCAAACAAUAAUGGAAUAGAAAGAUGGAAGUUUUUUUUUUUUUUCCUACGUCUAAAGUAUACUUUAUACAGUCCCGAUCUCUUGGACCACAGGAGUCCAAGAGAUUGUGGUCACCCACCGUUGGAUAUUAAUCCAAUGGUUCAAAAUGAUAUAUAUAAAUGCAAUAUGACAUAAAUGAUUAUUACCCGAUCCAAGUCAACCGUUGAAUUUACAUUCAACGGUGGGUGACCAUAAAUCUCUUGGACUACAGGGGUCCAAGAGAUCAGGACUGAUACUUUAUAUAUAUAUAUAUAUAUAUUUAUUUAUUAUGGGAGUUAUAACUGUUUAGUUUUCAGUUUUUAUUUUCUAUUUAUUGUUUUAAUUUUUAUGGUUUAAUGUGUAUGGAGAUUACAAAUAUUGGAUGUCUAUAAAGGGCCACUCCUCCUUCACAUCUGAAACAAACUACCAUCUCAUUUCUGUAUUUUCAUACUUUCAUAUAUUUUCUACUGUCCAGAUUAUUAUUUUUGGGCAACGGUUCUGUGACUUGGAGAUUUCUAUCCGAUUGUUAACAUGCUCAUAGCGGACCUUGAGCUUGCGUAUUAGGGAUCGUAUCUUGGAGCCUUGUAGACCUUUAUUACCUGCAUGUAGGGAGGGUACAAAUGCUUUAGGUCAGCGUCUUCGACGUACUUUUGCUUUCUUAUUUCUUCGUUUCUUUAUUUUUGCUUUACUUUUAAAUCUUUAUUUUAUGUAUUAUUUAUAUUUAAAAGUUUGAAUAAGAGUUUUACAGAAAAGGAAAAAUACAAUUUCAAAUAACACAAAUUUCUCGUUUUUUGUUCUUAAAAAAGAAGAAGCAUUGAUUGGGGAGUUAUGGUAAACUCAAUUUCAAUGGUUGCGAUGAGAGGCGGUGGCGGCGAGGAGAGGACGAAGGCUUUGCUGCCGACGGGGUGGUGUGGGUGGGUGGAGACCUCGGCUGGCUGCUUGGUCCUGGGUUCUCCUUUAAUUCUCUGUUUUCUUUUUUCUUUUUCUUUUUCUCUUAGAGUUAUUGAUGUUAAGUGAAUGGACAGAUGCCAAAAUAGGGACAGAAGUAGGGGUGGGCAUCAAUCCGGCCGAUCCGGUCAAUCCGGCCGAACCGAUUAUAUUGGAUUGGUUUGGUUUGGUUUUGACCAAAGAAAAAGUCAACAUUUUGAAAAACCGAACCGAACCGGUUUGGUUUGGUUCAGCUGUGGUUUGAGAGUUUUAAAAACUGUCCUAAACCGAACCGGACCGAUUAUAAAUCAAUUUAUUAUUUAUUUAAUUUAGUUUACAUGUGGCAAGGUUUGUGUGCGUUUUGUGAGUCCGCGUAUCUGAAUGUUGGUGCACGUUUUGAUCUUCUAAUUUGCAUAUCCCAGUUAUUUGUGUGUGCUUGUAUUUCCCUCUCUUUCUAUCUCUACUAUGUGUGUUUGCUCUUUGUGUUGUGUGGCUCUUCUUACUCUAUCUAUCUUAAUUAAUGGGUCCAUUUCAUAAUUUCAUACGCAUUCAAACUCCACCUCUGUGAUAAAAACAUUUACCUCUUUGUGAUAAAAGCUUUUCAUUUGUUUGUAUUUCUCUUUGGCUUUUUGACUCACUCACUGUCUUUCUUUCUUUUAAUGCUACUUGUGAUGAAUGCAAUGAGUAAAUUUAAUGCUACUUGGUUAAUGCAAAUUUUGUAUAUGUUUGUUUUGAUGGAAAUUGUGAACUUAGAUGCAUGCUAGACAUUGGACAACCUUUGAAUAAAUGGAAUGAUGUUGUAUUAGCCUUUGAUGGAAUGAAAUGAAAUGAUAUAAUGGCAAAAUGUUAGCAUUAUAAUGUAAGAGCAGGUUGAAAAAUGCAUGGUUUUGUGUUAGGCACAAACCGGCCGAACCAAUCCGAACCAAACCGAUUACAAGUGGUUUGGAUUGGUUCGGUUUCCAUUAUGAUUUUAGGCUAAUCCGAACCAAACCGGACCGUUAUUUUCUUAUUGGUUCAGCUGUGGUUUGAGAGUAAAACCGAACCAAUCCGGACCGUGCCCACCCCUAGACAGAAGAUGUGAACCCAAUUAUAUACAGCUGAUUACAUAAAGUAACAAAUUAAUUAAUACUUGAGUGGAGGACAGGCUUGAGUGGAAGAAUUGAUUAAGGCUUGAGUGGAAGACCAACUUCAGUGGAGGAAAGUAUAGAUAAGGAAAGCAUGCCUCGUUUAACGGCUUUAUCUAAUAAAGAUUAGUUGUUGGCACUUGGAGUUUCUUAGGAAUGCUGGUUUUGUUUCCUUGGUGGACUUGAAAGGUGGUGCGUUGGCUCGGACAUCUCCCUAGUAAUUAAUCGAAGGUGGAAUCUUACAAGACAUACAGCUGCUCAUUAGCUGAAUAUCUCGCUCUCUUUAAAGAGAUCGAAGCAAACUGCAAUUUGCAAUUUGUGUGAUUCAAGCAUGAAUAUCUGAUAUAGUAACUAUACCAUUUGUUGGUUUGAUAAGAAAAGUUUGGUUAGCGAGGAUGAAACCAUAAAGUUCUCCAAAACACACAAAAAACACGAACAAUUGCUAAGUUUAUUCUUGAGUUCACACAUAUUUGUACAAAUGAGAUUACUCCAAGCAUGACUAUACCAUUUGUUGGUUUGAUAUGAAAAGUACGGGCAACGAGGAUAAAACCAUACAAACACACACAAAGAACGUGGACAAUAUACUAAGUUUAUCUUUGCGUUAUUGAUCCGACCUAACUGUAAAAUAAAAAAGAUAAAAAUAUAUAAUGUUCACUACUUAGAUCUAUGAGCACUAAAGUCCUCCUUUUGAAAUUGCACAAAACAUCACUUUUGGUCUUUGGUAAAUUUUUAAAAUAAAUGAAUUUUUUACUUAUUUGUGAACUGAAAUGCCUCUAAAAAAAUAAUGAUAGUUUGAAGAAUUUGAUAGAAAUAAAAAAAUAUCCUCAAAUUACUUGGAAUUGAAGACCACAUAGGCAAAAACACCAAAUUGCAACCUCACUUUAAUGAUAAAAAUGGUAAACUACAAAGACAAAAAUGACGUUUUGCCUUAUACAUAAUUGGAAUUUGCUGGUGAUAAUAGUCUACCAUCUUUUGUCGAUUUGCUGGUGAUAAUAGUCUAUCAUCUUUUGUCGGUCCGACCUAAAAAGAAGAAAAAGUUGAUGGCAUCUUGUACCAUUUUUGCCAAUGUGGGCCCAAACAAUUUGAAGAAGUCCACCGGCAAUUUCUCAAAAGCUAUUGUGUGAGUGUGAAGCUAAACCAAUAUUAUUUUGCAUAUACGACUCCACAUCCCCAUGUGAUGUGAGGCUACAAAAGUGUUUCCAAAACGAAAUAUGAUAUUUCAAAACGAAGCUAUGUAUAGAGUCAUUUGUAUUUGCUUUCACAAUAACAUUUGAUUUGUGAAAGCAUUUUAUAUUUAUACAUUCUGAUAUUCUAACAAAUAAAUUGACUAAAUUUGGCCAACAGGAUUUAGCCGAAUAGAAAAGUCCUUAUUUAUAGACUAGUGGUUUCAAAUUUAAAGUUUAGACUAUCGCAUGUAUUUAAAAAAAAAAAAACAAUUGGCUUAAUUUGAUAUAUUUCCUUUUUUUCCUUUUUCAUUUUAUACUGGGUGCCGUUAUUAAGUUUUAUCCUUAUUUUUUGUUGAAAAGAAAAUUGAAAAAAAAUAAUAAUUCCUACAGCUAGCAACUUCUCCACCUUCCCUUCUUCGCAACUAGGGAUGCCAUUGCAAGGUCACCAUCUCAGAUUAAGUCCUCCUUUUAAAAUUGUGUCGUUAUUCAGAAUUGGAAUAUAAUCCUGUACCACUUUGGCCACUUUUGAAGAUGUUCACCGACAAUUUCUCAAAAGCUAUUAAGCUGUACAUCCACAAUAUUAUUGCAUCCAUCCCCAUGUGAGGCUACAGAAAAAUUUUGAAAACGAAACUGGAUAUUUUAUCUCUAACAACAGCUUUCAUACUUCGUUUACCCUGUGUUUCCAAGUUGUGCUAGCUAUUUGCAAACCUUGGAAUAUUACUUCAUCCAAAUCCCUUGCAGAGAAGAGCAAGAUAUGGCUUUGAUCGGAGAAGCCCUCAUCUCCGCUACCAUCCAGACGUUUUGUGACAAAAUUGCUUCGCCUGAGUUCACCGACUUAUUUCGGCAGAAAAAGCUCGAUGAACAACUCCUCAACAAGCUGAAGACGACGCUGUUGACCUUGUCCGUAGUGCUUAAUGAUGCAGAGGAGAAGCAAAUUAAGGAACCUUUAGUGAGAGACUGGCUUGACAAUCUCAGACAUAAUGUCUUGGCUGCGGAGGACUUACUGGAUGAGAUCGACACUGAAGCUUUGCGAUGCAAGCUGGAAGAAGGUGAAGGUCAAACCCACAAUUUAACCAAGAAGGUACGUGAUUUUUAUCAACGCAUGAAUGUUGAGAUGAAAGAUUUAUUAGAAAGAUUAGAACAAUUUGUACAAGAGAAAAGUGCUCUUGGUUUGAGAGAAGGUGCUGGGAGGAAGGUUUCACAAAGAAGAACAACUUCCUUGGUUCAUGAACCUUGUGUCUAUGGUAGAGAUGAAGUCAAAGAAAAUCUGUUACAAAGAAGAGGAUUUGCCGUCAUCUCUUUCUCAUCUGAGUAUCUCGCGGUGUCCUGCCCUGGAGAAAAGGUAUAAGAAUAAGACGGGACAAGAUUGGGCAAAGAUAUCUCACAUUCCUUGCAUCAAGAUAGGAUACGAACUGAUCAUAUAAUAUGAGCUAUUCCAUAUUUCACUCUCAACCCUCAACUCUCAAAUCAAAGUCAGGUGAGGUAUGUGCCUUCUCUUACUUUAAAAAACUGCUUCUCUUCUUCUAAUUGAAUACAAAAACCAAAACACAUAUUCUCUUUCUCUUCCAAAAACCCAAAUACAUGUUGAACAUUGCCAAAUUUGAUCUCCAAAUUCCUAAUUAUUUCACGCUUUUUGUUAUUUUGUUGCUUAGUAAAUUAUGGUUGCUGGUCACAAAUUAUAGUCUGUUAAUAGGUUCAUGCCAUGAAUUAAUCUUUGGACUUUCCCAGGUACUGCAGGUUUGUUAUUAAUGUUGUGGCCUGAUAUUCGUCGUAUCAAUAGGUUGUCUUACGUUGAGGAGAGAGAUCGAUCAGCAAUUACAAAAUUGUUAGUGAAUUUAGCUUGUUUAUCAUCUCUCUCCUUUUGUUUGUUAAGUUUGGUUGUUCUAGGUUAAACCCUUGUCCCCGCAUUUCACAGCAACUCUAUGUUAUUCCACUCUGUUUAGUUUCAUUUAUGUUGUGAUUCGACUGCUGCUGUAUUUUAGAUUUCGUUCAUGUAAUGCUAGGAUGUUUAAUCUCUUAUCUGUGGUGGUAGUUGAGUAGUCUAGCUAAUCCAAUGAUAACUUGUCCCCUGUUUUGUAUUGUUUUUAUUUCUCUGGUAAUGAAAGCACGUUUCUUAUAAAUAAAUAAAAAAUAUUUCAUUGAUAUUCAUUGCUUAUUUUGAACUGCAGAAGCCUACUUUUGUCAGAGUCAGUAGAUGCCAGAAUGAAGUCAUUGCCUAAACACAUUGGCACCCUCACAGCCUUCGACAUUUUGGGAUAUAUGAUCUUCAAAAUCUUGUGUCAUUUGCCUCCCAACCUGCAAUAUUUUCAUAUUUUAAAUUGUGACAGACUGAGCCCUUUGGUGGGAGAUUACUGGGGUUUGCAAGGACUUGGUGGCAAUAUCUUGUAGACGUUUCUCAAGGAACAGCUGCUCAAUACCACUCUUCACACUCUAUAUAUUAUGGCCUGUCAGUCUAUAAUUCCUGCCAGGAGAGGAACUUGAACGCCUCUCUUCGCUGCAAAGGCUACAUAUUUGUGGGUGUGACAAUAUCCAAUUCCUGCCAGAAGAGUGUUUGCUGCCAUCUCUUUCUUAUCUGUGCAUCAACCAUUGUUUUGCCAUGUAGAAAAGGUAUCUCACAUUCCUUGCGUCAAGAUAGGCGAAGAAGUGAUCAUAAGAUAUGAGCUCUCUCUCCCUCUCGCUCACAUACAAUGUACUUAACACAAACACUCAAUCUGAUUUCUAUUAUUAUUUUGCUCAGUAAAUUUUGUUUAAAUUUGCUUUAUUUCUCAUUGCACUUGUUCUGCUGAUCACAACUUAUAUCCUAUUUAAAUCUCAAAUGCUGAAUAAUGAGCAGUCUUUUCGCAGGACAACAUAUCUUCUCUUGGAGAGCUAUUCAUUUGCAAGGUUUCUUUAUGGGUCAUUUCCAGAGGAGGGUUUACUAUUUAAUAGAAAGGUUCACCUGGAAUAUCUCAACUGACACAUUCCCAAAUACAGGCAUUGAAUGCACAACAUUUUGAGGUACUAUUUUUGUAAUAAAAAUGUACUUGAGUCUCAUUUGAGCUAGUUUAAAUUGUAUUCAAUGUCUAUGGAUAACCUGUGAGCUUAAGUUGUAAGAUAAAACUCACAGUAUAUUAUUAGGGUUUAGGGUUCAACUGUUCAACAGGUGAGCUUAAGUUGUACUUUCCUAGGUACUGCAUGUAUAUAAUCUUAGUAUCAACACUUGGUCUUAUGUGGACAAGAGAGAACAUUUGAGGAAUUACAAAAUCUUCUUAGUGAAUUAAUGUUGUUUCAGCUCUGUUUGUCAUCCCUCACAUUUUCUUUGUUAAGCCUUGAUUUUUUAUUAGACAUAAGAAAAAAUGCUUUUAUAAGACAGGAGAUGAAUGCUUUUAUAUGUUGAUGUCGUAGUCAGUCUUCAACCACACUCUGUUUUUAGAAUUCAUUUAUGUUACUAGUUGAGUGCUGCUGUAUUUUAUAUUUCGUUCCUGUAAUGUUUGGAUGUUUAGCUUGAGCAGUCUAGCUUAUCCAGUAGAUAACUUGUUCCCUGUUUUGUAAUGUUUUUGUUUCCUCUAAUGAAAGCAGGUUUUACUUAUCUUGAACUGCAGAAGCCUACUUUUUGACAUAGGUGGCAUGGCACAAACUCGCAUCCGCAUUUCCUUCCCCAUUGGCAUGCUGUCUCAUCUUUUGUAUUCUGUUACCAGCUUGAAGCUUGUGUAGACAUGUUAUGCUCUUGUAAUUCUGAUCACAAACAUCACUUGACAAAUGGAAAGUCACAAUCAGAUCUUUCAGGUGAUCGGGAGGUUUACUUUCUAACAUUUGUUUUCAUUGGGGGGAGGACAACAAUACAGAAUUUAAAAUUUCUGAUAAUCAAUAGUAGUUUGCAUAUAUCAGCUGGGACCUGUAUGACUGUAUUAUGUAAUUAAUUAUUUCUCUUAUUGUUUUGGUACUGUUAAAAGGAGUUAGCCACAAAAUAAAAAAGGAGGCCUCUUAUUUCAUACAAUUUUUCAAAAGUGAUCAUUCAUCCGUUUCUUUUUCAACAAUAGAGGAAUGUAUACUAAUCGUCUGGUCCAUCUGCUGCUUCACUCCCUAGUAGCUUCAUCUCCUGUCCUUUGCUUUAUUUCUGUUGAUGAAUGUUUUGUCUGGGUUAUUUAUUUUCAUUUCAUGUCCAUUGCUUCAUUUCUGUUUGGAUUCUGUCCUGGACUUGAACAAGGGUUAGGUUAGCUGUAUAAUUUGCGGUUUUAUAUACACAACUGUCUACAUUGAUUAAAACCAGCAUUAUUCUAAGGUUCAUUUAGAAUGUAUUAUCACCAAAAUUAUAAAGUAUACUUCUAUUACAAUUAAUUUGUUGAUUCUAAUUUGGACUUGUAGGAACAGACCAAACAUGUUCAUACGUGGCAUUGCUCAAGUCAUCAUCAUUCGGGACAGAGAAUAAGCCUUCAAAUGUCUGCUGAGUCAAUGAACCUUUCUAGAUAUCUCAAGUGUAGUGGAAAUUGAUGAGUUACAAAGGAUUUUUAAACAUUUUCUACUGGAGGCUAGAAAUGCUUCAAAUAAAUGACUGUGUUGCAAUUAUUUUGUAGGAUCAAAGACUCUGCAAAGAGGUAAGAAAGUCAUCAUCAAGUAACUUUGCUCUUCAAACUUUUUAAUUUUAUUUUUAAAUAUCAGUAAUAACUGGGAAAGUUUGCAUUUCCUUAAAUUGCUCAUUCUUACAUCUUUUAUAGUUUGUUGAUCUUGGGCAAGUGGAGAGAGAGGCGUCAAGUGAUACACAACAACCAUUUUCUGUGAGCUGAUUUGAUAAAGAGAAAUGGUAUGCUUUCUUGUCUUAAGCGGUGUGUUCUGCAAUUAUUUGAAACAAAGGAUGCCGCACUUCAAGUUCGAGAAAAUCAGGUAUUUUAGUAUUUUAUUCUGGAGAAAUUUGAUUUAUGUAGAAACUUGAACAUGUAAAUGAGAGAAAAAAAAAUUUAUAUAUAUAUAUAUUAUAUUGUAUAUGCUCUUAAUGAGUUAAUAUGGUGCUUGCUCCUGGUUGGAAAUUUAUGUAGUCAUCUACCUAUGAUCAAAUAAAGAUGAAAAAUAAAAUAAAAUUGAGAGCAUCUUCCUCUCCCCUGCUUUGCUCAUCCCUUGUUCUUCCACUUCAGCCCCACUAUUACACCAUUUUUUCAGCCACAAUUAUAAUAGCUCCAUGAGCAUUAAGUCCUUUUCAAAUUCUGCUGACAUUCAAAAUUGGAAUUGCUGGUGAUAUAUGAUAGCAUCCUUGUCCGACCAAAAAGAAAAAAAAAAAAAGUUGAUAGCAUAUUGUACCAUUUUGGCCAGUGUACGCAAUAUUAUUGCAUCCAACUUUGCAUAUUAACAUCAGUGGCCACAGUUCCAUGAUUUGAGUGCACAGAAAGGUUUCAAAAGUUGUCCCACAAAGAACAGUCGUUCAAAGUGAAAGAGAGUUUUCAAAGCUUAGUUACAAGUUCAUGUUAUUUACAAUAUCAAAAAGCUUUCAUACUUGCUUACAAACCUGUAUUUCCAAGUUCUGCAAACCUUGGAAUAUCACUUCAUCCAAAUCCCCUUCCAAAGCAGGAAAAAUGGCAGCAGCUUUGAUUGGAGAGGCUCUCAUCUCUGCUUCUAUCGAGUUGUUGUGUGACAGAGUUACUUCAGCCGAGUUCAUAGACUUAUUUCAGCAGAAGAAACUUGAUGAAACACUCCUCAUGAACCUGAAGACGACACUGUUGAUUUUGUUUGCGGUGCUCAAUGAUUCAGAGGAGAAGCAAAUUGUGAACCCUGCUGUGAGAGAGUGGCUUAACAGCUCAAGCAUGCUGUCUUUGAUGCAGAGGACUUACUUGAUGAGAUUGACACUGAAGCUUUGCGAUGCAAGCUGGAAGGUGAGGAUGAAACCCACAAUAAUUAACCAAAAAGGAUCUUUUUGAUUGUUUGAAAGGAGGGUCUUGAUGAUUUGAAAGGAGAGGGUUGCUUUAUUUCUGUUGGAUGCUUAAUUAAAUCUUAUUUGGAGUUGAACAAGGAUUAGGUUAGCUGUAUAAUUAGUGGUAAACGCCUUUUUCUAAGGGUCAUUUAGACUCAUAUUACGAUUAAUUUGUUGUUUCUAAUUUGGACUUGUAGGAACAGACCAAAUAUGUUCACACGUGGCAUCGCUCAAGUCAUCAUCAUUUCAGACUGAAAAUCAGCCUUCAAGUGUCUGUUGAGUCAAUAAAACUUUCUAGAUAUAUCAAGUGCAAUGGAAAUUCAUGAGUUACAUAGAGAUUUGUAAACAUUUUGAAGAUUGCAACACCUGCAAGUGAGAUAGGCGGUGACGAAAUCAGAGAUGAAGCCUCUGAUGCCCCUGUUGUUGCAAGUUGCACCUGAGAACAUGUUUUUUUUUCUUCUUUGGGGUAAAAAACUGGCAACAUGUUCGGAGCUGACAAUUCAAUCCCUGAUGAACUAGAGAAGCAAAGCUCCGGUAAGGAAAUUGGUCAAGGUUGUGACAGGGAUGAUUGAUGGUGAAAUGGAUGCUAUUUCUUAUUGCAGCCUGUUCUUAAAGUUCUUGUUGGCAAAUGCAAGAGAUGGAGUAUUUUGAUUGGGAGGAGAGAUAAUGACAUGGCUUGACAAUUCUAGAACAGCCCAUCAUUAAUCCCAGAAAAAAUCCAGUUUCUGCUAAACAAUCACUUAUGGCAAGGCCAACUCUGUAAAUGGAAUUUGUGAUCCCUUCAAAUUGUACACAUUUUUUCUUUUUGAGGAAUUUAAUCAAACAGUAUUCUAAUGCAUUAUGAUGGCACUACACGCUUUUGUUGUAACAAAUUACAAGGAGGAAUUUGGAUUGAGUUUCUUGUAUAAGCACACCUUACACAAAUUUCGUAUAUUUUCUUCCAGCAAGUCUGUCUAUUAAACCCCUUAUUUGAAAUUAAUUGUUAUAAGUUUUGAUUCAUCUUUAAUCAGUGUCUUCCCCUUGUUGAAUAACACUCCUCUUUCUAAUUUAUAUUUGAAGUUUGAGGUUUCAAUUUCAAUUGUGGGUUUUGAUUUUACAGAUUUUGUUUGUCAAUUUCAGUUUGGACAAAGCAUAUGCAAUCAAAGUAAGCAUUUUAUGUUAUACUUUUGAACUAGGUGUUGAUUUGAUUUAAUCAUAAGUUUUGCUGGUGCAUUUACUAGGCUAAUCAUUCAAUACUUUUGAUCAUAGAACUUCUUUGGUUGAUAUUAUCUUUGUUAAGUUUAACCAUAACUUUAGAGAGGGGACUUAACAGAUUUAUAAUCUCAUCAUUAUAGUAUUAAAAAUUAGAGAUUAUUUAAGGCAUUGUCUAUUAUCUGAAUUCUGCUUACUUUUAGUUCAUAUGUUUACAUCUUAGCAUAUUCAUGUGAUUAGUGCGGCUCAUACCACAAAGGCAAUUUUAGGCUCAUCAAGUGCUAAGCAAUGUCAAGCUUCCAAGUGACAAGUUCUCUACAUAGUUUGAGACCUACACUUACUAGAUAUUAGAUCAUUUGGAUCAUUUCCAUAUGUGUAUAUGUAAUUGACAUGUUAUAACAUUUUUGUAGCGUUAUAUAAUUAUUUAGCAAUUUAAUUAUUUCUUUGCAACUUUAUUUUUUUUGUCAGUCAUACUAUUGUUGACUGCUAAAAACCAUCAAGAAAUAGUUCUUAAGUUAUAAAAAAAAAUUAUAAAAAAAAAGAUUUGUUGAUGCUUAAAAAGCAUCAAGAACAGAUAGUUUCUUGACGGUUUUGUGACGUUUCAUAACUGUAAGGGGCUUUUUCUUUCGACAGCUGUAAAUGGGCUGGGCUGCCGUAAAGGUCAAGACUGAUGAAAUUGUCCCUUUUUGUCUGAGCUCGAAAAUUAUGCCCCAAAAUACUUUGAAAGGGCAGCAGAGCCUUAGGAAGUAUUUUGGUUACCCUCACCAACUAAAACAACAACAACUUACAGGUAAUUUCUUAAUGCUUACAGAUGAACUCUUGUGCUUGGCAUGAGUGACAUGUGGCAUGGAAGCAAAAUCAACAUGAGUUUAGCACUGAGGCGAAAUUUAGGCUCUCUUGGGGGAAAAAGGGAAGUGUUAAGGUGAGAGAGGAGAAGUUUGUAGGAGAUUUAGCUAAGAAAGGAGAAAUAUAGAACAAUGCUCUUCUGGCAACUUGACAGAUGCUCUGUCUGCCAAAAAAGGAAGAUGGAGAAGAAAUGUGAAUAGUGCACGAAUUUGCUAGAUUUUUGCAGGUAAGAGAGGAAGCUUGCCCUAUGGGUCUGAGUUGAGUUUUGUUGGGUGGAAGAGACCUCAUUUUAUAGCCCCUGGAAACCAUCACUUCCCAAGAAACCCUAAUGGCUUCUACCUAUUUUGGCCAAGCUUUUCCCUUCCUUUCUCAUUUCCUUCCUUGAGUUUACCCCUUUUGAUGAAAUCCCAUCUGCCUAUUUGCACCAGAUCAAAGUUUUUUGAAGCUCAAGGCCCCCAUUUUCUUGCAGUUGUCUCAAUGGGAGACUUCCAUUCCCAGUCAUUCUCCUUUAUUGCUUUCCUUUCUUUUUUUCAUGGCCUAGUCUGGUGGGGAAAGGAGUUGGGAUAUAUAUGCUGGUUUGAAGGGUGCUUCUCUUCCUGACAUCUUACACACUAAUACCCCUUGGUUCCUUGAAUGUUUUGGCUUUGAAACUUGCUCCCCCCCUCCCCCCAUGUACUGGAACCUCCCAGCAGCUCUGUUCAAUGAAUUUUCAGACCUUUUCUUCAUGGCUUUUAUUUUUUUAUUAACUGGCUGGAGCUUUUGUGGCUCAUUGUGGCAAUUGUAUGGGCUAAGGUGGUUCAUUAAGUAAGUGAGCUAUUUUUAUUAAACAUUGGGCUUUUUGGUUGAGUCACUAGGCUAUUUUGAUUGGGCUAUUGGGCUAUUUUUUCCUUUCUUGUACUCACCCACAUGUUUGGACCAAAGAAAUGAGCUUGAGUCCUGAGGCUCCCAAGCGACCCGAGACUUUCCAUUUCUCGGCCCAUCAAUGGGCCUCAUGUUGAUUUAUUACCAUCCAUACCACAACCCACUCAAGCAAGCCCCGGGCAUUUGAGUGGCUUGGGCCCACUUAGGCUUGUAGUGUGGUUGGGUGCGAAAUGACGAUUUCGUGCUUGGCAUGUUUUAAUUUUAUCAUCCUUGGGAAAGGCUGCGAUGUUUGAUUUCGGCAUGGGCUUGUAGAGCUGGUAUGCUUUAUUUCAACUCUAGCAUGACGAAUUAUUUAUUUAGCAUGGCACGUGAAUUACAACUCGCAUGGGGUGGGUUUUUGUGUACUACACCUUACGCCUCUUCUUAAUAGAACAUCGUUUUGGGCUGAUAAUUUAUUCGGGCCCAACUGUGAAUUUUUUGGGUCUCAAUAAUAACCAUCAUAAAAUAUUACAUUUUGACUGACGUCAAGAAAUGGGGUAUCCCUUUCCUGAUAGUGGCAUCCAUGAUGCCUUCCAAGCCGUCAAUUAAGGGCUAUCGUGAUGCAUUUUAGUUGUCAGCAAAAGGUGUUUUUCUUGUAUUGUAUUCACUCAAAAUCAUGUUUCAUUUAAGACUAGUAGUAUGGUUGAAUACCAUUUGUUUUGUUAAAGAAUAUUAUACAUUAGGGAUUUUUGUAGAAAUGUCAUUUGAACUUAUACCUUAGUUUCAAUUUGUUACCUUGAAGAAAAAUUUAAGAGAAAUGUCACCUUAAUUUUUAAAAAUCCAUGAUUUGUUAUAUGACUUUAAGAUCAUCCAAUUUUCCAUCCAUUUUAAGGGGAUUUUAGUCUUUUCAUUUUCAAGGAAAAAAAAGAGAUGAAAAAAGAGACAUCUCUCUUACUUUGUUGCCCAACCCAACCCAACCCCACCCGCCCCCCAAAACCACAUAGGAUUGCCUCCCCUUUCCCCACUUUUCUUUUUUCUUUUUGUCCUACUUUUCCACUGUGUUUAUGUUGAAGGAUCUAAAGUUUGCUUGGUCACCAUCUGUUACGUAGGCUUCCCAAUUGUUGGUUUGGGUGGGUUGUGGGAAUUUGUGUGUGGAGGGCAAGACCCUAUCUGACAGGACCUGCCUCGAAUUCCUCGAAACCCGAGACGAAUCUUGUGGAAUUCCCGACAUUACACCGAUGUCGGGCCCACUUAUGAACUAAAUCCUCCUUUCCAAAAUUAAGGAAAAAGAGUACGAGGCUUUCUGCCGAAAUUGCGGCAGUGUCUUCCUUAUAAAUUUAACAUUUCAGCUUUGGUGGCCAUUCUCUCAUUUUAGCUUUGGUGGCCGGAUGAGAGAACGGCCGGCUAAAACGUGGCCAACUGGCAUUGCCGUCGCGAGAGAGGAGAGAGAGAGAGAGAUUUUUAUCAAACCAUUUUUGCCAAAAUUACGAUUAUGCAACUGAGGGUAUUUUGAUCGUAUCUUUUUUGUUAUAACUCCGAUUCAAGCUCACUACAUGCCUAUGGAUUCAUCUCGCCGUGCUUUAUGCAAUUGUAUAGUUGAAAUUCCCAAAUUCCAUCCCAGUCAAAAGUCAACUUUAAACCCUAUAAAAUAUUCUAGGGGAAGAAUGGUCUUUUAUCUAAUUAAAUUAAUAAUUGAAAAUUUAUUUAGGAUCGGGUCGUUACACUGUCGUUGAUGGACUGUGCGAUGACACUCACACAAAGUCCUUGAGAAUAAAACACACACACACCGUGAAGAGAGUAAAACAAAUACACAAGUACACAAAGAUUUAUAAAGGUUUGGCCUCCUGCCUACGUCCUUUUGGUGAUCCACCCGAGAAAUUCACUAGUAUGUAAGAACAACUUUGGUUACAACUAAACCCCCUUAGCUUUCAUAAGAACCCUAGAUCUCUUUUCUCCCACCCUUGCUCCAACCCUUUGAUGCCCUUGUAAACACUCAAGAAUUCACCCUUGAAUUCUGUCAUGUGUUACAUCUUCUCUUCUCCCCUUUGUUAACCUAACCCUAAAAGUUAUAUUUAUAAUUCAUAGGACUUUAAGUACAAGUUAACUAGGAAUAGGAAACAUAAAAGACCCCCAAAAUUGGAGAAAAUAUGUCUAGAUCUCGUUAGGAAAUUGCACAACACGUGCGAUCCGCUCGAGCGCCUGCAAAAUCAUCCCUUUGCCGCUCGAUCUGCCGAUAGCUCAUGGGAUGGGGGAAUUAGAGAUUUUUUUUUUUUCAAUUUUAAUUGUUUAAAAGAUAUACAAUUUUUUAAUAAUAAUUUUUCCAUUUUUAAAAUACCCUUGAAAAUAGAAAGAUUAAAAUGCCCUUAAAAAUGGAUGGAAAAUUGGAUGGUGUUAAGAUCAGAUGACAAAUCAUGGAUUUUGAAAAAUUAAGGUAACAUUUCUCUUAAAUUUUUCUUUAAAGUGACAAAUUGAAAUUGAGGUAUAAGUUCAAGUUACAUUUCUGCAAAAAUCCUUAUACAUUAUGAUAUUCUAACAAUAAAAUUGGCUAAAAUUGAUAUGUUCCCUCUUUUAUUUUCUUUUUCUCUUUUCCUUUUCAUUUUAUGAUCCAAUCCUUUUCAUAUAUUUUUGUUCAAGACUUUGUUUUAGAAUGCUCUAUUACUAAUUUGGUACAGGUCCCUAAAAUCUCAGAGCCGCCUUAGUACAUUCAUAACGUACAUGUUCAGAGUUCAAGAAUAAUGUAUAGAAUGUGAAAUUGACGAUGCCGGCCUUUAUGAGGCAACGUCUUUAUUUCUUUGGUUAUUCCAGUUUAGAAUAUUUGCACAAAUGAGAUGACUCCAAGCAUAAAGUCACAUUCGACCAAAAAGCAUGAAGUCACACACAAAAAGAACACGGACAAUUGCUAAGUUUAUCCUUGUACCCUUAUUAUCCGACCCAAUUGAAAAAUAAAAAAAGAUGAUAAAAAAUAUUGUUCACUGCUUUAAAAUCUAUGAGUAGAGUCCUCCAUUUGAAAUUUCGUCAUUAUACAAAAUUGGAAUGAAAAAAGAAAAUCCUACAGCUAAAUUUGAUAUAUUUCCUUUUCAUUUUAUGCUGGGUGUUAGGGCUCGUCAAUGGGCCGGGCCAGGCUAGCCCGGCCCAAAUUUAAUGGGCUUGGGCCAGGCUGGGCCAGGCUUUAAAGAGGAGAGAGAAAAUAUCAGGCCGAGUUUUUUAAGAAAAUUCAAAGCCCAAGCCCGACCCAUGAGCCCGGCUUGAGAAAGCCCAUCGGGCCGGCCCGGGCCUAAACAGGCCCUACUUCGUUAAAAAAAAAUCAUAAACUUAAUCAUAAGGUCAUUUUAGUCCAAAUUUGAGAUUAAACUCACUUAAUUCCAAUAUUUUCACUUCAAACCAAAUUCAUAAAACACCCAAUAAAGUCACACAGCUUGUAAGAUUUUCCACAAAAAUAAUAAAACCAAGUACUAUUUUUGAGGUUAUUACAUAAUUAGAUCGUAAUAUGUUUUAAGAAAUAAUUUUAAAAAAUAAUAUUAAUAAGUAUCAAAAAAAUAAUUUUUUAAAGGAUGGUAUGAAUAAAUAUGCAAAUAUUUGGUGAUGUGUUCAAGAAAAGGAUGAUUAUAUUUGGUGGUACGAUUAUGUUUCGUGAUAUGAUUAUAAUUAGUGAUGUGAUAUGUUGUUCAUCUUAUAUAUAUAUAUAAUUGUUGAAUUAAUAAUUGACACAAAUUAAUGUGUUAAUCAUCCAAUUAUAAACUAGGAAUGAAUAAAGAAAAGUAAAUGAAAUGAAACAAAUUAUAUAUGUGAUUUAAGUGAUAUAAUCCUAAACCUAAACUCUUAUUUAUACAUAAUUAUAUAUGUAUGCGGGCCUAACGAGCCGGACUUUUGUGGGCGGGUAGGGCCGGGCUUUAUUGGGCUUAAUCGGGCUUUAUUGGACUUAAUCGGGCUGGGCCUAUAGGUCGGACCGAGCUUCAGACAUCCAAGCCCACGCCUAGCCUCGCCCGCCUUGGGCCGGGCCAUUCUUUUUUUGGGGUUCUAUUUCUCUUUGAAUUAACUGCUGAGUUUCAUGAACAUGUCCUCCUUUUGAAAUUGUGUAUUAUUCAAAAUUGGAAUUUGCUGGACAUACUUGAUAUUUUCGUGAGUAAAUUCUGAUUUGGUGGUUGUGCUCGUCACAAAUCAAUGAAAUGACAGCAGUGAUUUUGCAAGACAGCGUACCUUCUCUUGGGGUGCUUUUCAUUUUGCAACAUUUCUUUACGUGUAAUUUCCAGAGGAGGGUUUAUCAUUGUAUACAGCUCUUCGGGUGGUUUUUCUACAAAACAAAUGUCACAAAGAAGGAGGAGAAGCGGAAAAGAUUUACUUGGAAUGUCUCAAGUCUCCUUUGAGAUAAAGGCAUCGAAUGCACAACAUUGUUUUUGUGCUAUUUCAUAAUUAAAGUGUGCUUCCCAAGUCUCCUUUGUGUUUUGUAACUUGUAAUGUUUGUUUUUUUGUUUCCCAUGUUUUGUCUCUUAUAAAAGAAAGGCUUUUUAUCACAAAUGGUCCUUCAGGUUUACAAAAUUAUCACAAAUCGUCCUUCAAGUUUUUUUGUGACACUAAUAGUCCUUCAGGUUAUCAUUUACCCAUCAAAAUGGUCCUUCUGUCAGUUUCUGUCAAAACUGACGUUAAAUUCCUGUGCUCAGCCUGCUUUUGAAAUGAUAAUCUCAUCUUUUCCACUCAACCUUCAACCAAACUCAACUGUCAGAACCCUUUCCCUCCAUUUCCUCAUGGUCCUUCCAGUUUGGCGCCCCUGUAAUAUAUAACCAAUCUUAAAAAUUAAACUUCUGAAGAAAUUGAAACAAUCCAAGCUCAAGAGAAAGACCAACAAUUGAGAACUGCAGAGAAAGAUCAAACUCAUGGAUCAAUAUGGUAAAGCCAAAUUGAAAAACAUAAUUUGCUAAAGAUAAAGCCAAACUGAAAAACCAAACUGAAAAACAUAAAGAUAUCAUUGACAAAUAUAAAAAGUUAAAAAAUAUUGCACAAUCAAAAUACAACCACAUGUUUCACAAAACAAAACAAAACAACCACAUUUGCAGACAAGCUGUAGUUUACACUUUAACAAAGAUUAAAAAACUAACCUGUAUACUUUGGUUGUUUCCCCCCCUUUCGAAAGAACUCCUCGGACUCAUCCAUCUAGUCACUUUUGUAAGAAGAAUAAUGCGUAUUUGACUCUUACGAACCCAGAUAUUCCUUUUGCAGACCAGCUUUAUCAAUUAAAAACCCAAAAAACCUUAAUUGUGCAGGGCCCGAGGAUGAAAUGGAGGGAAAAGGUUAUAUAUGCGGUUUAGAGCGCCAAAAUGGAAGGCCCGAUGAAGAAAUGGAGGGAAAGGGUUAUUUCAGUUGGGUUUGGUCGAAGGUUGAGUGGAAUGAUGCGAUUAUCAUUUCAAAAGGCAGGCUGAGCACGCGACUUUAACGUCAGUUUUGACAGAAACUAACAGAAGGACUAUUUUGAUGGAUAGAUGUUAAACUAAAGGACUAUUAGUGACACAAAAAAACCUAAAGGAUGAUUUGUGAUAAUUUUGUAAACCUGAAGGACCAUUUGUGAUAAAAAGCCUAAAAGAAAUACAGGUCCAAACCACACGGAUCUACUUGCAUAAUAAUGGACCAAAUUUAUGAUUUUUAGAAAGAACCUUCUACUGGUGGAAUCUUGGGCUACUGUUGUGGCUCUCCUCUGUGUGCCUCCUUUUUAGAACGAUAAAAUAUUCAAAAUACCAGAAAAUGUUCAUGAUUAAUGCAAAUAUUAAGAAUUGAAAUUAUUAAUUAAAUGAAGAUAAUAUGGUAAAUUCACACUUUUUCAUAUUAAAAAAAUUAAAAUUAAAAGAAAUAUCAGAUAAUUACUCUUAUUUUUAUGGAACACAGCUACCCAUUAUCUUUUUUAAUUAUAAAAUAAAUUUAAAUUAAAAAAAAAAUCUCUCUCACAGACACGGAAGCGCGUGCUCAGAGGCUAGUUAAAAAUAAUGAACUUUGCUUUUGAAGACGUCUAUACCAGACCCACUCAACCUGCUUUAUGAUUAUGCAAAGAACAAACUCGUCCUUAGACUCAUUUGGUUAAACUUAGAAAAUAAUGAAACAAAAAUAUACACACCCACAAGUAACACAGCCAGGAUUGAAAACAACUGGAAAAAGAAAGGCAUGUCAAAACAAAAUUUUCAACAACUCAUCACCAUUAGACAAGAAAAAGAAAAAUCAAUACAGAAACAGAAAGAACAGAGAAUAAAUGUGGUGGAAGAAAAACGUUGAAGCCAUUUGUGAAUCCAACAACACUACCACUCUGUUUCUCUCCUUUUGUUCAGGCGGAUCUGCAUAUAUCCUAAGGCGUAUUACGGAAACAACUUCUUGCGGUUAUACUUGAAUGUUGUGGAUGCUUCAACGUUGCCAUCUGGGUGGAGUGGAUUUGUCCAAUUCACCUUCACUAUGGUUAAUCAACUAGACAGACAUAAGUCAGAAACAAUAGGUAUAUACGUCCAAAUUGUUGUUAUUUGAAAGGUUCUAAAUUUUAACAUUUUGUUGUAAAUGUGGAGAGAAAAAGUAGAGAAUUGGAAUAGAGAGGAGAGACUGAUUUUCUCAUUCAUAUGUUCAGAUGAAUGUCUUCAGUGUAUAUUUUACAAGUAGGGGGAGGUAUCUAUUUAUAGGCUAAGGUUUUGGUAAAAUACAGGGAAGGAAAGUUCCUGGAAGAUGCAAGGAAACUUCCUCUGUGGGCUCCACCUUCAAACUUUUACAACACUCCCCCUUGGAGACCACAAAUGAUAUGGAAUAUGCCUCGUUAAAAACCUUGCCAGUAAAAACCCAGUGGGACAAAAACUGGUCAAAGGGAAAAAGAGUACAUAAUGAUGUGUAACAUAAAAUUCUGUGUAUAUUGACGCGCGUGCGACACUGCCUCGUUAAAACCUUGCCAGGAAAAACCCAGUGGGAUGAAAACCUGGACGAAGGAAAAAGAGUACAGUGUUUGAAGAUCUUUAUUGAUAGCAUGCUCCCCCUGAUGCUUGGUAAAAUAUCUUUAAGUCAUACUGUUGAUCACCUUUCUGAAUAUCGUAGUUGACACUGCUGCUGUGAGUCAAUCUUGAGCGACACUGCCUCGUUAAAACCUUACCAGGAAAAACCCAGUGGGAUAAAAACCUGGAUGAAGGAAAAAGAGUACAGUGUAUGGAGGUCUUUAUGAAAAACCACGCUCCCCCUGAAAAAUAUCUCCCCCUAAAAAAUUUCAUGACUAGCUUUUCCAGUAUGCGACCAUAGAAAUUUUCAUAGUAUACUCUAAACCCUUGAGCGACACUGCCUCGUUAAAACCUUACCAGGUAAAACCCAAUGGGAUAAAAACCUGGAUGAAGGAAAAAGAGUACAGUGUGGAGCUGACCUCUAUCUGGUCUAGUAUACUUCCGGAAAAACAUUUAAGGUGUCCAACGGAUAAUCCUCAUAAAAAUGCUUCAAUACUUUCUUAGUAUAAGCAAGAAUCUCGUUGGCAUAAUGCUCGAUCUUUAAGUCGAGACAAAUAUUUCGUGACUUCUGCAGAAGCUUUAAUGUGUUGCAAACACAUUAUAAACAAUGUACUCACUGAGGUAAUUUAUGCAUAUUAAUAUUGAGUACAAAUUUUGUGCUUCAAGCACAUGUCCUUUAGGGACUUGCUUUAUGCAAUGUCAAUCCUCUCAACGGAUUUUGUUUAAAAGGGGAUUAAACUUUAUGACACAUUAUAUAGCUUUAACCCAGCUAUUUAUACAUCUUUAGGGAAUCACUUCAAGUGAUAUGCUCUGUGCAUUUAAUAACCCUUAAAGAUAACAUGUUGGUCUCCGUAAUUGUGCAGUAAGGGGGGAGGCACAAUUGAAUCUGUAAAUAUGGAAAAGACCCAACAUUCAUUGUUUCUGCCAGAAACAUUGUGUCAUACAAAGUAGGUAUAUUCCCUUUUAUUCCGAACACCCAAGUAUAAGUUUCAAUAUUAACAUCUUUUGGGGUUCGUACUGUGGGUUUGUUCUUUCACGUUCAUUCUCAUCUAUAAUGGAAUUACCUCUUUCCAUUUUGGCCAAUGAUAUUGUCGACAUCUAAUAAUUGAACGUGGUUCCAAUCAACACAGCCCAUUGAUGAUUUGAGUAGCUACUCCAAAACCAAAAAUUGUCAUUCAUCAAUUCAUUAUCCCACCAUUCUCAUGUGCAUGCGCAUGCAUCAAUUAUAAGCAUUUCUUUGCUUUUGGGUACCCAAGCCACUUCAGGGGGCUUUUAUUAUGUGAGAAUGUGGAUUAUAACCUCCAAUGGAGCGUUAUUUUGCAGUAGGGCGUGGAUAAUCUCCAUUUAGGGAGUUGGAACAUUUAGAACCCAUAUAUCUGUCAUGCUGCAGGCAUGCCACAGAUUAAUACAUACAUGUCAAUUAGUUUAUGGGACUUUAACCCAUAUGAUGGGACUUUAACCCAUGUAAUUUGCUACGCAUUCGGCGUGCAUAAUCUCAAUAUUGACAUGUCAAAGGAUUGUCCAUUCGGGACUUCAAUCCACAUCAUUUGCUACGCAAUAGGCGUGCAUCAUAUUGAUCACUGCUAUACCCAUAUUCUGUUCUUAUGGGACUUUAAUCUGUGCAAUGUAUUAUCAAUGUAUCCAACUUGCAAUCUGUAAAAUUUGCAUUAAUAAUACAUGGAUACAUACAAGCCAUUCUUUUGGGACGGACUUAUCUCCCCAUUUGGUUACCUUUCAAUAUAAAAUAUCAAAUAGGUAUAUAAGCAUAAAAUAACACAAGUAUUGCUUACAUCCUUAGGUGGGAGAAACUUUUCUCAAGUAUCGCUUGAUGAUCUUGUUAUAUCCUGCAAGAGCAAAAAUCACAAUUCCUUUCUCUGUCAAAAACAAAUAAGAGGAAUAGGUAGAACCGGUGAAUUUCAAAUUAACCAUAGGAAAAUUGCGAGAUUCUCGGGAUGCUUUUGAAAAAGUAGCUCCGUGAAAUCCGUAAAGCAAGAUUGGCUUUGAAAAUAAUACUUGAAAACGCCGAAAGUGCCGACAGGCAUUAUUAGAGGCCACGUGAAGUUUUGGACUUCUAGGAAAGAAAAAGAUAAUAUGGGGAUUCGAGAAGAUAUUGGGGUCUUGAAAAACAGUAGCCAUAUUUCCUCCUAUAGAUAUGGCCUUUGCAACAAUUGCGCACCUUCUUAAACUUGCACCUGUGGUUUUUACGCCUUUUCAAAAUGACGGUUUGGAACCUUGUGCCUUAUAGGUUCAAAUAACCACAUUGUUUCUCCCAAAUUUCAUAUUUUAUCGCAUGGUAGCCCGAAACUUUUGGCCUGGGCACAAAUUCAGAAUUUAUUUGCCCUUUUCAAAUGGACAUGAAAUAUGAAUUGAGUAAAAGCCAUGAUAAUAUCGCAAUAUAGUAGUGAAGAGCAUUAACUACUAUAUACCCACAACUUCAAGUUCAGGAUCUCUCAUAUAUUUGGAUCCAUGGGUUUCCGGCCCAGAUAUAACAAAAUAUGUGGGGAGCCUCAAUUCAUCAUUUGAGGUUCAUACUGAUAUUAUCCAUUUCACGGUGUAUUCUUGACAACCGGAAUUCACAAAAUAUAUUUCUUCCUUGAAGUGUCGAUUAUAACAAAAUCGAACUUUAAAUUCAUCAUCUUCUUAUGCCAAAGAAAUAUGUGGCAUACCACAAUUUGCAAUAAUACCUCAAGGGUUGUCCAUUUAAUUGUUGGAACUUCAGGUUCUCAACACUGUUAGAUUUUGAACUUCUGGCCAAAAUCACAUAUUCUCAUGGUAUGGACAUUCAAUCCCCUUAGAUUUUGAACUUCGGGCCAAAAUCACAUAUUCUCAUGGUAUGGACAUUUUUACAAUUUUCUGUACAUAUUUCUGGACUUCAAGCCCUUACAUAAUUGUCCAUAUUUUGAGGAACUUCUGGCAUCUCAUUUAAUUGCUCAUCCAUGAGUUUAAGGAACUGCAGGUUCCCUUUUGAAUGGUGAUGGUUUACCCAAAAUGGUAAAUACUUAUGCAUACAUCACUAUUCAUGUAUACGGCACUAUUUAUGUAUACAGUACAUUUGCCAGUACAGUUAUCAUCCAUGUGUACGGCAUUAUGAACAAAUACGGUACUGUUACAUCAUUAAGGAACCCCAUGUCCUUAUUUACAUGUCAGGGAUCAAGGACCCUCAAGUCCGAUCACAUGUUUACAAAUAUAGUACCGGAGAGACUGCCAGCUCUCAUAUUAACAUCAUCAUCAAGGAUCUUCAAGUCCUGAUGUAAUUGUAUGAUGAGGAUCAAAGAACUUCUGGUCCUGAUCUGUAUACUGUAAAAACUCAUCAUACAGCACAUUUAAUCCAUAGAAUAAAUUGCUGGUAAAUAAAUUACUGGUAUGGACGAUAAACUCGCACCAUACUUUAAAUAAAUAUUGCCUUACAUACACUUACAGCAUCAAUAAUUGAUAUCCAUCCAUGAUCCACCUGUAUAAAUGUAUAUAUAUAUAUGUAUAUAUAUAUAUAUUAUUUUUAUUUGGACUUAAACAGAAACAGGCAUUUUCUAUAGCUGUAAGUAUAAUUGUACCUGCCUACGCUGAAGAUUCCUUUCAUUGUUGCAGGAUGGUGGGCAUUCAGUUUAAAUAAAGCAAACACACACAUUUCAAAUUUUAAUUGAAUUUCAAAUUAGCAGUUUACUUACAUGCCCAUCCAUGACGUAAAAAGCAGAGACAAGUGAUUGUCUUUCGACAAUGACAUGAUAUCACAGUAGUGGGGAUAACGCUAUGAUAUUGGCCGAUCGGCUUCGCUGUAUCCCUGCACACCUUUAAUAAUUAUAUAAUAUUAAAAUAAUAUAAUUAUGUACCUGCACUAUAGACCUGCAUCUUAAGCUUCUUCCCUUUAUGGGGUCUGCCGCUUUGCCUUUUGUUUCCUUUGCUUUGCUUUCCACUGAAGCAAGUUGGCCAGCACCAAUAAUGCCGCCCACAAUGCAAAAAUCAAGUUGGCCAGCACCAAUAAUGCCGCCCACAAUGCAAAAAUCAAGUUGGCUACUUUUGCCUGUUGCUUUCUCAAUUUCCUCCACCCUUUCAUUGUCUUUUCUUCUUUCACUACUUCUCAUCUUCUGCCUCUCUCUUGCCUUUUUUUUUUCUUUUUUUUUUUUUGUAUUCGAUUUUCUGGCAAGCCUCCAAAGACAGCAACGACCAAGUUGCCUUGUCAUGGCUGGCGGCCAUUGCAAAAGCCUUUUCCAUGAAGAAAUGGACUUGGACACGAGGCUGGUUGAUUAUGUAGUUGGAGAUGAAGAAAGCAGCUGACAGUCUAGGGAGGGAGCGAACCAGAGAGUUUGUUACUCCACUGGUGUGGUUGGGAGGUAGGGAUCGUCUGUGGUUGGUACAGAGUUUUCUUCCUCAGCUCAAGCAAGGCAAUAGAGGUAGGUUUGUUUGCUCAGCUCAGCUCAACCUGUGCUCUCUGUGUUUGUUUGCUGGGUUAUCUGGGAGAGUAAUUUUCUUCGGGUUCGGUUCUGGUAUGCUUUUGCAUAUAGAAAACAGAGAACCCAGAAAGGAAAUCCAAGAGAGAGACUUUGGUUGAGAAAAUGGCAAUUUUUGAGAAAAAUGGAGAUGCUGAGGUUGGUUGGACAACACCGAAUGGAAGUUGUUGGGCUCGGAGCAGAGAAUUGGUUCUCUAGAUCGGAGGUUUUGUGUGAAAUUUUACUGGCAAGCAAUCCGUGUGGCUCUGUACAAAACUGGGUUGGUUUUGGGUGGGCAAUCUGGGCUUGGUUUCGAACUGGGUGUCUUGAUCAAUUUCUGGGAUCAAGAAAUCAGAGAUUUCAGCCGGUUAAAGACUCGUGCUGAUAUCGUGUUGUAAAUGUGGAGAGAAAAAGUAGAGAAUUGGAAUAGAGAGGAGAGACUGAUUUUCUCAUUCAUAUGUUCUGAUGAAUGUCUUCAGUGUAUAUUUUACAAGUAGGGGGAGGUAUCUAUUUAUAGGCUAAGGUUUUGGUAAAAUACAGGGAAGGAAAGUUCCUGGAAGAUGCAAGGAAACUUCCUCUGUGGGCUCCACCUUCAAACUUUUACAACACAUUUUGAUUUUUAAAUUUUGUUUUAAUAUUUCGGCCCACUUAGUUCUUCUCAAAAUAUGUCAUCAAUAUCGUUGAAAGGUUGAACUUAGUGAAUUAUUAUAGUGCAGUACGGUAGAAUAAGCACAUGAUAUAAUUUGUCCACAUGUUAUAAUAUAAGUGAAUAUUUAUUGAUAUUAUUUCCAAAAAUAAGAAAUAUCAACAAUUAUAUCCUCCUAUAUUAUAAUACAUAUACAAAUUAUACCACAUUAUCAUACUCUAAUACCAUUUUAUAAUUUCUCGUACUUAGGAGGUAUAGAGCGAGUCAAUGACAUUACAUAAUAUAUAAUUGUUCAUAUAAUGGGGCAACUAACGUGAUCAACAAGUUGUGGUGAUUAAUUUAACAUAAUAAAAAAUAUACCAUUUACUUGAGUGAUGUAACAAUUUGUUCUUUUAAAUUGGAUUGCCAUCACUUUAAUAUGUUAUGUUUCUUAUUAUAGUCUCCCAUGUUAAGUGCUUCAGCAUUGUUUGUGGUGUGUACACAAAUUUUCUUAUAAAAUGUUUUAAUGCUUCUCACAUGUAUAUCAGAUAUAGACAGUUGAUGUGACUUAGAAAUCAAAUUGUCAAUAAAACAAAAAAAUAUAAUUGGUGAUCGAGGUCCAAUUUAAUAGAAAAUAGUCUUAACUUGCAUAUUAAAGGUCUUAUAUUCGAAUCCUCACUGCAUUAUUGUUGUAUGCGUACACAAGAAAUUCUCUUCCCCAAUAAUUUAGACUAUCACUUAUACUAAAAAUAUAUAUAUAUAAUGACUUUUACGAAUGCAAACAUAAAAUUACAUCAAACAAUAAUCACUACUACAAAAAAGCAAAAAGACGACGGUAAAUCACCGUCGUGUAUUGGGGUUUUCAAUGGUCGUGGAAUCCACCGUCAUCUUUUCCCUCAUAAACCACGACGCUAAAUAACCGUCGUUGUUAAAAUAUACAACGUCAUCAACAAAUACAAAACGACGUCUUUGUACUGCAAAAAGAUCUAAAAAAAGCAAUCGAGGAUGAUAAUAGACGACCAACUCUCUAAAAAAACCGUCGUUAAAAAGAAAAAAUAUGACACAUAUUAAGAGAACAAGGCCGCAAGAUAGACAUACAACGACGAAAAUAAAAAUACGACGACGUUAAAUAUAAUUUUCACGACAAUAAAAAAUAUGACGUCUUUAAAUACAUUAGAAGACGACGUUAUUGAUACAUACUACGUCGCAUAUAUAAAAACAACCGUCGUAAAAUUAAUUUUCCACUUCGAUUUUUCGAUAAAAGAUGACGUGGAAAUAGUUGUCAGUGUCAUUAUUUACGACGUAUGUGUUUAUAGAUUAGACGUUGAAAAACUAAACAACGUCGGUUACAAAUAUAUGAGAGUCGUAUUACAAAAUUUAUACGUCCUAUUUUCAGAAACAAACAACGACGAUAAAUAUUAGACGUUGUUAAACAAAACAACGUCGGAAAAAUAAAAACAGACGUGUUUAGUCUGCUAAAGUUCUAGAAAAUAGUCGAGGAUGAGAAUAGACAACCAACUCAAAAAAAUCACCGUCGUUAAAAAGGAAAAAUCUGACACAUAUUAAAAGAACAAGGCCGCAAGAUAUACAUACAACGACGACAACUAAAAUACUACGCCGUUAAAUAUAAUUUACACGACAAGAAAAAAUAUGACGUCUUUAAAUACAUGAGAAGACGACGUUAUUGAAAUCUACUACGUCUCUUAUUUACAAAAAACCGUCGUGAAAUAAAUUUUCCACUUCGAUUUUUCUAAAAAAGAUGACGUGGAAAUAGUUGUCAGUGUCAUUAUUUACGACGUACACAUUUAUAUAGUCGACGUUGUAUUUAUAUGUAUUCAUUACUCACGACGCACUUAAUAAUAUAGACGACGUUGAACUUCUAAACAACGUCGGUUCCAAAUAAAUGAGAGCCGUAUUACAGAACAUAUAGACGGCGUAGAUUAUGAUGAGAGCCGUAUUACAAAUAACGUCGUUUAAUUGUUAUUAGACGGCGGUUAUAAUGAAUUUCCGUCGGAAUUCAUUUCGUUCCUCUUCGUUUAUAAAAGAACUUGCGACGUGGAAAAUGUAUGAUGACGUCGUAUUUUUUAACGUUCAGAUUAUAUAUCUCGUUUUUAGACGUCGGUAUUAUGGGAUUGGAGUCGUGUUAUUUUGAAUUACAUGGCGGUUCUUAAUCCUUCACCGACGUGAUAUCCUGAAUAAUUGCUUCACAAUAGCGUCGUGGUUCUUCAUUGUUACGUUGCUUUAAGACGUCGGUAAAUAUGCUGAAUAACUGAUUCACAAUAACGUCGUGUUUUAUUUGAACGUAGAAAGUGAAGAAAUCACAUUACAAUAUAUUACAAAAUUAAUGUCAUACACUGCCAAUUACAUAAGCAUCAUUCAAUCCAUAUAUCUUCACACCCAUCUCGAAUAUUUUGACCGCCUAACUCACCCACCAGUUCAUCAAAUGUGUCAACAUUUGGCAUCCCUCUAGUAAAUGGCUCACACUCAAUUAUCACAUCACCUAAGACUUCAUCACCAAUAACAUCAUUAUAUUCUCUAUUAGGCAUUGAUAACACUACCGACCAACCACGAUGCAUCGGGUCGUCAACAAAAAAUAUUUGUUUGACUUGAGAAGCCAAAACAAAUUGGUCAUUCCUAUGUCCAAUUUUACUCAAAUCUACAAGGGUAAAUCCAAGUUCGUCGACUACAAGACCAGAACUAUCUAUCCAAUCACACCUAAAGACUGGGAUUGUAAACUUUUGGUAGUCAAGGUCCCAAAUUUCUUGAAUGACACCAUAGAAACCCAUAUUUGAGAGAAUUGGGUUUUUAUCCUUGGCACUAGCAACUUGCAUGGUAUGUGCAAGUAAAUAAACUCCACUAUUUUGAGUUGUCCGCACAUCAUCUUGUGCCUUGAUAUUGAAUUUAAUACCUUUAAUAAGAUAGCUCCUAUAUAAUGGCACUGACAUGUUUGGACCAGCUGCUAGCCACCUUAAAUUUUCUGAUACGCCAUGAUUGUCUUCCUCAAGUUCACUUUGAACCUGCAAAUUAAUCAUAUCUUAAUUCAAUCUAACAUAUAAAUAAGAAGAAAAUUAAAAGAGAAAUAUGUUAUUCAACAACAUAUACCUUGAAGCGUAGCCAUUGAAUGAAAGUGCUAUUGUGCUUAUCCUGCAGCCACUUUGUUCUCUUUCUAAAUUUUGGAUAAGCAGUCUUGAUGUGGAUCAUAUGUUGCCCACAUGACACGAAAAAUUCAAGCAUUACGAUCCUAAAUAUAGAAGAUAAACAUAAGAAAUAAUUUAAAAUGGAAACUUAAAGAAUAAAGCUCAUACGUACUCGAUAUAAGGUAGGACUUCCUCCGUAUUCUCCAAGACAUAUAGAUGUGCUUGAUUCAACAGGUCCUGAUCAACUACGCUCACUGUGCAACCUGAUAAUGGCUUUGAAAGCCCCAUCUUUUGGCUUGAAGGCACUCCAACUGUACUAACAUCAGAUAAAUGCUGAGUACAACACUCUACCGCUUCUUCAGCUAUAUACCGCUCAGCAAUGCAACCUUCGGGACGAGUACGAUUCUGAACAUACCCCUUCAGCACUUUCAUAUAUCUUUCAAACGGAUACAUCCACCGAAAAUAUACUGGCCCACAUAGACGAACUUCUCUGACAAGAUGUACUACUAGAUGAACCAUGAUAUCAAAGAAUGAAGGGGGAAAGUACUUCUCAAGCAAACACAGAGUAACUACUACAUCUUCUUCCAACUUAUCUAGCUUGGAAACAUCAACAGUCUUUGCACAUAUAGCAUUGAAGAAGAAGCACAAACGAGUUAUUGCAUACCUUGCAGGCUUCUCCAAAACAGAACGAAUUGCCACAGGGAGCAAUUGUUGCAUUAAGGUAUGACAAUCAUGUGAUUUAAGGCCAAGAAGUCUUGAAUCUUGUAAAGAUACAAGAUUUUUAAUAUUUGAAGAAUAACCUUCAGGGACCUUCAUACCAUAGAAAGAAUUGCAAACCUCUCUCUUCUCUACUCUUGACAAAUUCCAAGGCCCAGGAGGCAAACGAGUACGUCUUUCUCCAUACUCGGGUUGCAAAUCAGUUUUGACCCCCAUGUUCAAUAAAUCUAAUCGAGCAGCAAUCCCAUCUUUAUUUUUUCCAGGGAUCUCCAGCAAUGUACCAAUGAUACUAUCACAAACAUUCUUCUCAAUGUGCAUAACAUCUAGGGCAUGCCUUACAGGAAGGUAUUUCCAAUACUCGAGAUCAAAGAAUAUUGAUUUCUUCUUCCAACAAACUCUGUCACCAUUUUCAACCAUAUGCAGCACUUCUUCUCCGGUUAAUGGCUCGGGAGGUAUGCCAUAUUCAGGUUUCCCAUUAAAAGCUGCACGUUGCCUCCUAUAUGGAUGAUUGAUUGGUAACCAUUUUCUAUGCCCAAUGUAACAAAUUUUGUGGCCAUUUUUCAACCUGUGACUAGGUGUAUCAUCGCCGCAUAUUGGACAAGCUUUAUAUCCUUUAACAACACAACCAGAUAAGUUUCCAUAGGCGGGGAAAUCAUUAAUUGUCCACAUUAAUGCAGCUCUGAGUGUAAAGUAUUCUCCAUUAUGUGCAUCAUACACUCCUCUAAUCCCAUCCCACAAAGAUUUUAAAUCAUCAAUCAAAGGCUCCAAGUAGACGUCUAUAUCAUUUCCGGGUUGUUUAGGACCGAAAAUCAAUAAGGUUAACAUCAUGAACUUUCGUUUCAUGCACAGCCAUGGAGGGAGAUUAUAUGUAACUAAGAUAACCGGCCAACAACUAUAUCUGCUACUUAGAGAACUGUGGGGAUUGAAUCCAUCAGAUGAAAGAGCCAAUCUCAAGUUUCUCGGCUCAUUACCAAACUCAGGCCAUUUAUCAUCAAGAAGUUUCCAAGACGGGGAAUCCGCCGGAUGAGACAUCUGACCGUCAAUUGAUUUUCUAGGAGCAUGCCAAGUCAAACUCUUAGCUGUCUCAUGUGAUUGAAACAUCCUUUUAAACCUUGGAAUUGGAGGAAAAUACCACACCACCUUCGCUGGCACACCCUCUUUCAAGAUUGAAUCUUUGCCUUCCUUCCACCUUGAGAUACCACAAGUAGGACAAUUAGUUGAAUCCUCAUACUCCUUCCUAUACAAGAUGCAAUCAUUGGGGCAUGCGUGCAUUUUCUCAUAACUCAGCCCCAAUGCACACAAAGUCUUUUUAGCCUCAUACAUAGAGGUUGGUAUUGUAUUUCCUUAUGGAAGCAAAUCGCCUUGAAGUAUCAAUAAUUCUGUAAAACAGACAUCACUCAUCCCAUGUUUUGCCUUCAAAUUAUACAACUUCACUAAUGCCGAUAACUUCGUGUACUUUCUACAACCAGGGUACACUGGUUGAUCUCCAUCCCCAAUCACAUUGGCAAACUCAUACGGAUCGGAACCAAAAUCAUUAUCAUCCAUAUCAAUUUCUUCAGACACAAAACUGUACCUACUAUGGCCAUCAUCUUCUUCAACAUUUCUACUAGCAUUAGUAGUUGCUUCCCAAGGUUCUCCGUGAAAUGUCCAAUUCUUAUAGCUUUGGUCAAUUCCAUUAAAGUAUAAGUGAUCCCUUAUAAUUCCAACCCCAAACAACUUCAAAUUAACACAUUUAACACAUGGACAACGGAUAUGUGUUGUAGUUAGAAGAUUUUCUACAGCAAAGUUCAAAAAUGCUUCCACCCCAAACUCAUAUGCCUUCGAUCUUCUAUCCGAGUGCAUCAUUGACUUAUCCAUCUCCGACACUAUAACCUAUUAUCUAUAAUAAAGUGAAAAUACAGGCAAUGACCAUCACUAUAGCAGAUUAUACAAAGAUCUAAUAGCAAGUAAUACACAACAAAGACGACGGGUUUUAAACAAAAACAGACGUAUUUGGCAUAUAUAGACGACGGAUUUUCAACAGACGUCGUCUAAUAUAAGUAAUACAAACGACGGUUUAUGAAAAAACCGUCGUGUAUAAGUAAUACAACGACGGUUUUUUCAUAAACCGUCGUGUAAUCGUCGGCGUAUGCCUAAAAAGGCGUCGUGUCUCAGUUUAUUUUCAAGAACCCAAAACCCAUUAAGAACACAACAUAUAUAUGAAACCAAGCAAGAAAACAACAUAUACAUGAAACCAAGCAUGAAAACAAUAAAUCCAUUCCCAAUUCAACAUAACAUAGGGUGAUUAAAAGAUCCGACAAAAUUAAAUCCAUUCCCAAUUCAACAUAACAGAUAAUGUAAUCCAUGAACCCAUUAAACAGAAAAUCCAUGAACCCAUACUUAUAAGCACAUUAUUAACAGAUCGCAAAGCAUAUACCUAAAACCCUUUAACAAAACAACCUAAUAUCAUUCAAUGAAUUUACAAGGGGAAGAUAGGGUUUGUACUUACAGGUUGGACGAGCUCACAGAUUCGACGGAGCAGAAGUGAGAGAGCAACUUUUAAUUAGAGCAGAAGUGAGAGAGCGAAAUGUUAUGUUGCGCGAAAUCUGAAAAUUUUAGGGUUCAGGGUUAGAAGAAUAAGAAUAAGAGCCAAAUAUAAAAAAAUUUAGGACGCGUGAAAAUUUUUAGAGCGCGCGCUCUUUAAAACUUCGAAAGAAAAACCAUGGCGAAAGUUCUACAAGAACCGACAUAAAUGUAAUAUUCCACGACGGAAACACUGAACGUAACGCCGUUUAUUUUGACGCUUCAUUUUUCGGAUUAAUUUUAAAUUUAUUUUCAAUAUUUUGAUAUAAAGACGACUGAAAAACCACGUCGGGGUUAAGAAAUUGAAAACGUUGUAAAUUAUAAUAGACGACUUACAUAUUAAAAUGACGUCGUUUAAAGUAGAAACUAUGUCGGAUAAUUUACUGCACGACGUAACAUAUGUAUUCCACGACUCAACCACCGUCGUUAACAAUUAAUACCCUAAACCCUUAAAACUAAAUUAUAUAAUUUUAAAAAUUAACUUUAUAAAAGGGUUUAUGGUUUUACAGCCUAAUAUAUACCCUAGACUACCCAAAAAUUAUACUUUAAAAAUAAACCCCAAUAAAUAACAACCCUAAUCUCUAAACCCUAGACUCUAAACCCUAAACCAUAAAACUAGAAGUGAUUUUAUGACUCAUCAAAACAAUUUUGUUUUGGAUGUUCAUUUUAAAUUUUUGUAAUUCAAAAUGAAUUUUUUCAAGGUUUAGGGGGAAGAAAAUAUAUCAAUGACUUCAUAGGAGUUGACUUUGCAUUUUUCUGAUUUAUUUUAAAUUUAUUUUGAAUAUUUUGAUAUAAAAAUAAUAAAAUAUUCUUAUCACAACAACAAACCACGUCGGUGUUGAUAAAUUGUAGACGUUGUAAAUUGUAAUAGACGACUAAGUUGUUAAAAUGACGUCGUUUAAAUGAGAAACGAUGGCGGAUAUUUAACUAUCCGACGUAAAAUAUAUAUUCCUCGACUUAACCACUGUCGUUACAAAGUACUACCCUGAACCCUUAAGAAAUUGAAGACGUUGUAAACCAUAAACGACUCCAUUGUUCAAAGAACGUCGUCUAAAUAUCCUUUUACGCCGGAUUUGUUUAAAACGAAACCACAAAAAACGACGGCUUUUGACUUUAUUACGUCGUUGGAAAAUUAUUACACGUCGGUUACGCAUUUUGUAUGUUUGUUUUUGUUUUUACUUUAAGAAAACCUCAACAAAUUUUUACAUUAUAUAUUAUAGACAAAAUUUGUACAUUAUACAUAAAUAUCAAGUGUUCAAUAAUUCCCCUAUUCCAGUUGAAUGCAAACAAACUCUGCCCAUUCAUUCCGGACUUCAUCAAUUGCUUCUUGGGGGUAUGGCUCUUCCUGUUUUCCCUUCGCAUACUGCAUAAAAACAAUGACUAUUAGGGUUUAUAAAUAAAAGGAAAUUCAAUCACAGACGACCAUAACCGACGUAGUAUAUCUAUUCAACGACGGUAAUUUUACAUGACCGUCGUUGAUAAUACAAAAAACGACGUAAAAUGUUUGAAGGUUAUUUCUUCUUACCUUCUUCUCAAACCCCAAGGAAGGAUCCAUGAUGAUGUCCUUCAUGAAGCGCAUCACGUAAUACCCGCAUUCGACAUUGCUGGGUUGCUUUGGUGUGCCUGACAGGGUUUUCCAAAUGACUGCCUUACGGCCUGAUCUGGCUAUGUGGGAAUUAUAAAUUUUUAUGGCACUGUUCACGAUGUCUUUGGCCUCUUCAUCGACCACACGAUUUCCUGGCAGAGGAUCCAGAAAAUAGACUGUUUCCCUCUUUGCUCUUACAAUCAGCAAGAUCCAAUGACGGCUGCACAAAAUUAAUAUAAAAACGACGGUUAUUUACAAAAACGACGUAUUAUAAUAUUUCACACGACGAAAUAAAGUAGCAAUCGACGACAUUAUAUAUUUAUAACGACGAUAAAUAACUACCGACGUGGUUAGUCGUUUCAAACGACUCAAUAAAAUAAAACACCGACGUGGUUAGUUUAUACGCUGUCAUUUAUUGAAAAUCAUAAAAACAAAAUCCUGUUAAGGAGACUAACCCUGGAUUGUAAGGCAUGAGGAAAAUCUGUUCACCGUCAGUCUUCUGAAGUCGUGAUGCUACAAGCCGUGAUCUGUCAGCUAUUGUGCCAGAGCUGGCACUAACUGUAGCAGGGUCGAUAAAGCCAACCAUUGUGCACAUAUUUGCUUGUUUUAAAACAUCGUGUAAGUACCUAAAUAUAUAAAAUAAUAUAAACAAGUCAGCGCAAAAAAAACACACGACGGUUAUGUAUAACAAAACGACGUAUUAUAAGGUUUCACACGACGUACUGAAAUAGACAACGACGUUAUAAUAAAUUUAUCACGACGGUACAUACUAACGACGUGGUUAGUUAGUUAAGACGACGCAAUAAAUAAACCAACGACGUAUUAUUUUAGAAUGACAAACCUCAUAUAUACAGCAAUGACUGUAGCUCCUAUUUCCUCCAUGCCUGCAAAUUGUGUAAUAUCUUCAGGCAGGAGGAAGGUAUCGCGCUCUAGACCAAACACCUCCUUAUCAAUUGUAAAGUGCAGGGUCUUAUCUUGAGUUACGAGUGUCGUUUCCACAUAACGACAAAGGGUUUGUAAAGAAGAUGGCGCCUCCAUAUUUGAAUAAUCAACAACUUUAGUAACCUGUUUAAAGAAAUAAAAAAAUGACGUGGUAAUUCAAUAAAAACGACGGUUUAAGGAAUAAAAUGUCGUUUGAAAACAAUUUAAACGACGGUGAAAAAACCGUCGUGGUGAAUUAUUUAUUACGUCUUAGAAAACAAUUCCGCCGUCUAAGUUGUAAACAAACGACGGUUUAAAGAAAAAUAUCGACGUCUGGAAUUUUGAAAACAAAUAAAAAAGGUAAAGUUAUGUGAACAUACCUGGUCGUCAUCUUCUUUCUCCUUUUCAUCUUGUUUUUCUUCCUUAUUCUCUUCAUAUAUGACGUCGGGAAUGAUUAACUCCGUCAUCUAAAAACCACAAAGUUUUAAAAAUAACGACGUUUAAUGGCGUGUAAAACAAGUAAACUAAAUACGACGUGGUAUUGAAAUACAAACGACGGUUUAUUUUUAAAAUCGUCGUGGUAUGUAUUUCAAACGACGGUUUUAUUAAAAAUAACGACGUCUAAUGGUUUUUAAAAAAACAGAGAAUUCAAAGUUCAGAUAUGUUACCUUUUCUUCCUGAUGUUUCCCAUUUUUGGCAGUAUCAUCCUCAAAAUGCUGGGAUCUCACAUCACCUCCAGAGCAGCUUGCUUUGUCAGACAUUGGAUUUUUGGGACUUUGGCUAAUUCUGGGUUUAAGCAUGCUUGGAUCAAAAUUGGGAAUUAAUUGGGAAAGCUGACUCAGGAAAUGCUCCCUCUCAGCCUCUACCAAUUGUUUCGUUCUAGCCUCCAUUCUUAAAGCCUCUUCCCUUGCCUUAGCCUCCAUCUUUUUAGUCUCUUCUUGAAGGAGAACUCUUAAACUGUCCUUCAAACGGUCGUCAAAGCUCACUCUCUGUGGUUUGGGUAAAUUGAAAUAUUGCUUUGGUGAGAUCCCAGCACCUACUCCUCUGACUCUGCCUGGAUGCUCGGGGCCCAAAGCCAUGGUCAGCACAUCAUUGCUGCCAGAGACGGUGACUUUGCCUUCCGAGACUUGUUUUUGCAAAUCAUCCUAAAACAAAGAUAUAUAAAAAAGUAAGAACAAAAACACACGACGGUUAUUUAUAUACAAACGACGUAUUAUAUAAUUUCACACGACUCAAUAACAUAUAAAUCGACGUUAUUAUAAUUUAUCACGACGGUAGUUAUACCGACGUGGUUAGUUCUUUAAAACGACGAAAUUAAUAAACCACCAACGUCUUAUGUAACAGAGGGAUGAUUCAAUAUUCACACCUUUAACGACGUUGUUUAAAACAUUUCGACGUAGUAAUUUAAUACAGACGACGCGAAAUUGAACCACCGACAUCUUAUGCUAUAAUUACAGAAAACAGAGUUCUGAUUCCUAUUUAGACCUUUAACGACGUGUUUUAAAAAAUGUCGACGUGGUAAUAUCAUUCACACGACGCAAAAUAUAACAUAAGACGUAAUAAGAAUUAUUCACAGUUUAAUAAAAAUUUAAAACAGAGUGAGUAGGCUUACAAUUAAUUUUGCUUUCUCUGCCACCUUUGGAUCAGGGAUGUUACCAUGUUUGUCAUGUCUAGCUCUCUUCCAUAAGGUAGAUCGAUCAAUUUCUACCCCAGGCAUGGUUUCCUCUAAUUGAUCCUCCAAACCGGCAUAUCCUUUUCGAGACAAUCGAUGAUUGUACUCGAGUUUCUCCCUAAUCUGUGCAUGUUGAGAAUGCACAGACUCAAAAUCUUUGGAUAGCCUUGAAGCUACAAAGGCAUCCCAUUGUGCUUUCUCUAUGAAUUUAUAUGUUUCAGGGGGUUGGCUUAAUCUCUCCCUGUCAUUGGUGUAUGGAAGGAUAUAAUGCCUCGUUAGUGUAGACUUGAAAUCCUUCCAUUUCUUGGCAGCAGAAGCUAAGACAGAGUUCUUGCCCCCUUGACCUACUACAAAAGCAAUGUCAACUGCUUCCCAAAUCUGCUCCUUUAUAUCCUUGGGGAUUUGAGCCCAUUUCAAGUCCACAAGUGGAACUCUGGAGCGUGCCAACACACCAAUAUAGGACUGCAUCUCACUAUGAGCUUGGCCAAUUCCUUUCCCCCUUUUAUUGUACUCAACAAUUGGCCUCAGUUUCUGCAGUUUUCUCUUCACAACACGAGGCAUUGUGCUCAUACCUCGACCAGCCUUUGAAUCAUCAGAUAUUGUUGUCCCGCUGGUUGGUUCUGUAUCAGCAGAUGAUGAAGCAAACUUCAUCUUCUUCGAAGACUUCAUUAUCUUCGAAGACUUCUCUUGAGGAGGUACUUGCUCCUCACCUCCAUUUUUCUUGGAGCCAGAAUCCUUACUUUAGUCUUGUUGAGAAACCAUUUUUACAGACAAAACUGCAAGUGAAAAUAUUUCAAGAAAAGAUUAAGAACACAAACGACGGUUAUUAAUAAAAUACGACGUAUGAUAUGAUUUUAAACGACGCAAUGAAAUAAUAUCAGACGUAAUAAAUUUUUAAAACGAAGGUAAUUAAACAACGACGAAAUAAUUGACUACAAACGACGAGAUAAUUAACUAUAAACGACGGAAUAUUUAUAUAACGUCGUGGUAUUGAUGUUCACACGACGUCAGUAGUAAUAUACCGUCGUCUAUAUAAGGAUCCAAAACCCUUCUUUCUUUCUCUGUGAAUGUUUGAUUGCAGAUUUGAUUUUUCUGAACCAUGGUUUUUGUUUUCUAAUUUGAUAAAAUACAAGGCCAAGAAAGAAAGUUUUGGAAUCUUAUAUAGACGACGGUAUUUUAAUAUGACGUCGUGGUAUUAACAUUCACACGACGUAAAACAAUAAGAUACUGUCGUCUAUAUUAGAUACCAACCCUAAUUUCUUUUUCUUUAUAUUUUAUCAAAUUAGGGAAAAACAAAAACCAUUGUUCAGAAAAAUCAAACCUGCAAUUAAACAAGCAAAUAAAAAAAAGACUAAAAUUUUAAAAACAACUUUGUCAAUUUUCAGACGACGCUAGAACGACUGACGAACCGUCGUGGUCUACAUAUUUAACCACGUAAAUAAGAAGCUACCGUCGUCUUAUUUAGUUAAGGUAGUUGUCUUCAAAGUUGGAAACUUUCCCUCUUUGUCUGUAUAUUUUAUCGAACUUGGAAAGAAGUAAAAUGAUUUUGGCCAGAAAAAAGGUAAAAAGAUUUUUCAAACAAAAAACGUAUGAGCAUGCAAAACAGCAACCAAAAUAGUGAAAAUGAAAGCUUACCUUUUGUGUGCAAUGAAAGCAAGAGGAAGACGAUCGAUGUUUAAAUUCAGAGACGACGAAGAAGACGAGAGGAAGACGAUGAGAUACUCUGAAAGUGCUCUGACAAGGAAAAAAGUCUAAAAGUUUUCUCUGGGAGAUUGAAAUUUUUAAUCGGGUUUGGAAAAAGUGCAUGUGUAAGUCAGGUAGACGAAAAGUUGCUUAUAUAUAAAACCAUUUCAAAAAAAUAAUACGGCGGUUACAUAUAACUACGACGUAUAAAUUACAAAAUACGACAGUACGUUUAACUUCGGACGUGGUAAAUAAUUACGACAGUAGUGUUAUAGGUACCGUCGUAGUAAACUCAAAAUUAAAGUACAUAAGUAAUAACUCGCGUCAUGGUAGAUCAUUUAACACGUCGGUUUUAUUAAUGUACCGACGUGGAUUUAUGUAAUAUACGUCGGUAAUACCGACGUUGAUUUUACAAUUUAAACGGCGGUUUUUUUGUAAGGACCGCCGUUGGUUUUAAAAAUUUAUUCUAUAAAUUUGUUGCUUUCAUUCAUUUUCGGUUUACAUUUAGGGUUCCAAGUUCUUCCUCUCUCAGAGACACUAUCUCUCACAUCUCAAAGACAGUAAUUUGGAUGUCUUUCUCAAAGAGAAAUUGAGCUUACUCGCAUCAAAUCUAUGUCCACAAGAAGAAGCUUGUCAACUAGCCUUCUCACUUCCUUGAUCAAGCCUGAUAGGACACUUAGUGCUUCUGAAUACUCCUUGCUUUCCAUCAAAAGAGAUGCAAGCCUGGCCUCCACUCGCUGUCGAAGGAAAGUUCGCUUCUCAGGGAAAUCUGAAGAUCAGAUGUGCCUGAUCCUCUGCUUGAUUUUCUUGGCUAAGAAGAUCCGUCAGAUUUGUGAUAGCCUCUUCCUUUAUCCGUAGAGCUUCAGAAGAAGAAGAUGGGUUUCAAGAAUGCGAUAAAGAAUAGAAAUGGCUUCAGAUGGCCUCUAAAGCAUGAGCAAUCGAAUCAGUGCUUUGAACUAUACUUUGAACUAUACAAGUCAAUGCUUUGAACUAUACAAGUCCUGCAGAAAGAUAAAGGACCAAACUAUUAAAGAAACCCCAAACUAACACGACGCAAUAUUUGUUUUGCGACGUGGAAUCUUUUCAUUUAACGUCGUUAGGUUUAAUAUAACCGACGUGGAUUUGAAUUUUUAAAUUAUGAAUAGCAUUUUUUUUCCCGUGACCUUUCAGUUUAUUUUUCAAUUACAGUGCGUUAUAAAUAGAGUUUUUUUUCCGGAGGAAAUUUAAAAUGAAGGAAAUUAAUGUUCUGGAAUAUGUAAAAUUUCUUUUUUGGAUGACAGAUUUAAAUAAAAUAAGAAUAUAAAAACAACGACUGUUUUUGUAUUACUGUCGUCGUUUUUCGUCGUCUUAAGUAAGACUAAGACAACGUAAUAUAUUUGUUGAGCGACGUUGAUUUGUGUUUUAAACGUCCUUAGGUAUAAUAUAACCGUCGUUGAAAAUUGUCUCUCUGAUUGCAAAUUUGCAACGACGUUAGGUAUAAUAUUUGUAGAUACACAAACGCACACACAUCAUCAACUUCCAAAAAAUUGUCUCUCUGAUUGCAAAUCUGUGUCAUCUGUUAAGAUUAUGAUGUGGAACAAAGUUCCAUUUGGUAAGAUUUCGUAACCCUUGGGAUCUCAGAAAAAUCUGAUUAUGUCGGCGAUUUUCUAUAUAAACCGUCGUGGUUAUUUCAAUUCUUGUCAUUAAGUAGAUCUACCGACGUAGGAUAAGAAAAUCAAAGAAAAAAAUUGUUAACAAAAAUUCUUAUUAAGACGACGGUUUAAAUUAAAGGUAAGACGUAUAAAAUGAAUAAAUACGACGUUAAAUUUUAUAGUACGAUUUAAAGAUAACGUCGUAGAACUAUACCAGAAUGACGUCGAUAUAUUUAUAUUUUUCGUCGUUGUACAUUAAUUUAAUACGGCGAUAUUUUGUAUUUUAAAGUCGUGGAUUUGUUUGUAAUUAUACAGCGUCUUAUACGAAAACCUCGUCGUGUUAUUUUAUGAGUAAAAACGGCGGCUUUUAUUGAAAUCGUCGUCUUUACUUUCUACGUCGGUUGAUUCAUAACUUCUGUCGUUCUUUGUUGGCUUUGAUUUUACACUGCGGAAAUCUGUUUCAAAUAGACGUCGGUUGUUUAAUUAAGUACGUCGUUGUUUUUGAACAGCCAUUUGAAUCUCCAUUUUUUAGUUGUCUAAGGUGGUAUUACACGACGGUGUUUUUAGAACCGUCGUCUUUUUAAAAACCACGACGGUUUUCACUGAGACCGUCGUUGUUUUCUGGUCGUCUUUUUCACUUUUUGUAGUAGUGAAUGGAAUAGAAUGAUGGAAGUUAUUUUUUUUUUUUCCUACGUCUAAAGUAUACUUUAUAUAUAUAUAUAUAUAUUUAUAUUUAUUAUGGAAGUUAUAACCGUUUAAUUUUCAGUUUUUAUUUUCUAUUUAUUGUUUUAAUUUUUAUAGUUUAAUGUGUAUGGAGAUUUCAAGUAUUGGAUGUUUAUAAAGGGUCACUCCUCCUUCACAUCUGAAACAAACCACCAUCUCAUUUCUGUAUUUUCAUACUUUCAUAUAUUUUCUACUUUCCAGAUUAUUAUUUUUGGGCAACGGUUCUGUGACUUGGAGAUUUCUAUCCGAUUAUUAACAUGCUCAUAGCGGACCUUGAGCUUGCGUAUUGAGGAUAGUAUCUUGGAGCCUUGUAGACCUUUAUUACCUGCAUGUAGGGAGGCUAUAAAUGCUUUAAGUCAGCGUCUUUGACGUGCUUUUGCUUUCUUUUUUUUACUUAUUUCUUCGUUACUUUAUUUUUACUUUACUUUUAAAUCUUUAUUUUAUGUAUUAUUUAUAUUUAAAAAUUUUGAAUAAGAGUUUUACAGAAAAGGAAAAACACAAUUUCAAAUAACACAAAUUUCUCGUUUUUUGUUCUUAAAAAAGAAGAAGCAUUGAUUGGGGAGUUAUGGUAAACUCAGUUUCAAUGGUUGCGAUGAGAGGCGGUGGCGGCGAGGAGAGGACGAAGGCUUUGCUGCCGACGGGGUGGUGUGGGUGGGUGGAGACCUCGGCUGGCUGCUUGGUCCUGGGUUCUCCUUUAAUUCUCUGUUUUCUUUUUUCAUAUUUUUCUUUUUCUCUUAGAGUUAUUGAUGUUAAGUGAAUGGACAGAUGCCAAGAGAAGAUGUGAACCCAAUUAUAUACAGCUGAUUACAUAAAGUAACAAAUUAAUUAAUACUUGAGUGGAGGACAGGCUCGAGUGGAAGAAUUGAUUAAGGCUUGAGUGGAAGACAAACUUCAGUGGAGGAAAGUACAGAUAAGGAAAGCAUGCCACGUUUAACGGCUUUAUCUCAACAAAUUAGGAAUGCUGGUUUUGUUUCCUCGGUGGUUGAAAGGUGGUGCCUUGGCUCGGACAUCUCCCUAGUAAUUAAUCGAAGGUGGAAUCUUACAAGACAUUCAGCUGCUCAUUAGCUGAAUAUCUCGCUCUCUUUAAAGAGAUCGAAGCAAACUGCAAUUUGCAAUUUGUGUGAUUCAAGCAUGAAUAUCUGACAUAGUAACUAUACCAUUUGUUGGUUUGAUGAGAAAAGUUUGGUUAGCGAGGAUGAAACCAUAAAGUUCCCCAAAACACACAAAGAGCACGGACAAUUGCUAAGUUUAUCUUUGAGUUCACGCAUAUUUGCACAAAUGAGAUUACUCCAAGUAUGACUAUACCAUUUGUUGGUUUGAUGUGAAAAAUAUGGGCAACGAGGGUAAAACUAUACAAACACACACAAAGAAAGUGGACAAUUACUAAGUUUAUCUUUGCGUUAUUCAUCCGACCUAACUGUAAAAUAAAAAAGAUGAAAAUAUAUAAUGUUCACUACUUAGAUCUAUGAGCACUAAAGUCCUCCUUUUGGAAUUGCACAAAACGUCACUUUUGGUCUUUGACAAAUUUUUAAAAUAAAUGAAUUUUUUACUUAUUUGUGGACUGAAAUGCCUCAAAAAAAAUAAUGAUAAUUUGAAGAAUUUGAUAGAAAUUAAAAAAUAUCCUCAAAUUACUUGGAAUUGAAGACCACAUAGGCAAAAACACCACUUUGGACAAAGGCUGGUGAUAAUAGUCGAUAUCAUCUUUUGUCGGUCCGACCUAAAAAGAAGAAAAAGUUGAAAGCAUCUUGUUACCAUUUUUGCCAAUGUGGGUCCAGACAAUUUGAAGAAGUCCACCGACAAUUUCUCAAAAGCUAUUGUGUGAGUGUUUUGAAGCUAAACCAAUAUUAUUUUGCACAUACGACCCCACAUCCCCAUGUGAGGCUACAGAAGUGUUUCCAAAACGAAACAUGAUAUUUCAAAACAAAGCUAUGUAUAGAAUAGAGUCAUUUGUAUUUGCUUUCACAAUAACAUUUUAUUUGUGAAAGCAUUUUAUAUUUUUACAUUAUGAUGUUCUAACAAAUAAAUUGACUAUAUUUGGCCAACAGGGUUUAACCGAGUAAAAAAGUCCUUAUUUAUAAACUACUGGUUUCAUAUUUGAACUCUAUGACAUUCUCUUUACCCUUAAAGUUUAGACUAUCGCAUGUAUUAUAAAUAAAAAAAAACAAUUGGCUUAAUUUGAUAUAUUUCAUUUUAUGCUGGGUGCCGUUAUUAAGUUUUAUCCUUGUUUCUUGUUGAAAAAAAAUUGAUAAAAAAUAAGAAUUCCUAUAGCUAGCAACUUCUCCACCUUCCCUUCUUCGCAACUAGGGAUGCCAUUGCAAGGUCACCAUCUCAGAUUAAGUCCUCCUUUUAAAAUUGUGUUGUUAUUCAAAAUUGGAAUAUGCUGGUCAUUCUUGAUAUAAUCUGUUCCACAAAAAGAAAAAGAAAAAAGUUGAUAGCAUCUUUUACCACUUUGGCCACUUUUGAAGAUAUUCACCGACAAUUUCUCAAAAGCUAUUAAGCUGUACGUCCACAAUAUUAUUGCAUCCAACUUUGCAUAUACGACCCCAUCCCCAUGUGAGGCUACAAUAUUGUUAAAAAAAUAUGCUAACAUUGUCAUUCAGUAUGCUAACAUUGUCACUAUGUUUGCGAAUUGCAUAUUAUCUAGAACAUAAAGGCUUUGGUGUUUUGUAGAUCCUCAGGGAGCCAAACCCGUCUUUAUAAAAAUGGUCCUUAUGAUACUACUUUAACAACAAUAAAGUAUAAUAAACUAGGCCUUUGUAGUCACUGAACGAAUGUUUUGUCAUAUAUAUGACUAUUUAAAUGUAAUUACGGGAUUAAAACAUUAUAAUAAAUUGGAGUGAACCAUAACAUUAUAUAUGAUCCAAUCCUUUGCAUAUAUUUUUGUUCAAGACUUUGUUUUAGAAUGCUCUAUUACUAAUUUGGUACAGGUCUCUAAAAUCUAUGCCUUUAUGAGGCAACGUCUUUAUUUCUUUGGUUAUUCCAGUUUAGAAUAUUUGCACAAAUGAGAUGACUCCCAGCAUAAAGUCACAUUCAACCAAAAAGCAUGAAGUCACACACAAAAAGAAUACGGACAAUUGCUAAGUUUAUCUUGUAUCCUUAUUUUAUUGAUCCAACCCAAUUGAAAAAUUAAAAAGAUGAUAUAAUAUACUGUUCACUGCUUACAUCCAUGAGUAAAGUCCUCCAUUUGAAAUUGCGUGAUGAUAUAAAAUUGGAAUGAAAAAAGAAAAUCCUACAGCUAAAUUUGAUAUAUUUCCUUUUCAUUUUAUGCUGGGUGUUAAGUUUUCUUAUUUCUUGUUGAAAAGAAAAAUGAAAAGAAAUAAAUAAAUUCCACAGCUAGCCACUUAUCCACCUUCCCUUCUUCCCAUGUAGUGACAACAAGGGAGGCCUUCAAUCCAAAAUAAAGACAAGGGAUGCCAGAUCAGCAUCUCAGAUAAGUAUCCCAACCAAAACCAAUCAAAUAAUGACAUAUGUAUCUCUUUUUGUGUUUUGUUCUAUUUCUCUUUGAAUUAACUGCAUAGUUUCAUAAGCGUGUCCUCCUUUUGAAAUUGUGUAUUAUUCAAAAUUGGAAUUUGCUGAUCAUACUUGAUAUCAGCUAAAAAAGUUUCCAACAUCUUGUACCAUUUUUUUCCAGUGUGGGUCAUAACUUGAAGAAGCCCACCGACAAUUUCUCAAAAGCUAUUACCAUCCAACUUUGAAAAAUAAAAGUUUUCAAAAGUUACCCCAAACAACAGUCCUUGAAAGAGAGAGUUUUCCAAGGCUAAAGAUUACAAGGAUGUUAUUUACAGUCUCGACAACGACAAGCUUCAUAUUUGUUUACAAACCUGUAUUUUCAAGUUGUGCUAGCCUAGCUACUUGCAAAAAAUAUCCAGUUGGCACAUGCAUUAACGUGUGACAAGAAGUUAGUUAUAUUUGUAAAGUAAAAGAACGAAGUACAUAGCAUGUAAGUUGAUGCUAAAUAUUUGAUCAACAGAGUUAAACAUAAAACCACUGACAAUAUAACGUUGUUCACCAAAAAUUGCAUUUCGUUGAGGGUCAGUAGUGUAGGUUUCAAGAUACGAUUUAUUUUGUUAAAGAAUAUUCUGAUAUUCUAACAAUAAAAUUGGCUCAAUUUGAUAUGUUUCUCUCUCUUUUUUUGUUUCUGUUUUCCCUUUCAUUUGAUGCUUUGUUGUGCUAUUGCUAAGUUUAUCUUAGAGACCAGGGAUGCUUAGCAAGUUUCUUCACCUGCCCUUCUUCCCAUGUACUAACUAGGGAUACCAUGUCAGAAUCUUAGAUAAGAAUCCCAUGCUUUGUUGUGCUAUUGCUAAGUUUAUCUUAGAGACCAGGGAUGCUUAGCAAGUUUCUUCACCUGCCCUUCUUCCCAUGUACUAACUAGGGAUACCAUGUCAGAAUCUUAGAUAAGAAUCCCAACCCAAUCAAACUAUGACAUCUGUAAGUAUUCAAAAUUGGAAUUUGCAUUGUGAUAGUUGAGUGGAAGAAUCGAUUAAGGCUUGAGUGGAAGACAAACUUCAGUGGAGGAAAGUAAUUAAUUAGACCAUUAUUUGUUGGUUUGAUGAGAAAAGUUUGCUGGUGAUAGUCCAUAAUCUUUGUCCGACCAGAAAAUAAGAAAAGUUGUCUUGUACCAUUUCUGCCAGUGUGGGUCCCACCCACCCCAUGCGAGUAAUUUGAAGAAGUCCACCGACAAUUUCCCAAAAGCUUUGGCGUCCAACUUUGCCGACCCCAUCCCCAUGUGAGGCCAUAGAAAAGUUUUCAGCCACAAUCAAAUAAGGAACAGUCCUUGAAAAGAGAGGGUUUUCCAAGGCCAAGAUUACAAGUUCAUGUUAUUUACAGUCUCAAAAAGCUUCCAUACUUGUUUACAAACCUGUAUUUUCAAGUUGUGCUAGCCUAGCUAUUUGCAAAUCUUGGAAUAUUUUACUUCAUCCAAAUCCCUUGAAGUCUGCAGAGAAGAUAAAAGACAUGGCUUUGAUUGGAGAGGCUCUUAUCUCUGCUUCCGUCCAGGUGUUGUGCGACAGAAUUACUUCACCCGAGUUCGUUGACUUAUUUCGGCACAAGAAACUCGAUGAGCCACUCCUCAGGAAGCUGAGGACGACACUGUUGGCCUUGAACUUGGUGCUCAAUGAUGCAGAGGAGAAGCAACUUGUGAACCGAGAUGUGAAAAAGUGGCUUGACGAGCUCAAACAUGCUGUCUUUGAUGCGGAGGACUUACUGGAUGAGAUUGACACUGAAGCUUUGAGAUGCAAGCUGGAAGAAGGUGAAGAUCAAACUCACAAAUUUACCAAUAAGGUGCGGAACUUGCUCUUUUCUUCUCGUAGUCAUUUUUAUCAGAGCAUGAAUGAUAAGAUAAAAGAGUUACUAGCAAGGUUAGAAAACUUUGUACAACUGAAAAGUGCUCUUGGUCUGGGAGAAGUUGCUGGGAGGAAGGUUUCGCAAAGAACUCAAACAACCUCCUUGGUUCUUGAACCUUAUGUAUAUGGUAGAGAUGAAGUCAAAGAAAAGUUAUCAAAAGUUUUGCUAUCUGAUGAAGCAGGCAAGGAUCCUGUGUCUUUCCUCACCAUUGUUGGAAUGGGUGGGGUUGGCAAGACAACCCUUGCUCGAAUGCUUUACAAUGACGAUAAGGUGAAAGGGCAUUUUAAACUUAAAGCUUGGGCUUGUGUUUCAGACUACGAUGAUUAUAUUAAAAUUACUAAAACUCUCCUUGAGGCAGUCACUUCAAAGCCUUGUAACACGGCAAAUCUGAAUUUGCUUCAAGAAGAUCUAAGAGAGCAAUUGAAGGGAAGGAAAUUUUUAUUUGUGUUGGAUGACCUAUGGAAUGAGAAUAAUGAGGAUUUGAACUACCUUAGAGCUCUUUUUAUUACUUUAGGAACAAUGGGAAGUAAAGUCAUUGUAACAACACGGAGCAAAAAUGCAGCAUCUGUCAUGCAAAAUGUUCAUAUUCAAUACUUAGAACCAUUGUCGCAGGAGGACUGCUGGUUAUUACUUGCAAAACAUGCAUUUGGAAAUGUAAAGUGUAGUGCACAUUCAAACUUGGAAGAUAUUGGAAACCAAAUUGCACGCAAGUGCAAAGGGUUGCCUUUAGCUGCACAAACACUUGGGAGUUUGUUACGUUGCAAUAUGAAUUUCGAGUACUGGAAUAGAAUACUAAAUGAUAGUUUUUGGGACCACCCCUAUGAUAAAACUAACAUUCUUCCGGCUCUAGGGUUGAGUUACCAUUAUCUUCCUACUCAGUUGAAACGAUGCUUUGCUUAUUGUUCAAUUUUUCCAAAGGAUUAUGAGUUUGAAAAGGAAGAUAUAGUUCAAUUAUGGAUUGCAGAAGGUAUAAUUCCACAAGCUGAGAAUGGAAAUAGGAUGGAAGCAUUGGCUAGAAUAUACUUUGAUGAGCUGUUAUCACGAUCGUUGUUUCAAAAGUCAAGUAAAUUCAGCUUCAUUAUGCAUGAUCUCAUUAAUGACUUGGCUAUGUUCAUGUCUCAGGGGUUUUGCCUUAGGCUCGAAUAUGGGGUAUCCCAUGAAGUUAAAAGAGCUCGUCAUUUGUCAUAUGCUAGGGGAGCAUUUGAUGCUGCUCCAAGAUUUGAACCAUUAUAUGAGGCUAAAUGUUUGCGGACCUUCCUACCUACCUCUUUAAAUCCAUAUAGAUUUUAUGAAAGAUUUUUUGUAAGUAAAAAAGUUCUACAAGAUUUGUUGCCAUCACUAAGAUGUUUACGGGUGUUAUCAUUGUCACGUUAUCAAAAUGUUACUGUGUUACCUGAUUCUAUUGCAAACCUCAUUCACUUGCACUACUUGGAUCUUUCCCAUACCGCAAUUAAAAGGUUACCUGGGGUACUUUGCAAUCUCUUCAACUUGCAGACAUUACUAUUGUCAAAUUGUUCCUCACUCCAUGAAUUGCCUGCAGACAUUAGAAAAUUGAUUAAUUUACAGAAAUUGACAUUGGGCGGUUGUAGUUCUCUUAAUAAAUUGCCUGCAGGCAUGAAGGAGUUGACUAAUUUGCAUCAUCUUGAUGUCAGUGGAACUGAAAUAGUAGAGAUGCCGGUGCAAAUGGGUAGACUGAAAAAUUUGAGAACAUUGACUGCAUUUGUUGUGGGCAAAUCUACUGGGUCAGGCAUAAGAGAACUGAGCGAGUUCCCGCAACUUCAAGGAAAACUAUCAAUUUUGAAGCUACAAAAUGUAGUUGAUGCGAGGGAUGCACUGCACGCCAAUAUGAAGCUCAAGACAGAUCUCAAGGAGUUAGAGUUUUCAUGGGGUGCGCAGGAUGCUGAUGAUUCCCAAAAGGAGAAAGAUGUACUUGACAAGCUCCAGCCUUGCGUGAAUUUGGAGAAAUUAACCAUUGGAUUCUAUGGUGGAACCAAUUUUCCGAAUUGGUUAGGAGACUCGUCUUUUUCUAACAUACAAGUCAUGCAUCUCAGUGACUGUAGUUAUUGUUGGUCGCUCCCACCAGUUGGACGGCUGUCGGCACUCAAAGAGCUCUGUAUAAAAAGAAUGAAGUCUUUGAGGACGAUUGGCGUUGAAUUCUAUGGCAGAGAUGGAGCUUAUCUGACUCAGCCAUUUCGAUCUCUGGAGAAGCUAGAGUUUAUAGAGAUGCCGGAGUGGGAGGAAUGGGUACCAAGUGGAAGUGCAAGUGGUAGUGAAUAUGGUCCAGACUUUCCUCAUCUCCAGGAGCUGAUUCUAAACGAGUGUCCGAAGCUAAGAGGAAGUUUGCCUUGUGAGUUGCCUUGCUUGAAGAAGCUUACGGUGUAUGGGUGUAAGGUUUUACAUGAUGGAAGGGCCGCUACCGCAACUACCAAUAGUCUUAACUAUAAAUCUCUGGAAGAAUUGGAUAUAAGGGGUGGAUGCCAAACUCUGUUAUCAUUAUUAGAGACAAAGCUCCUGUCCCGACUUAAGAUUGAAAAUGUUGACGUACAGUGCUUGCCCAACUGCAAUCGUCUUCAACGUUUGACUCUUUUGAAUUGUCCAACGCUGUCGUCAUUCCCUAAAGAUGGCCUACCCACUACAUUGACAUCACUUACUAUACUCAAUUGUAGGAGAUUAGAAUUCCUACCUCAUGAGAUGUUGGCCAAAUUAACAUCGCUUGACUAUUUGGGCAUACAAAGUAGCUGUGAUUCAAUGAGGUCCUUACCGUUGGGCAUUUUUCCCAAAUUGACGACGCUUCAAAUUCUUGGUUGUGAGAAUCUGGAAUCUUUUUCCUUGAUUGAAGAAGAAGGAGCUGUUGAGAAUCUCAGCCAUCUCAAUUCCUUGCAAGUCAUUAACUGUCCAAAAAUGGUGUGUUUUCACGAGGGAGAAUUGCCCUUUCCCAACCUGAGUCACUUUGUAGUCAUUGACUGCGAGAAUUUGAAGUCAUUGCCCGAACGCCUUCACACCCUCACUGCCCUUCGAUCUUUGAAUAUAUGGAAUCUUCCGAAUCUGGAGUCAUUUGCAGAAGAUGGGGGUUUGCCUCCCAACCUCCGAUCUUUUAUCAUUAGGAAUUGUAAGAGACUGAGGGCACUUGACUCAGUGGGUUUGCAAGCACUUGUCUACCUUCAGAUCGAUGGAAGUGACCAUGUCUUGGAGACGUUGCUGCUCCCUACCACUCUUCACACUCUCUGCAUCUCUGAUCUAUCAACUCUGAAAUCUUUGGACGGAAAGGGUCUUGGACACCUCACUUCUCUUCAAACUCUAAAAAUUUACAGCUGUCCAAGUCUUCAAUGCCUGCCAGAAGAGGGUUUGCCGCCAUCUCUUUCUCAUCUGAGUAUCCGCUGUUGUCCUACCCUGGAGGAAAGGUAUAAGAAUAAAACGGGACAAGAUUGGGCAAAGAUAUCUCACAUUCCUUGCAUCGAGAUAGGGGAAGAAGUGAUCAUAUAAUAUGAGCUAUUCCAUAUUUCACGCUCAACCCUCAACUCUCAAAUCAAAGUCAGGUGAGGUAUGUGCCUUCUCUUACUUUAAAAAACUGCUUCUCUUCUUCUAAUUGAAUACAAAAACCAAAACACAUAUUCUCUUUCUCUUCCAAAAACCCAAAUACAUGUUGGACAUAGCCCAACGCUGUACUUUCAUAGGUACUGCAUGUAUAUUAUCUUAGUAUCAACAGGUGGUCUUAUGUGGACGAGAGAGAACAUUGAGGAAUUACAAAAUCUUCUUAGUGAAUUAAGCUUGCUUCAGCUCUGUUUGUCAUCCCUCUCAUUUUCUUUGUUAAGCCUUGGUUUUUUAUUAGGAGAUGAAUGCUUUUAUAUAUUGAUGUCGUAGUCAGUCUUCAACCACACUCCGUUUUUAGAAUUCGUUUAUGUUACUAGUGGAGUGCUGCUGUAUUUUAUAUUUCGUUCCUGUAAUGUUUGAUGUUUAGUUUGAGUAGUCUAGCUUAUCCAGUAGAUAACUCGUCCCCUGUUUUGUAAUGUUUUUGUUUCCUCUAAUGAAAGCAGGUUUUACUUAUCUUAAACUUUUAUUUUUAUUUUUAAAUAUCAGUAAUAACUGGGAAAGCUUGCAUCUCC
rnacentral:lncRNA from 1 species